rnacentral:lncRNA from 1 species
ACAGUUCCACUUAAAUGUUAGUCUGCUCUGAAUUAAUGGUGACUUGAUAGUGGCAGCAGUGAGGCUACUAAUGUGAACAGCAGCACCAACAGUAGUAGUAGUAGUAGUAGCAGCAGCAGCAAUGGUGUGGUAGUGGAAGUAGUAGUGCUACUACUAAUCACCACCACCACCACUACCACUACUACUACUACUACAACAAGCGGUAUUAGUAGUGGUAGGUAAUGAAAUUACCUGCUGAAGUAAUAAUAUUGGUGUACAAAGACACCCAACACACUAGUGGUUUACAGUGUAUCGUCACUUAGCAGUGUUAAUGUCAAACCAUCAAUGUCAACCAUCAGUUCACAUGUUUAAAACGGAGGAACGAUGGACUGUGGGGGUAAGAAGCUUUGGACUUUUCUAUAUUUUCUCUUUCUUUUGUUUUUUUUUUUGUUUUGUUUUAGUUUCAAUUGAUACCAUCUGUUUGAAAGAGAGAUCAUUCUCCACCACUAUCAUCUUCCUCCUCCUCUCUUUAUUUUCUUUCUGUAUGUGAUACAUAAGCCAUCUUCCACAUGUGUGUGCGUUUUAUGUAGGUUGUUAGCAUUGCCAUUGAUGAAACAGUCAAAUAUGAUGAUAGUGAUGUUAAUAAUAAUAAUAAUAGUAAUAAUAAUAAUAAUAAUAAUAAUAAUUAUAAUAAUAAUCUUCUGUCAUAAAGUGACAUAAUGGAUGGUUACAAAAGGAGUGGUGAUUCUAGUGGAGUUUACUUGUAAAUAAUCAAAAUAGCUAUGAUUUCUAGCACAGGUGCAAGGCCACACAUUUUGUUGGGGUGUGGAAGUUUACUCAAUUAGAUUGACCUCUGACCUAGUAUGUCCACUCAGAAUGAGGAAAUGUAAACCAACCAUGGUAGACUUCGAUCUUAAAAUGUAAAAGGUGGUGUGGAACUAAAUAUCACCAGAUAUUUUAUAACGAUUUCUGUUUUUUUUUUUUGUUUUCUUAAUUAAAAUGAUUUCUGCGGCACAAUUGUCAUUAUGUGCAAUACCCUGCCACAUCUUCAGUCACUGUUCUUCUGUUAUACUAGUAGUGGAAGUGGUGGCCUUGGAGUAAAGGGGUAUGGUGUGUAGUACCCCGCGUCUUUCUCAGAAAGAGAGAAUUGAUCCCCGAGUACUCAACAGGUUCCGACCCAAAAUUACUAGUUAUAAUUUGCCCCUAAAAGCAAUAAACUCCUCUACAUGUGUGUGUUUCUACUGUAAUCUUAUGUUAUGCUUCUCUUCAUUUCAAAAGUGAAUUUUGUUGUUUAAAUCUCAUGCCACCCGUUACUGAACAGAUCUGUUGUAUAGCUAGAAUUACGUUUCCUCUAUUAGACUUUAGGGUGUGAUCUGAGGGAGAUUUAUCUGUAGUUUCUUGCACAUUACAUGAUCACUGAGAGAGUCUCUAUUGUUGACAUGAUUGAGCUUUGUUUUGUUUAGGUCUGAUAGCCAUGGUCUUCUUUAGUGUUAUUGCACUGCUGUGGCGAGGGUGGUAGUCAUGUGGUGGUGGUGGUAGUAGUAGUAGUAGUAAAACCAACUGACUACAGAAAACAGGUUCACAUUAUUUUGUUUCCUUUCUAUUUUCACUAUUUUAUAUCUAGAAUACGGUUUAUUUUGUGAUCAAUAUUAAACACUUAGAAAGAUAUAAUAAUAAUAAUAAUAAUAAUGAUUUCAUUUAUUUGCCACAAGGGGGAAGGAUGAGUGGGACUAAACAGAAGCAGACAUAAAGUGUGGGGGUUUACAUAUAAUAAUAAAAUGAUAAAAAAAAAGUAAACAGUAUACACUGGAAAAGAAGGGACAUAUGCAUAGCAUACAAAGGUAAAAAAAAAAUCUAAAAAAAAGGUGGCCCUUUUCAUACAGGCAUGCCUCUAUGGAUAAUCAAGGAACCCCACUGUCUGAGAUUUCCCUGAAACCCUAGGAGCAAGUGUCCUCUCCAAUUCCUUCUCUCCAACUCAUAGGUCUACACUUAGAGAGGUACCAUCCACUAUAUUAUAUCAAUAUUUGUCUUAACUGACUAUUGAAAAUUUCAUGCCUGACUUUUCACAAAAAGAAAGAAAAUAGGAAAAAAGUCACCCCUCUUACCACUAUCUUACAUAUUUUAUUCUAAUUUAAGUUCUUUUCCAUUUGAAAUGUAUAAUAGUUUGGUAAUUGUUCAGAUUAUGUAUAUGAAAUCAUAAACGUAAGAUUUUCAAUUUGGUUUGAUAUAAAAGCUUAGUUUUUGUGAAAAUGGUCAUUUUGUAUGUGAGGCUACUCUAUGUAUUAUAUCAUUCUGUAUGUAAGGCUUACCUGUGACAUUAUAAUCAAAGUGAAAAUUGCAAUCAUAUACAUAAUGUCAUUCUUCUACAUCCAUUUUCCAUUCUGGCAUACGAUGGACAGUUUGCCAAGAUCCAGUGGGUCAGAUGACUAUAUUGCGCUCUAAUGUCUCAGUUUUGGUAUUGCUUCUAUGGCUCCGUGCUCUUCCUAGCAUUAGCAUUUUUUCCAUGGGACCAGGAUUAUAGAGGUUACCUUGUUAUUGGCAAAACUUUAGAGCCCUCUGAAGGUCUGUAUUGUUGCUACUUGGUUUGAUUUACCAUCCAUUUACAGUGCAUCAACAUUAGUGGGAUUACUUUGCUACUUGCAAAGCAAAAGAGAAGCUUCUAUAAUGGUUGAAGACUGGAACAGAUUAAAUACUGUGUGUGGAUGGUGAUGGAAAGAAUAAUAGCAGAAAUAUUGUUUGGCUGGGAAUAAUGGAGAUGGGACAGGAAGAUUAAUGUUAAAGUUUAGUCUAAGAGAUUUAGGGAGGAGGUGGGUUAAGUAAUGAUGAUGGUAGUAUGCAGGGUGGGGUCCAAGGCUAUCCUACACUGUAAGGUUGAGUAUGAGUGAAGAGUGGAAGGGAUAUGAAAGAGAGCAAAUAGAUAAAGAUGAUGUGAAUCGAAAGCAUCACUGAAAGAAAGAAAGGUGUUGGAUGGUGAAGGUAACCCAGAGCUGGUGUUGAGGUGGUGAGGACAAUGAGAGAAAAGAAGGCAGAGAAGAGUGAUAGAUGGCAGUGAAUGAGCAAAAAUCUCAGGGAUAUGAAUGAUAGAGUGAUGGUUGAAGUAAGUAAGGAGAUUGAUGGAGGAAGAGGGAAUGUGGGUACAGGUAGAAUGAUGAUGACUGGUGCUCACUGGCGCCUUUCUCUUUAACUGCUGGUUGACUCUUGUUUUGAGACUUAAUUUUGGUAGAUGGAAACUAUAAGAAGCCCAUUGUGUAGUGUGUUAUUUUGCCUUGGCAUGUGUUCACUAAAUUUAAAGGGAUGUCAACUAUUUUACAAAUGGUGUUAUUUGUUUACAGCCCUCUGUAAAAGCAUAUGCAACCAUUGAACUGUUUGUUAUUGGAGAGACAAGGGGAAAUAUUAACCUGAUUUGGAACAUGUGAGUGUUGGUGACAAGAAAUGUAUUUAACCAUUGAAGUAACUUCUGAUUCAUGCAAAAGUGAAUGUUAAACUGAUGUUAAUAUUUGACUGUCUGUCUAAGGUAGGCGCAAUUGUGGCUGUUUGCUUCUCAGCUGGUUUUAGGUUCAGUUCCACUACAUGGUGUCUUGAACAAGUGUCUUCCACUAUAGCCCUAGGCCAACCAAAGCCUUGUGAGUGCAUUUGAUAGAUGUGACUUCUGUUCCCACCUCUUCAUUACUCAUCUUCUUAGUCAUUACAUUGUUGCAUGUGUUAUGACACAGACAUUGGUUUUCUUUAUAUUUAAUCACUAUAUCAUCCUAUCUUUCUUCUACAUGAAGUCUGUGUGACAAAGGGUGGCAUCAAAUUUGUCCAUACUCAAUAAUAAUAAUAAUAAUAAUGAUCCUUUCUUCUAAAGGCACAAAGCCUGAAAUGUUGGGUGAGGGAACUAGUCGAUUACAUCAACCCUAGUAUUCCACUGGUACUUAUUUUAUCAACCCCAAAAGGAUGAAAAGCGAAGUUGACUAUGGCGGAAUUUGAACUCAAAACAUAAGGACAAAUGAAAUACUUCAAAACAUUUUCCCGGUGUGCUAAUAAUUCUGCCAGCACGCUGCCUUGGACCAGGUAUUGAAUACCAACUCAGUGAAAAAGAAUAUAUACCACACAAGUGCAACAGACAUCUGCAAAAUGUGUGGGAAGAGUUCAAAAGCGUGACUAACAUUGUUAGUGAUUGUAAAAGUCUUGUGAAGAAAGAGUAUAAGUGUAGACAAGAUGAGGUUAUGGGUACUUGGUACCAACAUUCACCAGAAAAGGUAAUGGAUGAAAAGGGGAAGGCAAAAAUCCUCUGAGAUUUUGACUUCCAGAUAGACAAGGUGUUAGAGCACCGAAGGCUGGAUAUAAUAAGCUUUAGGAGAGACAAACAAGUGCUUAAUUAUUGAUGUGGCAGUGCCAGGAGAUCAAGAUCUCAUCAUGAAAGAAAGAGAAAAGGUUGAUAAAUAUGGUGACCUGAGAAUUGAGAUUGCUAAGAUUUGGCAGCUCUGAGAGUCAAACAUAAAAGUUAUCCCUAUUGUCAUCAGAGCACUGGGUUCAAUACCACCCAAUCUAAAGACCUUAGAAAUACCCUGUGAUCUAGAUGUAUUGCAAAAGUCAGCAUUACUUGGAACUGCAUGCAUAUUGCUUAAAGUAGUGUCUGUCUGAAGUCCUUGUGACUUGACAAACAGUACAAACCCCUGGAAGACAGUAUCUUCAAUCAACAACCUCACAAUAUUGUAUAUUUCGGAUAAAGUACCAUUUCUCAACUGGUACUUAUUUCAUCAACUCUGAAAGGAUGAAAGGCAAAAUUGACCUUGUUGUUUGGCCCUAAGUCAAUUCUGAAUUAUAAGACCUAUGAUGGAAAGUAUUCAAACAGUAACCUGUGAAUCUCUUGUUUUUUCAUGUAAAGACCUGGUCCCUUUGUAUGGUCUCUGUAUGUGCAACCUAGGGCAUGUGUUUUUGAGGAAGACUUGCAGUUACCCAAACAUGUGAGCCUAUUCUCUUUAUGUUACCAUGGGCUAAUACAACCUAACAUAUCAUUGCAGGGAUUGUUGUGUGAAUGCAAAGGGUUUAAACAGACACCACAAGGUAGAUUGCCCAACCCACUAACACUUCCAUCAACCUAUCAUCUUGGAUUAGUAUGUUUUUUUUUAAAAGAUUCUCCUUCUCCCAAAGGAUGAAAAGCAAAGUUGACUUUGAUGGAAUUUGAACUUUGAGUUUAGAGAAUCAGAAUAAAUACUGAGAUAUUUUUCCAAUGCUCUACCAACUCUGUCAGUUCACUGUCCUUGUGUGUCUCAUGCUGCAAUAUCCUACCUCUUUUCUGUUUUAGAAUCAUCAGCUGUGCUUUUAGGGAGACUUGGUUGCUACUUCUAUCAGACUGAGCAACUGUAUAGGUACUCCUUGUGAUUUCUAACAUUUUGGAUUUAAGGUUGUAUUAACUCCAGUACUUGCACCUUUCUUUUGUCAUAGCCAGAAGAAUGAAAACCAAAAAUGAGCUCAGGACAUAAAGGGAUAAUAAGGAUGUUGCAACUGAUUCAGGCACAAGGCCAACAAUUUGAAGGGAGUGGGGUUACACCACCCACUCACACUAUGUAACUAGUAUUUGAACUCAUAAACAAAAGAGUUAAUACUGCAAAACUUCUUUUUCCAGUAGUCUUCAAUAAUAAUAAUCAUAAUCAAUAAUAGCCCUCAGAAGGAUGAAAAGCAAAGCUGACCUAGGCACUGGGGUGGCUGUGUGGUAAGUAGCUUGCUUACCAACCACAUGGUUCUAGGUUCAUUCCCACUGUGUGGCACCUCGGGGCAAGUGUCUCCUAUAGCCUUGGGCUGACCAAAGCCUUGUGAGUGGAUUUGGUGUAAUUUGAAUUCAGAAUGUAGCAAUGGGCAAAAUACCGCUAAGGAUUUCAUCCGUCGCACUAACGAUUCUGCCAGCUUAACACCUUCAAUAAUAUUAACAAUAAUUUGUAGAAAGAGUCACUGUGAGACCUUUGACAACAGGUUGCUGUCUGCUCUCACAGAAUUAACCAGAGCAAGUUAGAUCAAAAGCACUGAGAAGUAAAAUAUAAUAACUAGCAGGACCUGUGAAAAUUCUACAGUGUAAGUCAGCAUAUUUAAAAACAUUGUUAUAUUAAACACAAGCAAGGAAUUUCUAAAAUGUUUUUGAAAUACUGCCAUUUAAGCAAACUACUUUUAAAUAUAAUCAAAAUGAAUUUUAGAAGGUAUUGCUUAUUUCUUUCUUUUAAUAUAUUUGGCAGAUGUGAUGUACUUUAUGAUUUAAGAAAGUAAAAGAUAAACUAAAAUAAAACCUAUUCAUACAUACAGGGGUUGGACAAAAUAAUGGAAGCACCUAGCAUCAUGGCAUCAUAAGUUUGAAAUAUCUAUAAAACCGUUGAAAGCUUGUUUAUUUUUAUGUUUUUUGAUUUAUUAUUAGUAUUGCUUAAUAAGUUUUGCUAAAAUUGUUGUUUCUUUUCAGAUAUCAUUAGAAAAAGGUAAUUAAAAUUCAUUAAAAUGACAAAUCUAUCGGACUUUCAAAGAGGUCAAAUUGUUGGUGCUCGUAUGGCAGGCGCUAGUGUAACGAAACAGCUGAGAUGUUUUGGUGUAUCAAGAAGUACUGUCUCAAAAGUAAUGACAGUCUUUGAGAAGGAUGGAAAAAUCUCCUCAUCAAAACAAAACUCCGGAAGAAAACCAAAACUUUCAGAUAGGGACCGUUGGACUCUUACAUGAAUUGUUAGAAAGGAUCACAAAAUACAGCUCCCAAAAUUCCUACAGAGCUUAAUGAUUACCUCAAGAACUCAGUUUCCACAAAAACUGUUCAUUGGGAGCUGCACAAAGCCAGAUUUCACAGGAGGGCUACAAUCAGAAAACCAAUACUUUCAAAAACAAGCGUUGCAAAGCAUUUAGAGUGGAGUAAAAGUCAACAGAAUUGGUCCCUAGAGCUGUGGAAGAAUGUUAUUUUCUUGGAUGAGUCAUCCUUUACCUUAUUUUCAACCACCAGCCAAGUAUACGUGUGGAGACAGCCAAAAGAAGCAUUUGAUCCAGACUGCCUUCUUCCAACUGUUAAACAUGGAGGAGGAUGUGGGAUGAUCUGGGGAGCUAUAUCUUGGAAAUCUGCCAGCCCAAUGGUUCCCCUUCAUGGCAGAAUUAAUAGUCAAGACUAUUAAGCAUUUCAUCUUAUCAAACUCAUCCUAUGGUUGCAGAACUGUUUCUGGAGGAAAACACAAUCUUUCAGGAUGAUAAUGCACCAAUUCACACAGCUAAGGUUGUUACUGAAUGGCACAAGGAACAUCUUAUCUAGCCACCAGAGUCCCCAGAUCUCAGUGUUAUUGAACAUUUAUGGUGCAAUUUAGAAAACAAGUAAGGAGUCGAUAUCCUCCACCAUCAUCACUACAAGAACUGGAGACUGGACAAAAAUUCCUUUGGAAACAAUUCAAACCUUGUAUGAGUCCAUACCUCAUAGAAUUCAAGCUGUAAUUACUGCCUAAGGUGGUCCUGCCCCAUAUUAAAGUAAAUUUGUUUGAAAUUUUAAAGUGUUUCCAUUAUUUUGUCCAACCCCUGUAUGUAUGUAUGUAUGUAUAUAUAAUAUAUAUAUAUAUAUAUAUAUAUAUAUAUACACACACACACACUCAUAUAACUUUAUAUAUAUAUAUAUACACACACACAUACACACACUCAUAUAACUUUACACACACACACACACACAUGUGUGUGUGUGUAUAAAAUUACAUUUUUCACUGUCCAACCACUACCAAGGCUUAAUUGAGUUAUUUACCAAUUGAAAUUAUUUCAAUUUCCUUUCAUUUCAGUUCAUUUCAGCUACAUAUCUACUUGUAUAUCUAUUAAUAUAUCUCUCUAUCUGCAUAUCUGCUGAUAUGUUUGUAGAUCCACCUGUCUACCUAUCUAUCUAGUCCUUUAUAUUGACUCCAGCACUCAACUAGUACUUAUUUUAUCAACCCUGAAAGGAUGAAAGGCAAAGUUGAUCUUAGUGGAAUUGGAAUUGAAAAUGUAAUUAUGGACAAAUUGUCACUAAGAAUUUUGUUCAGCAUGCUAAUGAUUCUGCCAGUUUGCUGUCCUAAUAGUAGUAAUAAUAGUGGUUUCAAAUUUUGGUAUGGGGCCAGUAGUUUUUGAUGGAGGAGUAAGUGGAUUGCAUCAACUCUCUAUGCCUGACUGGUACUUAUUUUAUCAAUUCCAGAAGGUUGAAAGGCAAAGUUGACCUCAGCAGAAUAUGAACUCAGGACAUAAAGAUUGUGAAAUACUGUUAAACAUUUUGUCCAGUAUGUUAACUAUUUUGCCAGUUGACUGUCCUUGUAUAAUAAUAAUGAUGUUGGACCCUGCUGUCGAAGAUGAUGUAUGAGUGUUCAGCUUUUGCCAAACGACCUGCACAAAUGAUUUGUUUAUAAUCAUAAAAUGUUCAAGUCACACACUAGCUCAAUCUCUCCAUCAAAUCGACAUUGUCUGAAUAGGUGCGCAGUGUAACAUGCAUUGGGUGUUGAAGUGAUUGCAGAGCAAUGUGAGAUUAAGUGUUUUUAAUAAUAAUAAUAAUAAUAAUAAUAAUAAUCCUUUCUACUAUAGGUACAAGGCCUGAAAUUUUUUAGAGAAAGGGGGCUAGUCAAUUACAUUGACCCAGUCCUUAACUGGUACUUAUUUCAUUGACCCCGAAAGGAUGGCAGGCAAAGUUGACCUCAGUGAAAUUUGAGCUCUGAACAUAAAGAUGGAUGCUAUGCUUGUGACCAUUUGUUUUGUGUGCUAAUGAUUCUCAUUGUCCUCAAAUAAUAACACUGAUAAUAAAAGAUUUUUGCAAUUGAAAAAAGUAUGUAUUGAUGGGAACUAAAUCAGUUUGCAUAUGAAAAUGAUUUGCAGGAUUUGAGUGAAUGAAAGGAUAUAGAGACACUUUUGAAUGUCUAGAACUGUUGCUGCUGAAGGAAGUAGAGAAAAGAUAAAACAUUGAAAAAAGUUAAUUAGGACAUAACAAUAUCAGUUUAUUUAUAUCUUUUAUUAAGCAUGAUACUUUGAGUUUCAUGUGAAGAAGAAAUGGCAAAUUAUAAUGUUCGUGCUUUUCUUCUGGUUAAUAAGGAAGGCAAUGAAUUCAGUAAUUCCAACUUCCAGAUUUCAAGCAAACAAUUAAAAUAAUUUCUUAAACACAGUGUCUCACCUUUUGUGGGAAGUGUAUAAGCUGUUUACUGGUAUAUAGUAAUGUGUCAGUAUAACAUUGGUAUAUUAUUAUAUUUGAUAGAGUGAAUGUGCAAGUUGAUUCUGGAUUGAGUUUGAAUUCCUGAAAGAAGACAUCUCAUUUGCCUCCAUGCUUCCACUGAUUCUGUGACAUUUCACACUUUAAGUAAUCUUUCUAGCUGAAAUGUAAAGGGAUGUGGGUGUGAUGAUUGAUUUGAUCUUUUAUCAUGUUUUAUUAACCCUUUUGAUAACCAACCCACCUGAGAUGUCCUUAGUUCUAAGAUUAAAACUUCCUGUUUCAAAGUGAUCUAAGUUAAAAACCCCUUCCUUCAAAAUUUCAUGUUAUGCUCUAAAUACCAGCUUAAUCACGAUGUAAUUUUUUUUGAUUCUUCAAUAUAAAAAAAAUGAAUUCAAUCAUAAGCUGUGUAUUUCAACAGAAUAGGGUAGUAAAAGCAUUUAAGCCUAGACUAUUUGUAUUUUUUCUCCCCUCUGAAACAGAAGAGAUGGAAUGGAGAUUUCAUGUUUUUUAACUUCUAAAUAGGAUUCAUAUUUUAUUAACUCGAGCGUAUUAGUUUCUUCUGAGUACACCACACUUCAUAAUAAUAAUAUUUCUGUGAACUAAACAAAUGCCAGUCAUGUCACAGAGUAGACCUCAUUGAUACACACAAGUUUGGCAGAUCACCAAUUCUUAUUUUCUUAACAAUGAAUUGAUAACACAACUUAAACAUAUGAACAUAGUGGUAAAAAUAGCAGUGAUUUAUCUUGACAAGGCCAAAUUCUACCUGUUCAAGCUACAAGUUCAUUGAAUCAAUUACAAUAUUUGUUUUAUCAGGUAGCAUGAAAAUCUAGUUGGUUAAAAUGGGAUUCCAAUCAAAGUAAGUAGAAUAAAGCAUCUCAGCCAUGUGUCUGUAUCAGAGAUUAUUUCUUGCAUAAACAUAACAAUUGAAUGAAAAGUGGGAAGUUUUGGUAAUGAUGCAUUCUUCAGAAGGUAAUAUCAGAAAUUUUAGCAAAACCAAACUGUUCAUUGAUAAGGUUUAAAAAAACCAAUCAUUUGCAAGAAAAUAAAACAAAAUCUCUGUCUCUGUCUGUCUGUCUCCCUCUCUCUCUCUCUCUCAUGCGCACACACACGCAUGCGCGUGCGCGCGCGCGCACACACACACAAAAGAUGCUGGCAUGGCUGUUUUGCAACCAAGUGGUUUCAGAUCUGGACCUAUUGUGUGACAUCAUAGGCAAGUGUCUUGGGGUGACCUCUUCGGUUUGAGACACAUUAGAUAAAUAGAUUCUGUAUGGAAGUCCUUUGUGUGUGUCUGUGUAAAAGUAUCGAUGAAGGUCUUAUGUACUGUUUCCUGCCUCUGUAUAUGUUUAUUACAACAUGUCUUGAUAUUGACACAGUUUCAGUAGCAAUGAUGUUUUGAUACAUGUAGGAAGAGGUAAUAGAAACAAAAGACCUACUGAAGUAGUAUGAUGGAAGAAGAAUUAGUGAAAUGAGGGAGGCAGUGAUGGAAGAGGGAGUACUGAAAGUGAAGAAAGAUGAGAGAGAUUGAUGGGUAGAAAUUAGGAUGAGUGAUUGUGUGUAUUUAUGUAUAUGGUGGAUAUCCCUAAAUGAUAAUGAGUAAAUGGGGAGAGAAGAGAAAGAAAGUGAGUGGUGUCUAUCAAUAAAGGUGUUAGUAGGGGCAGAUUUGAUAUUUGUCUCUCAUGAUACAUGUGGUAUGAUGGUGUCACAGAGGUGAUGAUAAAAAGGUCAAUAUCCAAAUGCCAAUAUCCAUCACCACCACUUUUUAGCAGCAGAUUCACUAUAUUUGAAUAGGUAUGUGGGUCUUGUCCAGCAAAAUAUCAUGCAUUGCAGUCCAUUGUCAUGCUCAUUAGUAUUACAUGCCCACUGCAGCAUACUUCAAUUCUUUCCUUGCCUUUGCAAAUCUUUUACAUUCAACCUCUAUAUCUUCCCACCAUGUAACAUCACAUUAUAGGCUCAUGCUGUCUCCUCAGAGACGGAAAUCCUUUACAACAAGCAGAAAUCAUUCUCCUCUUACCCUGUUCAUAUUCUAGCUGUUAUGUUUUCAGAACACUCACCUCCAUUGUUAAAUACGUUCCCCAGGGAAUCUUCUGGGUAUUUAAAGGAAUUUAUUGACUGCCCUUGUGUAUCUGCCACAUAUAAACUUCACCUUAUCUAUCUGUCUGAGAUUCUGCCACAUGUUUUGUGUGUUCAUAGUUUACAUGAGCUACUCUGUAUUUCUACCUGUAUUUUUUCUGCGCAUAUUAAACAUGGUCACUUCCCUCUCUUUUCUUGUUUGUAAAACUUUCUUGAUUUUGUUUCCAUGUCUGGAAUUUACUCUUCAAAUCUUCUCUAGAUUCAGCUGUAAGAACUCAACCAUUAUCAUACAAGAGUUUCCAUCAAUAGCUGGUCUUAAACUCUUUUGUUGCGGCUCAGGAGGGACCUCUACCAGCAUGCCAUGUUAAAUUUGUCACAGAUUGCAUUGCUGACCAUUCUCUACAUGACUUAUAUGACUCACAAACCAUCCAUCCAUCUAACCCUAGUUUUCGUAGCAAUCACUGAACUGCACAAUGUAAAAUCUUAUCUUGUCCAGGUUAACAAUUGCUAAGUACUUCCCCUGUAAUAGUCUCACAAGAAAGAAGACAUUUGUAGUGCCUCCUAGUGAUAUAAAUCUUAAUUACAUUUCAUGUGUCACAAUUCUGCCAAAGUUGAACUAAAAACCAGUUAUGUACUGAGAUCUAUUUAAUCAGCUACAUUGCCCCCUUAAAUUUCUGUCACUUGCAGUUAUUUUUGAUUUCUUCCCAAACAAAGGGAUUCCUUAUUUUGUUUUAUUUUUGUCAAAUAAGGCUGGGGUGUUUGAAAAGUCAGUUUCCACUGACAAUUUCCUGUCAGUGGUUCACGAUGCAAGUCAUCAUCAUCUUUAAGGGUGAUGACAGAGAUGAUAUUAAUAUUGGCAAUACACCUUGGUUCUCAAUAAAAGAAAUUCAUUAAUAUAAUCCACAGAGGAGUGGUUGUGUGGUAAGUAGCUUGCUUACCAACCACAUAGUUCCGGGUUCAGUCCCACUGCGUGGAAAUUUGGGUAAGUGUCUUCUACUAUAGCCUCGGGCUGACCAAAGCCUUGUGAGUGAAUUUGGUAGAUGGAAACUGAAAGAAGUCCAUCAUAUAUAUAUAUGUAUAUAUAUGUGUGUGUGUGUGUUCGUACCCCAACAUCGCUUGACAACCGAUGCUGGUGUGUUUACGCUCCCGUAACUUAGCAGUUCGGCAAAAGAGACCGACAGAAUAAGUACUAGGUUUACAAACAUUAAGUCCUGGGGUCGAUUUGCUCGACUAAAGGCAGUGCUCCAGCAUGGCCACAGUCAAAUGACUGAAACAACUAAAAGAGUAAAAUAUUGAUGAUAAAAUUUGUUUCUUUUUAUACACAUGCAAGUGUGCGUGAAUGCCUAUUAUAUAGCUACAAGAGUAUCUAUUGAACUCACACAUCUCAACAAGACAAGGUAGAAUAAAUUGCAUAUAGAAUUGUUUUGAUAUUUUUCAAUAUUUUUCAUGACAACCCACCCACACAAAGUGCAAUAAGACAGUUGUUGCUGCUGUGUGGGCAGCAACAGCAACAACAGCAGCAGCUGUAUGUUUCCCAAGUAGAUAUAAGUGGAAGGAUAUGGACUGGUUGGUGAUAUUGAGUGAGGUGGAGGAAUGGAAAGCCUGAGAGAGGGAGUGAGUAAGAAAGUGUGUGUCAGGAAGAGGUUAGUGUGAGUUACGGUAGAAGAGAAGAGUGAGAGGGAAAAUGAGAGGUUUUGAGAGAUUGUGUGUAGCGAGGAAGGAGGGUAGAUCAAGAAACUGGUCAAGAGUGAAAGUGAGAGAGAAGGCUAAGAGUUAGAGAGGUGUGUGUGAUAGAGUGAGAGAUGAUAGGUUGGAAAGGGACAAUAGGUGGGAGUGCUGUAAAACAGGAGAGGAGAAUGGAGUGAUGGAAGUAGAAACUGAAAGAAGAAUAGAAACUGAAGUGGCGGAGGAAGGGGAGAGACUAGAAAGAGAGGGGAGGAGGGAGGAAAUCAUGAAAAUAAAAUGGUCACAACAAGAUGGUUAGUUUUUGGAGGAUUUUACUUUUAUUUUAUAUUUUGAGGAGGCGAAUAAUUAGUUAAGAAAUAUCUUCAUCUAUUUUACUUUCAAAAAUUUUUUUUUUGCCGAUAAUUUAUUGAAUUCUAAAUUUUAUAACAAAACAUAUGCUGAGAGUUGGUUGUGAAAUAUCUUUGAAUAUUUGAGAGAGUUAUUUCUCCUUGGUCUACCUGUGUGUGUGUGUGUGUUUGGAAAAAGAGUGCCACCAGCCAUGACCUUUGCAAGGUCAUUGGAACUGAAGAGGAACAAGGGGAGCUAGACUAGGUGUGGCAGUAGGAAGCAGCACAUCAAAAUACUAACACCUGGUCUAAAUGUUUUGAGUGGACGCUCUUCCAGAAAGACAAAGGACCAGGUAGCUGUGUGAAACUGGGUGAUAGAUUAGGUCUUACCACCCAAAAAGAAUAACAGCCUCCCUGCCAACUCCAAACAGCGACAUAUCUCUUCAAUAAUAAUAAUGGUUUCUUAUUAUUUUCUUAGAAAUUUUUAUUCUUAAUUAUAAGAAUUAAAUUCUAGUUGCGGCUGAGAAUAUACUGUUGUAGUUUCUACAUUCUAAUUACAAAGAAUGAGAAUGUAUGGUAGGAAUUGAACUUAUCUUGGACUUGUUAGCUGUAUACUCCAAUACUAUGGGGAUACAAUAGUUUAGUUUUGUUGAAAUUGCUCCAUUUCUGGAGUGAUGUUAUCACUGAGGAUCUGUUCUGGUGAAAACAUUACCUUCACAUAUCUACUAUUGAACCUCAGUGAGUGACCCUUCUCUUCUGGAGCAGAGCAUACUUUGACCCCAAUAGUUAUUGAUGUACACACUUACAAACAAAAUUUUUUGAUAUACAAUGAUUUUAUGCCUGCUUUCCAUACUGGAUGGAAGCACUCCGUCAGUUACGACGACAAGGGUUCCGGUUGAUCCGAAUCAACGGAACAGCCUGCUCGUGAAAUUAACGUGUAAGUGACUGAGCACUCCACAGACACGUGUACCCUUAACGUAGUUCUCGGGGAUAUUCAGCGUGACACAGAGAGUGACAAGGCCGGCCCUUUGAAAUACAGGUACAACAGAAACAGGAAGUAAGAGUGAGAGAAAGUUGUGGUGAAAGAGUACAGCAGGGAUCACCACCAUCCCCUGCCGGAGCCUCGUGGAUCUUUAGGUGUUUUCGCUCAAUAAACACUCACAACGCCUGGUCUGAGAAUCGAAACCGCGAUCCUAUGACCGCGAGUCCGCUGCCCUGACCACUGGGCCAUUGCGCUCCACUUUCCAUACUAGUGUGGUUUGGAAGAGUCAUCACACAUCUGAUUAGUUCUUAUUUGGAACUACUUCCCUUCUGGACAGACAAGUACUCCACAUCUUGCACAUAUGUUCCAUUUUUGGUGUGUGUUGUAUAGCUGGAUGCCCUUUCUAACACCAACCAUUGUAUAGAGUGUACUGGGUGUAUUGUAUCAUGGUACCACCACUAGAAAAGUUGUCAUGUCUUCAAGAGGAUAAGUCUAAAGAAUACUUUGCACCCUAUUUUGACUCUGCUAAUUUACCAAUCACGUUACAAUGUAUAGUGAGUGCAGUUUAUAGUGGAACCAGUUUUAGUGAGGAUAUCUUGUACCUCAAAGAGAAAAGGUCCAUGUUGCCUCCAUCCAUUCAGUAUAGCAUAACCAAUAGUGAGUGUAGAGAAGGAGAAACUUGGGUAAUAGGGAAAUAGAAGUGUGAGUAUGAUAAAGUGGGGGGUGAAAGAAAUAGAAUGGCUGGAAAAUGAGUUUAGAGAUAGCAAGAAGAAUGGGAAAGAGAUAUUAAUAGAGAGGGCUACUAAUGGUUGCUAGAUGUUUGUUGCUAAAACAGCAAGAGUGGGAAACAAUGAGGGGUAAAUUAAAACAAAGCACCACCGUCUUCAAAUGGUGUCAUGUAAGGGCAUGGAAAGAAAACUUUCAUGCACACAUGCACACAUUAUGGCAGGUUUCCAUACAGCUUCCAUCUGCCAGUUUCAUCCAUUCUGCCUGCCUGUUCAUUUUUGUUUAUAACCUAUAAAGGGUGUCAAGCGACACCAUUGCACAACUCUAGUAAACAGACAUGGCUGGGUGAAAUGUGCAUUUGUGACCAUGUUGAUCUCCAUGUAGUUUUGGUAUGCAUAUAUAUGCAUACCAUAUAGACUGCAUGUUCUCCCCUUCACACAUGCUUACUACAUCAACAUUUAAAUGUCUUUCUAUGUGAAUAAUUGUGUGUGCAUGUGUGAGUAUGUCUUUAUAUAUCUAUAGGUAUGUGUGUGUAUGUGUGUGUGUGUGUAUAUAUAUGUAUAUAUGUAUAUAUAUAUAUAUAUAUAGGUGUGUGUGUGUAUGUGUCUAUAUAUGUGUAUGUAUAUGUAUAUAUAGUGUGUGAAUGUAUAUGUAUAUAUAGGGGGAGAGUUCAUGAAAAAACCAAAGAGAGAAACAAGAAGAGAAGAAAAAAUGUGUGUAGUGGCUACCGAUCUAUCGUGUGUGUGUGUGCGUAUGUAUGUAUAUACACUCACACACACACACACAAAUAAAUAUAUGUAUGUAUGUAUGUAUGUAUGUAUGUAUGUGUAAAUUCACUCUAGUUUGUGAAUAUGUUGUUCUGUGGAGAAGCACUUUCACAUAUGGAACAAUGUAUAAGGUUCACAUUUAACAGCUAUUUUGAUGCAUACUUACAACCUUUCAUAGAUAAAUAUACAUUUCUACAUUCACUGCAAACACUGCACACCUCCAAACAGAUGUGUGCACUCUGCUAAACUGUAUCACCACCUUUCAAUGUUGCAGGUUUGUUGAUUUGGCAUAUUUCAGCAGUUUGUGGAAACUGUUCGAGCUUACACUUCUACAAGUGUAACAAGGUUUUCUUGUCUUUUAAUUAUUACAAGCUCAAAGUAUUGCUCACCUGAUUUUAUUUUUUAUUUUUCCUGUUUUAUAUUUCAGGUUUCAUUUCUCAGUUUCUUCCUGACCUUUUGUUUCAGUAAACAGAGUUAGGAGUUAGUAUUUUCUCAUUUUGACUUUAUUUAGCGCAAAUGUCCCCCCCCUCUCUCUCUCACCACACACACACACACCAAAGUUAGUUGUAAAUGAAUAUUGUUUAUAGGAGAAUCGGUUAAACUAUUGCCUGAAAUUUCAAAGGAUCUCAUGUUUCCUGGUUUUUAAAGGUUUUUGUGCUUUACAACUGUUAUGCGUCUAGCAAUGUCAUUAACUGUUUUUUUUUUACUGAAGUUCAAUAUGUGUGUAGGCACAGGUAUGGCUGUGUGGUUAAGAAGCUCACUUCCCAACUCAAUAGUUUCAGGUUUAAUCCCACUAAACAGUAACUUGGGCAAAUAUCAUCUGUAGAUCUGAGCUAAUGAAAGCCUUGUGAGGGUAUUUGGUAGACAGAAUUUGAAAGAAGUUUCUCUCUCUCUCUCCCUCUCUCUAUUUGUAGUUUUCUGUUAAAAAUGUAUCUAGCCAUGGGGUAAUAUUACCUUGGUUAGAAAUAGAUGAGGGUUGGUGACCAGAAGGGCAUCCAACUGUAGAAAAUCUGUUUCAACAAAUUUGGUUUGGCCCAUGCAAGCAUGGAAAAGUGGAUGUGAAAAUGAUAAUGAUGUGUGCAUGUGAAAAUGAUGAUGAUGUGUGCAUGUGUAUUAUUUUUUUUUUUUUUAAUGUGAAGUUAUAAAAACAAUUUAGCAUUAAACUGAGAGAUUAAUCAAAUACUUUUUAGCAGAGUACAUAUUCAUUAAUUUUUCUAAGGUAAAGGUUUGAUGAUUGCUGUAUGAUAAUUAAAUCUUUAUAAGCCUAUCACUGCAUCUGUUCCCUGUUAGCUAUUACAGUUAUUUGGCAGUGGCCCUCAUUAAUUUUCUGGACAAAGGGCCUCUCGCUCAGAGUAAAAGGUAAACCGUAUGAUGCAUGUGUACGAACAGCCAUGCUACAUGGCAGUGAAACAUGGGCUGUGACUGCUGAGGACAUGCGUAAGCUCGCAAGGAAUGAAGCCAGUAUGAUCCGAUGGAUGUGUAAUGUCAGUGUGCAUACUCGACAGAGUGUAAGUACCUUGAGAGAAAUGUUGGACCUAAGAAGCGUCAGAUGUGGUGUGCAAGAGAGACAACUGUGCUGGUAUGGUCAUGUGGAGAGAAUGAAUGAGGAUAGCUGUGUGAAAAAGUGCCACACCCUAUUAAGGGAACUUGUGAUAGAGGUAGACCAAGGAAGACCUGUGAUGAAGUGGUGAAGCAUGACCUUCGAACUUUAGGCCUUACCAAGGAAAUGACUAGUGACCAAGACUUUUGGAAAUAUGCUGUGCUUGAGAAGAUCCGGCAGGCCAAAUGAGACCAUAACCUCGUGGCCUAUGCCAGGGGCGUAACCAGCCCACUUAUGCGUACCUUUUCCUUCUUUGGACACUAAAACUCUGCUUGUAUAGACCUGUUGAGGCAAGUGAAAUCAAAAGCAAAUUUGAUGACUGACAUCUGUGCUAGCGGGUUGCAAAGAGCACCAUACGAGUGUGAUCGUUGACAGAGCGGCUAACCGGCUUCCGUGCCAGUGGCACAUAAACGGCACCAUUCAAGUGUGAUCAUUACCAGUGUCGCCUUACUGGUACUCGAGCCGCAUGCUAGUAGGGUGUUAAGAGCACCAUCGGAGCAUGAUCGUUGCCAGAGUGGCUAUCUGGCCUCCAUGCCGGUGGCACAUAAAAGGCACCAUUCGAGUGUAAUCAUUACCAGCAUCGCCUAACUGGCACCUGUGCCGGUGGCAUGUGUAAAAGAUUUGAGUGAGGUCAUUGCCAGUACUGCCUGACUGGCCUCAUGCCGGUGGCACGUAAAAAGCACCCACUACACUCUUGGAGUGGUUGGUGUUAGGAAGGGUAUCCAGCUGUAGAAACUCUGCCAGAUCAAGAUUGAAGCCUGGUGCAGCCAUCUGGUUCGCCAGCCCUCAGUCAAAUCAUCCAACCCAUGCUAGCAUGGAAAGCGGACGUUAAACGAUGAUGAUGAUCAUCAUCAUCAUCAAUAACGUUUUUGAGCUUAUUGGAUGAAUUCUGGUGUCCUUAAUGUUCAAAUAUUUAGAAUAUUUUUUUCUCUUUGUUACAGCUGAAACACUCCUGUCAGAGUCUUUCAAUUCCAUCUGAAUUUCGUGUACAAAAGGAUUUGCAAUGUUUAAAAAGUUGGCAAUUUCUGAAUGACUGUGUUCCACAUACUUGGGUACAAUGGCUGCAUGUCUUUUUAUUUCUUGUGUUAACAUGUUAUCUAUCAUGGGGGAUAUGAAAAAAAUGAAAACCUUUUAAUUUGUUUGAAGAAUGUAAUAUACUGAUAAUUAAGUGUCCUCAAAUGCCCCUCAUUUCCUGUAUGUCUUGCAAACUCUCUCACCUACCUAAGUGCUGCCAAGCUCUUCUGGAUCUCUACUAAUAUUGCAGAAUCUUCUUCCUCUGCCAUUCCUCAAGAAAGAUGAGUUCUCUUAGUACUUCUGCUGCAAAUAAAUUCAGUAGAUUUGCUCUUUGUUUUAUUUUUAUCUCUACACUCCUCACACACAACACAACUUCUUUAAAUUCUGUCAAUCUCUCUCAUGCAACAAGACCUUACUUUAACCUUCACCUGUCCUACCACCAUGUACAAACUCUCCUUCAACUUUGUCUGAACUUGAUACUGACCACUCCAUUGCAUUCAAACAAUGCUAUCUUUAACCACAACCCUCCUCCCACUUGCUCUCAUUCAGUCAUGCAUGCAUUUUCUUUCUUAACACACACACGCGCACAAUCUCUCUUUCACUCUUACCCCAUGAUACAUGUUUUAUCUCUUUUUCUCAAGCAUACAUCCACUCAUGAACUCACAGUCCCAUGACUUGAAUUGUGAAAGAAAAGAAAAGGAUCCUGAUAGUAUUCUGAUUCCAUAUCUAAUGAUUUUAUCAAAUAUAAUCCAAGAUUUCAGAACAGUAUAAAUAGAACCAAUGUGUGUGGUUGUGGUACCUUAACUAAAUGUUUAACAAGUUGGGUUUAUGUGUAUGAAGGAAUAGAGAAGGCAAGAAUACAUGUUAGGACAAGUGUUGUUAUGGCUGAGACCAUUUCUUAAAUAAAUAAAGAUGAUGAAAUAAUAGCACACAGUAAUAUGUGCACCUUAUGUGUACCAUUGUUGUGCAGUAUAUGUUGCAAGAGAGAAGGCAGAAACUCUCUGACAAUCGAUUAGUUCCACUGCAAAACAAACAGACAAUUUCAUUUCAGUACCCCCACCCUUGUCUCUUGUAUAGCUUCAGCAUUUGGUUGACAUUAAAACAUUCUUUUAGAAACUGAUUUUACUCAAGAUUCUAAACCUGAUUGCAGCCUACUGCUCCCCAAGUGAUGUAUGUUGUGUGUUAAUCUAAAAAAGUGGAAGGGUCAGAGCUCAUAGCACUUCUAAACCAUUCCCGGAAGAGGUGGUGGUGGUGGUGGUGGUGGUGGUGGAUCAGUAUAAUCAUUAUCAAUGUUCUUGGAAUUCAUAAAUGAUCGAUGAAGUUAGUGUAUAACCCCAGGUCAGCCUUAAUUGACCAUCUUGUCUUUUUCUUAUGUUCAAGGAAUAGUUGCAUUGUUGUUUUAAGCUGAUAGGAUAUAGUUUGAGGGAGAAUUGGCUGCUGGUUUCAGAACCUAUAUUAAUUUAAUUAUCUCCUGUAUGUGUGUGUGUAUGUGUUUUAUAGAAUGAUUUAUUUCUUGACAAUACAACUCCUUUAAAAAUGCAUUUGUAAACAAUUAUGUGCCAUGACAAACAAUGACCUUACUGUCCAACUUGAUAUAGUAACUGAAAAUUAUUAUUUGUCACAAAACAGAGAGGCUCUUGAUGCUACUUAGUAUUUAUGACAAUAAUGAUGGAUCAUCACCAAUUUCUUUAAAAUGUUUCUGGAUUUACUCCUUUGCCAACUACCAUAUCUUUUGGCAUAUAAGUCAACAUAAUAUAUAGUGUAAACAUUCAAACAUCAUCAUCAUCUUUACAAAUCCUGCUGCAUUUCGCAUGGAAUUCUUGGUCCUCCACAGUUGUCUUGGUGUAUAAGUCAAUCUACCCUUUUUUGUUGUAAAUGUUCGUCUGAAAAAUUCAACUUAUGUACUGGAAAACACAGUAAAGCAUGCUAUUGUGCCAUGGUGGCAUUCUCACAUGCAUUCCUCUGUGUCCCUUAUUGUAAACUUGCUUUGUCUGUCACAUAUUGUUCCUUUUUCUAUUUACUUAUCCUUAUUGACUUGAUUCUACUUCUCAUGUUCUAAACUAUGCAGUGGUACUACAGUAACUUUCUUCAUCUCUGUUACUCUGUACUCCUCCUCUUACAUUUCCUCCUCUUACUUCCUCUUCUUUAAUUUCCAUUCAGUUUCCUUUCUUACCAUUCAGUUCAUUUCUUCAUAGCCUUCUCUUUCAUGUCACUGCCUCCUCCAUCUCAGCCCUUUCUUUAUGUCUCUUCUCUCUUUUUCAUUGUCCUUGUCUUCUCAUCUCUCUCUCAGCUUCUAGAUGCACAAAACAUGAUUUAUUUAACUUCAGAGAAAUGUCUCAUUCUUCUGUUAGUCAUUAGGAUUGUUUUACUGUCAGCCUAUAUAAAAAAAAAACAGAAAGGUUUUUCCUGUUGGAAUGAUCACUAACAUUCACUGCAACAUUGGUUAAAGGCAUGUGGAAGAGGAGGACAGUAUUGGUAAUGGUGUUGAUUGAUAUUAGAAGGAAUGUCUGUAGAAUAUGAAAUGGGAAAUGAAUGGAUCACAAACUAAUUAAGUAUUCAGCUUAGCACUUGAUAGGAUUUCAUUUCUUUUCUUGAUGUGGACAGUUAACUAAAGGAAAAAGAAAAAAAAUAUUGUUACAGGGGAUGGUCAAACUUGUAAAUUAGAUACUUACUUGAUUGUUGUUGUUUCUAUCUUAACUAUCAGACAAGAAUUUAGCCUAAAAAUGCCUGAAGCCAUAGCAACAGUCAGCUGCUUGCUACAUUUAUCUCAUUUUCUUGUAUUUUAGAUUGAGAAAAUAUUUCACGGGAGUCUGCUUUAAUCUUUCUUUUUUUUUUCUUUAGUAAUAGAAUCAGUGAUAAUGGGCUAAGAAGAUCCCACUGUAAUGAUAUUUGUUAUUUGGCAAAUUCUUACACUCUUGUCUUCACUUUCAACAGAAUUAGUCUUUAUUAAUAUACAGAUUAGCUGUCAUUCUUAAUUGAUAUAUCCAAUAUCUUAAACAUUAUCACUAACAUAUAUUAUUCACAGAUUAAAAUUUUCUUUUUUUUUCUACAUUUAUAAUACUUUGGCCAAAAAUAAUGCUGAUUUUCAGUAAAUAUGAAAAGUGUGUCCGUGUCCGUCCAGCUGUCUCCAAGAAACUUGCUGUGAAAUAGGUGAUCUGUUACCAAUAGUAGACUAGAAAUUGAGUCAUCUGUAUUAUUGAGUCUUAACUAUUCUUAGGGAACUCUUUGUAGCUUUUCUGUCUUCAUUUAGAUUUGGUAUAUAUUUCAGGAAUUUUAAUUUCAUUUCCACUUGGGGCUUGGUGGACCUGUCUUCAAACUGGUAGCUCAAGUAGAAAGGUGCAGCCUUAUUGUCAAAAUGUGUUAGGUAGCUAUUACCUAAAUAACAUAUUUGCCUACAUAUUACAUACAAUACACAAGCUCUACCUACCCUUUUAAUUCACUGUUACUGAAGGCAAUAGAUCUCAAAGAUACUUUUUGCUUCUCUGUAACUUGGCAAUUAUCCAACAGUAAAAAAUUUCUCCCCUCCCCAUUCCAAUAAUGACAGUACUAAGCUUUCUUGUGAUAUUCAUAAAAUUAGCAAUCCCUUCAUUACAGUGUUACAAAAAAAACACAUCCUCACACCUUCUUACAUCAGGUUUUGAAUUCUGUUAUCAAUAAUUGAUUCUAUAGAUAUUGGAUUGGUAAGGUAGUUUUUGGUUUAAGCACUUAAUCUAAGGAAUUCCAAGUAAAACAGUUUACCUUUAACUAAAUUGAACAUUGAAUAUGGCUGAAAAUGAAUGUAAAUAUACUAAUGUAAUUUAGACUUUUACUACUACUACUACUACUACUACUACUACUACUACUACUACUACUACUACUACUGCCACCACCACCACUGCCACCACCACCACCACCCACAUUAAUAUCCUGCAUCAAGUAGCAUUGUCUUUAAUAAUCACCAAUCAUAAUUGUCAUCAUCCUCAUCAUCAGCUGCAACAGCAACAUCAGUGGUGGUUCAAUAUGAACAUACUAAUGGUAUUUCUAUUCAACAUGACUGGUGCAAUUUGAUUAAGUGUAAAAACAUAGUUGGAUGAUGUAACAAGUAAUUAACAUUGAGAUAUCUUCCUCAAUACCAGCUUCUCAGACUACAAACUACUUUGUUACAAAAAAAUUACAGGAAAAAUGACAGAAAAUUGUGAGAGUUCAGUGUUUAUAAUUAAGACUGGCAUUUAACUACUGACUGUAGUAAUUUUUACUUAAUCUCAGCCACAGCCUUAAAGCCCCAUUUCAUUGAAAAUAUAGAAUUAAAAAUAGUCUUUUUAAACAUAAUACCAUCUUUAAAAAUAUUAAUGCCAUGGGGCUUCAUGGAACCAUGUGUGAAAAAAGGUGCAUUUAAUUCAAGUACGAAUGGCUUGAUUUAAUCUAAAAUUAAAAUCUUUAUAUUUAAUCAUAGAAAAUAUCAAUUAUUUUUGAGGGGGUGUCUUAUUUAUUUAUUUAUUUAUUUAUUUAUUCAUUUAGUUGCUUUUGAAAAAUGUUUUAAGUUCAUUGAAAUAGUCUCCUUAGGUAACAAUAACAUAUUGUUCAGUUUGCUUGCGGUUGUUUAUUCUUGCUGUAGACUGUUAUAGGUAUAAACUAAUUAAAGGAAAUUUGUUCAAAUAUUAGCUCAACCAAAUAUGUGACUUGGUAGAAGUCAAGGCACAGGUUUUCCUUCUUUGUUUUGCUGCUGGUGCUUGUGGUUCAAGACAGUUCUAUUCACACCAACAGGUUUUAGUUCUUAUUUAUAAAUUUAAUGGUUUUUAAAAUUUAUUUGUUAGUCUUAGAAUAUAGAGCUGAGCAAUGGUUUUUACCUCAAUGAACUCAUAAGAAUUCUUUCCAAUUAAAUAGAAUCUUGGACAUUGUUAAAUGUAGUUGGUGUUUAGUUUAAAAUUGUUAUUAAUUAAUGUUUAUUUGAAAGCUGUCAGCAAGCAAGCAGUUAUAUUUCAAGAGGGGAAUGCCUUUGUACAGUAUGGUGUACUUUAAAAGAGUGGAGUAACAUAGAGUAUGUUUAGAUGGCAAAUUGUCUUUUGUUGGUGAGAUGUAACACAAUUUGACAUUGCCCAAGAAGUUACAGAUCUGGCAAUGGCAAAUGAUAGGCUGUUGGAUAUUUGCAUAUCAGACAUAAACCGUUCCUAGAAUGAAUAGUGUGUGUGUGUGAUCUGAACAUACUACACCAGGAAAAAUCCACCCAACAUUGCCUAUGUCUUACAGUGUGGACUGAUUUUAUUAUAGUGCCACAUCAACACUAGGGGUUGCAUGAAACAAGAUUUAGGUGACCCCUGCUAAUAUCUAAUCUGUCAGGUCUUUAUCACAUUUGUUCACCUCUCUCUCUCUCUCUCUCAGUAUUACAACUUACUACAUCUCUAUGUAUUUAAUCAUCAGAUUACAAAUUGACAAUUUCACAGCAAAUUGUAAUUCUGAUCUUUCUUGUCUUCCAUACAUGCGCGUGUAUUACUCUACUUUCAGUAUUGAGUUCUUGUUAUUGCUUGUUGAUGGGUCUUUUAAUAUAAUAAAUUUGUUUCAUAUAUUAUAUCUACUGUUUCUGUUAUUUUAUAUAUUAUAUAUGUAGUGUUUCUGCCUUGAGGCUACAUUCCCUGGCAGGCAUCACCUCCUCACUCCUUCACAAAACCUCAACCUGAAAGGAUGCAAUUAACAGAAGUUAAAGAAUGAAAGUCAACAUUGAAUCUUCUGAAUCUUAAACACUUUGUGUGUGUGUGUGUGUGUGUGUGUGUACACGCGCACAUGCUAAUCUUAGAUCUUAGUUUACGACAUCUGAGGCAAUGUUUUGUUGCUUUAAAAUGUGUUAAAAGAUUUAUGGCAAAUGAAAAAGAAAAAUGGUUGUUUGUAUAUUGUGUGCAUGUGUUUAUGUGCAUCUUUAUACUAUUUGUGAGAUUAACCAAGUAAAAGUUCUAGUGGAAUAUUCAUUAAAAGACAAUUAUAAAAAUCUGUCCAGGUUUAGUACUGUUGAUAUAAAGAGGGAAAUUGGUGUAUUUUGUUGGCAAUGCUCAAGUCAUUUAUUUAUACAGAAGGCCAAAAGGUUGUUUCUUAAAACCAUUGUAGAUUAUUUGGAAGUAGAAAUACCACUGAUAUAUGAGAUUUUAGAGUAGACAUCAAAUAGACAAGAUGAAACUAGUUACCUAAAUAUUGUGUGUAGGGGUGGGUGCUCUAGUGGCACAUAAUAUAUCACAGUUUUUAGAUAGAAACUUAUUAAAUAUGUUUCAAUAAAUGAAUUUACAUUUAUAGUGUUUGGUUGACACUUUAGGGCAAUGUGACAUUUAACCUUAUCACACCAUUUACAGAAAAGGGUCCACAAAAAUAUAUUCACAUUACUUUCAAUAUGACGUAUAGAAUUACUUAAUUCUGUGUAUAGAGAUCCAGUGGGGUUUCUAUAAAGGUAGUUGUUUUCUAAACCUUAUAGAUUUAUCUGUUUUGUGCUCAAAUAUAGGGUAAAAAAAGAAAAAGAAAACUUCUACCUGUGUGUCCAUAUAUAUAUAUAUAUAUAUAUAUAUAUAUAUAUAUAUACACAAAAUGGGACAAGAACGCAAAACAUCCAGACAGUUAGGUGAUACAAGAAAGGGAUAACAAAACAUCCAGAUAGACAAUAGAAAGAAAACAACGACGGGUCAUUCAGAGUUCUCUUUCCUCAGUCGAGUUCCAGAUUAUCUUUGCAAUUUCAGCUUGUUAUACUUGAGAUUGCUCCAAUCUGGCCAGCCCCCAAAAAAACUAAGCUAAGAACAUUAGAUUCCUUGGAAGAAAGCAGCAAAGGUAUAUGAAAACAAGGACGGGAAAAAACAGAGAAUGCACAUGCACAAGCGUGCGUGCGCGCACACACACACACACACACACACACACACUCUCUCUCUCUCUCUCUCUCUCUCUCUCUCUCUCUCUCUCUCUCUCUCUCUUUAUGGUUUUUACAUGUGAAAAUGUUAAAGUGCUUAUUUAUUAUGCACCUGAGGUGUGUAGAGUUGGGUGUAUAUGUAUUAAUAUUGAAUAAGUGUACCACUAAAUCUAUACCCUUAUUUCACACCUAGGUCUUCAUGAAAUAUUUUUUUGUUUAUUGUUUUCCUUGAUUUGAAGUUGAUGGAUGGAAGUAGUUGAUAUCAUUGAUGGGAUGUCACUAUAUGACUAUUGGUGUUUGACUAUCAUUAGUGUCUUAAGUUCUUGUUGGCAGAUGUCUAUCACCUAAGUAGUCUGUUGUGGUAGUUUAAACCUCAGGUUAAACCUAAUUAAGCAGAACAAAUCUAUGGGGAAAGGCAUUCUUGCUAUGACUCAGUUGCCUUUUUUAGUGCUAUGAUAUGUUUUAUCUUUUCCUAAGAUGGGUGUUAUUGUGAUUUGAGGGAGAUUUGAUUGCUUUUUCCAGCAGGUUGAUCAACUAUGUAGAAAUUCUCACAAUGACUCAGUAGUUAAGGGAAGGCUUAGAUGCCAUUGAUCAGGUCAUGGUAGUAAUAGUUGUUGUUAUUGUAGUAGCUGCAGCCCUAGAUCAGCUGUGAGAGGACAGAUCUUUCAGCUCUGACCGAUCUCAUUUUUCUUGCAGACAUAUUGUGUCUAGAUUCACUCUAUCCAAGGUGGCAUUUUUUUUUUUACCUUUUUAAAAGAUUGUGUGGUAUAAUUAGAAGGAAUAUUUAGCUGUGUUUUCUUGUGAUUAUUUAAAGCACCCACUCACUCUUAUGUUAGCUAGUUGCAGACCUCAUCUAUGUGCAGUUUCUUCUACUUACCAGUAAUUUAAACAACUUAAUUAUUCACAGCUUGAAUUUUUACCUGACUGCUUCACUUUAACUUAAUCUUUACUCAGUUUCACCUUAUAUCAUUACAGAUGUGUCAGGAGUAGCUGGAUUGUAUUUCCUCAUCUUUUAUAUAUGCUGAUUCUUUCUCCUUUUCUUAGCAUCCCACCUCUUCAAAUUUUACCAAUUUUUUCAGUUACUUCUCACUUAUAUAGUUUUUACUCUCAACUAAUGUUUACUUCUUCAAAAAUUUUAUUACAUAUUUUAUUUUUGAAUAAAAAUUUCAGUCAUUCAAUAAUUUUUUUCCAGUAAUUUAUGUCUUAUUUCUGUAGACAUUUUCUCCUCUCAUGAUUUUAGUAGAGAGAAUAUAUGCGCGUGCACACACACAAAUUUAAUUUAUUCUCUUUCUUUUACCCUCUCACACAUAUAUCCAAUACAUGCAUGAAAUUGUAAUUAAAUAUAAAUUUAAAAAACUGAUUGAUUUCUUCAAGCAUUAUAACAAAUGUGUUAAACAAGAACUUGUAUUGUGAUUGCCCUAUGAGAGGUUAUUAUUAUUGUUGUUGUUGUUGUUGAAAAGCAGUGAACUGGCAGAAUCGUUUGCACGCUGUGCAAAAUGCUUAGUGACAUUUCAUCCGUCUUUAUGUUCUGAGUCCAAAUUUCACUAUGGUCGACUUUGCCUUUUAGCCUUUCAGGUCCAAUAAAAUAUGCAGAAGUUGAUCACUGGAGUUGAUGUAAUUAACUUGCCUCUUUUCUGAAAUUGCUGGCCUUGUGUCAAAAUUUGAAGACAUUAUUAUUAUUGUUGAUGAUGUGUGGGAGACAAUAACAGAGGAGAGGUACUAAUUGCAUGUAUUUGAAAGUAAUGUGAAUAUAUUUUUGUGGACCCUUUUCUGUAAAUGGUGUGAUAAGGUUAAAUGUCACAUUGCCCUAAAGUGUCAACCAAACAAUUUUGUUUCAAUUAACAAUUUGUUUACAUCUUGAUGUUACUUUGAAACUUUUAUUUCUGUAUUAAUAUGGAAAUUUAUUCUAGAAAUACCUGGAUAUUUGCUGGUCAUUUGUACUAUGAUGUCCUCACUUAAAAGUGAAUGUUAUUUGGUAUAAGAAUAAUUUUAGUGUUGUAAUUAGCUGAUUGAAAAGAAUGAAUAAUAAAAUUGAGGUAAAAGUGAAAAUAGUCAAUUUGUUAUUCAUUUAUAGUUUGUGUGUGUGAAGCGAUCACAAUUUGUCUGGUGGUAGGAUGGGUGAGUGUGUACAUAUAUAUCUCUGUAUGCCUAAAUGGGUAUUUCUGGGUGUAGUCACAGCUUUUCUGUAUAUAUGCAUGCAUUCAUGAGUGUGUGUGUGUGUAUGUAUGUAUAUAUAUAUAUAUAUCUUUAUAUAUAUAUAAAACUGAGAAUGUGUGUCUCUCUGUCUGUUUCCUUAAAACUUGAGAACUACACAACCAAUUUCAUUCAAAUUUUACACAUGCCUUACUUAGGGUCCGGGGAGUGUCAUCGGCAAAAAAUUUUAAAACUUUUUGCAUAGGGCGAGCCCACAGCAAUCUUCUCCACUACGAUUCCCUAAAACUUGAGAACUACACAACCAAUUCCAUUCAAAUUUUACACAUGUCUUACUUAGGGUCCAUGUAGUUUCAUGGGCAAAAAAAAUGUUCACCUUCUUGCCUAGAAAACCCAUAGAAUAUCAUAUCUUCUCCACUAUUUCAGUGUUACGUGUUCAAAGUGAAACAAAAACAUUUCUCUAUUUUAUGUCAGAUACUUUCACUUUAACAAUAAAAAAUAAUAAUAACAAUUGAAUUAUAUGUAGUAAGUAAUAAUUAAAAUCAAACUAAAGUAACAUAACAAAAGUAAAAAUAGCAAUUGGUAUAAAAUUGCAUCAAUGAUUUGAACUUGAAUAAGUGGUUUCACAUGAAUGGGAAUAAAUUAAAAAUAAAAUUAGCGUGCAGAAAUGGAAUAGUCCAGAUGGAUAAUAAAAAAUUAAAUUAAAGAAAAGACUAUUGUCUAUAAAGUAUACAAUGUAGAGAAAAAAGAAGAUUUUAACACAUGGAGGAAAGCACCUUCGAAAAGUCUCUUGGUGCGACUAUGAAAGGUAUCUAAUCAGAGGCGGUAAAUUCGCCACUAUAGAAGGCAAGGUUCGAGUCAACGGAGCGUGCAAGGGAGUACUCGACUCGAACUUGCAAAGUGGAAAUAUUUAAUUUUUACCUUUAUAUCUGGGACGUAGGAUGUCCUGGAAAAAAAUUUUUAAAUGCCCCCCCCCCCCCCACCUCCCGAAGUAGAGGUAGGCUGGAUUGUAGCCAAAGAGGGAGGACAAGAUACAAUUGAUUGGAAUUACAAGAGACGGGCUAACAAUUCCAGUCUGUUAUAUAUUUUGAGUAUUGUUAUCACUAGCGAUAUCAAGCUAUAACUUUGUAUUUUGUAUUUUAUGUGUAGAUGUAUAUAUAUAGAUGUACAUGUGAUAUGUACACAUAUAUCCACAUAUAUACAUGCACUAGCACUAUGACCCGGCAACGACUGGUCUAUAAUGCUAGUAUAUAUAUAUAUAUAUAUAUAUAUAUAUAUAUAUAUGUGUGUGUGUGGAGGCGCAAUGGCCCAGUGGUUAGGGCAGCGGACUUGCGGUCAUAGGAUCACGGUUUCGAUUCCUAGACUAGGCAUUGUGAGUGUUUAUUGAGCGAAAACACCUAAAACUUUACGAGGCUCCAGCAGGGGUGGUGGCAAUCCCUGCUGUACUCUUUCGCCGCAAUUUUCUCUCACUCUUUCUUCUGUUGGCCUGCUCGCUUAGCCACCGGGGUGGCGUCAUUUAAAGGCUAAAGCAAUGCGAAACGCAUUGUGACCAGCGAUGUGUAGCAACAUCUGAUAGCCUGGUCGGUCACGGUGAUAUAUAUAUAUAUAUAUAUAUAUAUAUAUAUAUAUAUAUGCCUGUAGUUAGAUAUACAGGCUAUAAAUGUAUCUGUCUUACAUGUGCCAUUAUAAAGUAAAUAUGGCUAAAUAUUCUUAAUAGCAAUUCUUACAUCUUUUCAAUUGAUCUCUAUUUAUUACUGAUAUUUAUUGUGAAUGUUCAGAAACCAUAGUUCAAAUGGUAACCAACAUUUUAGGAAGGUUUCAUUGCUCUAAAAAAGUAGCUAUCAUCUGCAAAUAUAAAAUGGGCCAUUAGGUCAUCUGUCUGGAACUAAUAAAAGCAGAUGUUAAAAAUUCUUGAAUUGGAAAACUGAUAACAUGUCUGCUUCGUUCCAUAAUUGAAUGAAAUAUAAUUUUAGAAAGUAACAUUCCUUGUUAAAGUUCUAAUGUAGUCUUGUUAGUUUUCUGUUUGGUGGCCUACCCUCUUGAAAUUGAAAAUCUUUUCUAUAACUUGAAGAUUUAGAAUUCUUGUUGUCGUUACUAUUAUUGUUAUUAGGGUGGUGGAAUGAUCACAGUAUAUCUCCAGAGGUCUUUGUCUCUUGUCAUUGCUUCUAUGCAGCCCAUCGUUUGAAGGUUGUGCUUCACCACCUCAUCCCAUGUCUUCCUGGGUCUCCCUCUUCCACAGGUUCCUUCCAGUCUUAGUGAGUGACACUUCUUCACACAGCUCGCUUCAUCCAUACACAGUACGUGACCAUAACAGCGCAGUCGUCUCUCUUGCACACCACAUCUGAUGCUUCUUAUAUCCAACAUUUCCCUCAGGGUGCUUACACUGUUGUGUGUGCACACUGAUAUUACACAUCCAGCAGAUCAUACUAGCUUCAUUUCUUUCAAGUCUACAUAUAUCCCCAACACUCAUGGCCCAUGUUUCACUGCCAUGUAGCAUAACAAUAUGAACACACCUAUCAUACAGUCUAGCUUUCACUCUGAGUGAAAGACCCUUUGUCACCAGUAGAGGUAGGAGCUUUCUGAACUUUGCCCAUGCUAUUCUUAUGCUAAUUAAUUACUCCAGUGAUCUUUCUUGUCAGUAUACUUUUUCAGGAUGAUAUUUUUCUACAAAUUCAGAAAAAUACUGCCACUUUGCCAACACUGCCAUUAUGUCACUCAUAGAGAUACCCUUCUCCACUACCCUGUCCUCCUUCAGAAACCAGUCUCUUCAACUGAAUCUAAAUGUUGCUCCUGAAGUUGCAGGAGUUCAUCUGUUGUCACCUCCUCUGAGUAUUCCUUCAUGAGAUCAUUAGUGACCCCAUCAUCAGCCUCAAGGCCCAUGGACUUGCUAUGGACAGGUGUCUCAGAAUCAAACCCCUUCAAGUAUCUUUUGGAUAUGCAGCCAGGCCACAAUUUCCUCAAUGCAGAAUUCAGCAUUCUCCUUCUUAUACCCUGCCAGGCCAUAUCAAUGAUUUUCAGGCAGUUAACAAUGUUGUAGUGCUCCUUCCAAAACUCACAAAUGGUUAGAUUUGUAUUUUUGGUAACUUCAAAGCACCAACAAAACAGGUGUUUGGUGCACAAUUUCUUAAAAUUUGAAAUCACCUGUUGGUCCAUGGGCUGCAUGAUAGGGGUGGCAUUGCAUGAAAGAUAUAGGAACUUUUAUGAAUUUAAAUUCAUCCAGGAUAUCAUCUUUGAAGUUAGGAGGGUGAGCAGGAGCAUUAUCGAGGAUGAGGAUGGCCUUGAGAGGAAGAUCGUUCUCCAGAAAGUACUUUUUCACUGCUACAAUGAGGUAGUGAAAGUGCUACAUGAGAUUGACCCGCUCGGUGAAGAAUUGCCUGGUGACCCAGGCUUUAAUGUUUGCCCUCAACAUGACCUGCAGCUUCUCCAUUAGGAUUUUGUGCAACUUGAAUGCUUGUGGGUUUUGGGAAUGGUAAACAAAGAAUGGCUUAAUUUUCAAGUGUGAAGUUGUUUUAUUUAAUUUUCCAAAAUGAGGUUUAACUUUGGUUGAGCCAUAUUCUCUUGGAAUUGGUCAUUCUGCCAGACUUACUGUCUGUAACUGUUAGAUAAUGUUCUAUUAGUAUGUGAUGGAACAUUAUUAUGUUGGAUCUGUUACAUCAUCACAUUCUAAACUAUUCCAAUUGUAAUUUUGUUCUCCAGAAUGUCUUCAAUAUUUUCACUGACCAUUAAGAUUUGUUUUCUUUAAUUAUAAAUGUCAACUUUGGUUCUGAUGACCUCAAAACAAAUCGACUCAUUAUGUUCUUUGUAAACCAUUUCCUUUCCUGCCAAUGAUUCUAAAUAUCAUCAUCAUCAUCAUCAUUUAAUGUCUGCCUUCCGUGCUGGGAUGGGUGGGACUGCUGGCAAUCAAUGUUAGAUUACAAGCAAAGUACUAUAAAUAAAAAUAACAAUUUGAAAAUAUGCAGCAUAAAUGUCAUUUUCAAGUUCUAAAGUGAAUUUUCUCAAAGACAAUGACCAGUUCUUUGGUCUUGGAUUCCUCAACUCCGGUUUGCAGAAUCAAAGUCCAACAUUUAUUUUCAAGUAUAAUGAUUUCAAUAAUUUUUUUUAAGAGUUUACUUAAAAAGUGGAUAUGUAUAAUAAGUAUUUGGUUUGGUCCCCACUUUCUUUUGUAUAACAAGUAUUUGAUUUGUACCACCUUCACUUUGCAUUGUCCUCCCUCCUUCAUUCUUCAUUCUGUAGUCAUGGUGUUGGACAAGUUUAAAAAGUUAGAAACAUCUGAAUGCUAUUAACACUUAAGCAUUCAGGUUAGUCUGUCAAAUGUAAUGCAUAUCUAUUCACAUUGUUUUGAAUUAAUCCUGCGUUAUUUUGUAACUUUGAGAUUUCAAUGAUGAGACUGCUUAUUCUAGAAUGAUAUUGUAGAGCAGGUAUGAGAGGUCAGAGCUGACUGGUUUGAACAUAAAACAGGUAGAAUAUUUGGGCCUGAUAUUGCCAGUUUAAAUGCUAGUGGGUUAAACUUUUAUCAAAUACUCUAAAGAUUUAUGAUUUUCAUCAGUAUUAAAGCAGAUUAGUUUUGCUGAUCAUGUAAUUGGUGAAUGCCUAUAAUGAAUCAAAUCAAUAAUAAGGUUUUAAUUAUUAUUUAAACCUGGACAUAGCGUAGUGUAGUUAGAAUUUUCUUUUUUAUGUUUUUAAAAAAAAAACGAAAUGAAUUUGUUUCCUUUGUACUUGUAUUCAUUUGAAAAAGCACAUUAAUUUCAGUCCUAAUCUAAUAAUCUAUAUUCUGGCUUUAACAUAACUUCUACCUGUAUUUUGCAGGUUCACAUUAGGUUUUCUGUUUUCAAAUCUUCCUUACCUACCAUGCUGUUUUCUCUCAUAAAUUAUGUCUUGUCUGUGAUUAUUGAUAAUGGGACUUAAAAACUGAGCUAAUAGCAUUGACUUGAGAAUCAACUAGGAAUAUUUAUUCAAUUUUAUCAAAUUUAUUUUAAUUUUUACCCCCCUCUCACUCCUUCCUAUUAAAAUAGGAGAAUAAUUUUGAAUUUAUUUAAAUCUAUUAUAAAUAUUUAUCAGUUGGCAUAAUGGUUCAAAGGUAGCUUUCAGUUUAUUCUAAUAAACUGCAUUCUACUUCAGUUUUUCAUUAAAGCUGUGACUAAUGUCUGUUUUUGAAAUCACCAGUGUCUUUUAAGAAUGAGAGAGAGAAAUAUGGUUGAUAAAUUUCAAUUUACAUUUUAAUGGUUGACUUUAUUGACCUGAUUUGAUUUGAUUUGAGUUUAGAAAUGACAUGCACCACACCAGAACUCUCUCUCUCUCUCCUCUCCUCUCUCUCUCUUUCCCUCUCUCUCAGCAGAUUUAAGACAAAGAACUGGAUAGAUCUGACAUAGGGUAUAAAACAGAGUUAAAGAUGCAUGCAUUAGGAACAUGUUCUACUAGUGUUAGGAUGUAAAACUCUCCCAGCAUAGUGAUGAUUGAUUACUGAAAAUUAAUUUUAUAACAUUGAUGUGAUAGGAUUCCAUGAAGACAUGGAAUGAAGUAGUGAGGACCAGUCUCAAGACAUUGGGCCACACAGAGGAGAUGAUAAUAAACUGAGAUGUCUGGUGAUAUGUGGUUCUUGACAAGACCUGCCCACCUCAGCAAAACUGAGUCCCUGGCGUACUGUGUGUCCCACCCACAUGCAGCAUUAAGUUUUCAACACCCUGCCCCAAUGAAUCAAACUACAUCUCCUCUUCCUCACAUUUCCUCUUUUUUAUGCAGUGUGCUUAUCUCUCCUUCCCCACUCUUGCAGCUCAAUCCAGUCCUCCCUACCUUGCUCAUUGUAUCAUUGCUAUUCUGUUGUCCUCCCUCCCCCCAUAUACUUUAUAUAACCUCUCAUCACCUGGCACAAAGCCACUUCCUCUGAUAUUCCUUCCUCCAAGGAUCUUCAUCUUGCAAGUUACUUGGUGACCACACCUGUGUGGUUGGCAUUAGGAAGAGCAUCCAGCUGUAAAAACCAUGCCAAACAGGCAGUGGAACUUGGUGCAAUCCUCUGUCUUGCCAGCUUCUAUCAAACUGUUCAACCCAAGCCAGCUUGGAAGAUGAACAUUAAAUGAUGAUGAUGAUAAAUAUACUGUUGUCAUCUUGGUUCUGCCUUAUGUCAGAGGUGAAAUCUUUAAAAGAUUUAUCAAAACAGUUUCAAGUGCUGCUUACAUGAAUCUCUGAGACUUGACUUUCUAUUUAAAACCAUUUUGAUGUGAAGGGGUCAGGGUGGGGAACCCUCAGAAACAACUUCAAUUACUGAUAAUUUUCUCUAAUUAAAAUGAUAUUUCAGAAAGUGAUUUUGUAUUUGUUUUAAAUGUAGUUGUUGAUAGGCAAUGAAUCUAAUCUAUCAAUAUAUCUAAUUAAUAGACUAUACAGUUUUAUUGAUCUCUUUACAUUGGAAAUGACUAUCAUCAAUGAAUGAUCAAUAUUUAAAAAAAAAAAUGUUAUUUUGAAAAUGUUUUGUGUUUGUAUUUUGUUUUAGAUUUUGUUAGGAAAUGUCUUCCAAAUCCUUAAUAUUUAUAACAGAAUGGUAAGUAAUAUCAUAGAAGUAUAGGAGUGGGGAGGAUUGUAAAACUGAUGGCAAUUUAAAAUUUUAUUGCAAAUACAUGGACACAGUUAUUUUAUUACAUACAUAAACAUGUAGUCAUUUAGUUUAUUAGAGAUAUACACACAUUUUCAUUUAUGCUUUUACACCCAUACAUGCAUGAAUGUGCACGCACACACAAAUAAUCAUUUUCUUACCCAAACACAUACAGUCAUUUGAAGCUGCUUGUUCACUUUACUGUUACUCUGAGUUUCUUGUAAACAUUUAUAUUGAAGUAAUGCUACUUCUUGAAUGAGUGCCAAGUGAAAAAUGCGUGAUCAACCUCCUCUCUCUCACUCUCACUCUCACACACACACACACACACACAUACACACACACACACACGUUUAAUAUCUGAUAGUAUUUUCACAAUGCUAUAUUAUACUGAGAUGCACAUACUUCAGAGUUUGAAAAUACAUUUAUCAAAUUCACAGAAUAAGUUUGUGUGCCACUGUAAACUUUAUUGAAAUUUACUUAAACCUUGUUGCCAACACUAACCCCCAUCUCAGACUUUAGUUGUUUCCUCUAUGAAAAUUCUCUGCAAAAUGUUCUACACACCUUUGGGGUGUUUUUAUUUUUUAGUUACAUCCAUGGACCCAUAUUUUGAUCAAAUUCAGUUUUAAAUCAUUUGUUUAUUUAAAACUCAAUAUUGUUUUGCAAACAAAAAUUUAUGAAGUACUGAAAUUACUAAUGAAGAAUUUAUUUAAAAAUGUUGUUGAUACCCUUACUUUUAGUUUAACCCUUUAGCAUUUAAACAGAUCAUACUCAGUUAAAAUAUUAUACCAGUUUUAAGGUAAAACUGACCAGAUCAAGUCUCUCACACCUACACUGCAAUGUCAUUCUAAAAACAGGUAGUCGCACCACUGAAAUCUCAAGGAAACACAAUAAUACAUGAUUAAUUCAACACUACGAAUUUUUGAAAAUAUUUAAAUCUAACUUCUACUGUACUUUUUCUUGGAGAGCUUUAAAAAAAAAUUAUAUCUCAUUAGUGAAAUUUGGAUGAAUAUUUUAGGAAAUAUAACAAUUUGAAUGGUUAGUGAAAUGGUUGAAAUUUUGGCCUAAUUUAUGUAAAUCUGAAUAUAAAGGGGUUAAGACCAUGAUGGUGGCUUGUUUAUGACAGGGAAAACUUCCUCACAACUUUAGUAAAGUAGAAUACAUUUUGAGUGCAAAACAUUCCAUUUGUUUGCCAAAAGAAUUUGACCAAUGUAGGAAAUUGUUACUUCAAAAAAAAUUAGAUGAAUUUUUAAACAGCCAUAAAAUUGGGAUAAAAUUAUUAUUUGUGUGUGUGUGUGUGUGUGUGUGUGUGUUGUGUUGUGUUGCGUUGUUGCAGUAUUUUGUGUUAGUCUAAAGAAAUAAACACAAACACUUUAUGGUGAUAUGUAAUUGUCAGGUGAGAAUGCAUCUAUUAAUCUAUAGCAGAAAUUGUUUCGGUUCACAUCACUAAGCAUGAACAUUUUUGAAAGUAGAUAAUUAUCAGAAAGUCUAUUGGGUGAUAAGAGAAGGGCAGAAUUAUCCAUUUGGGUGGUAUCAUAUUUCCUCAAUGUACUCAAAUUAUAUAAGUUGAUGAUACCUUAGUGUGUUUAUUUCCUUGAAUUAUAUUUGAGAUAAUACCAUAAAAUACAGAAAUUAGUUUUUAGGUUGGAGAGAGAAAAGAAGGUCAUUUGUUCCUUAUUUGAAUCAUAUUAAUAUCAUGUUUUUGGAUGUUUCCGUAUUAUCAUUACUCAAUUGGUGAAUUUAGUAAAUAGCUAAUUAGAACCAAUUUAAAAUUAAUUCUCAGCAAGAAUGAGGUUCUUCUGUGAUAAAAUCUUGGUAAACAUUUCUUUACUAUGGUUAUGAACUCUAGCAAUAUUAGUCAAUGAUUUUUAGGGCUUCUUUCCUGUGAGUCAGCUAUACUUAAUAAUCAGCAAUUAUUUGAUCAGAACUGUUGGCUAAUUUUAAGACAUACAGAGAUGCCUUAAAAAUCUUAUCAUAAAGAUGUUUGCAGUUGUAGGUUCAAAUGACAAUUAGAUGAUCUCUUAAUGGACUUGGAUUGGAAUUGAAUGAGAGAGAGAAAGCCUUUACCUAGAGUUAUGACUUGAUGAAGUGAAAAACAUUUAAUUUGUUAGAAAAUGUAUAUGGUGAUCACAAUGAUGUGUUUGUAUGUAUUUAACAUACAUUACCUUUGUAUAUAUUUAACAUAUAUUACUUUUGUGGUGACUGCUGUGGAGUUCAAUGAAAAGUUCUUGAUCCAGUUUUAACAUGACUGAGACAAGGUAUCACUAUGAAUUUUGGAAAAUAUUUAAAUCUAACUUCUACUGUACUUUUUCUUGGAGAGCAUAAAAAAAAAAACUUUGAUACCUGAUUUGUGAAUUUUGAAUGAAUAUUUUAGGAAAUAUGACAAUUUGAAUGGUUAGUGAAAUGGUUGAAAUUUUGCCUAAUUUAUGUAAGCUAUAUUUGUGAUGUCAUAUCUUUGAAACUGAGGGGUAUAAUCAACUUCAAAUUAUACAAAUUAUUGGUGACCAUAGUAUAGUAGUCGUUUAAUUUUUUUCAGGUUCUUGGAAAGAAAACAUUUUUUCUGGCAACAUUUUAAAUAUUUAUGUAAAGCCUUUUUUGUUACAUAUAACAAAUGGUUGAUUUUUGCAGUGUUUUCAGACAAGCUAAAUUCAAAAUUACAAACCACAGGAACUUGAGUUUUGGCACAUUUGUAGCAGGUAUAGAGAUAAAUAAAUCAGGAGAUAUUGGGAUUUGACAGCAUUUACAUAAAGUAAAAAAAUGUGUUUUUUCAUGUUCAAACUGUGCUUGUCUCUAUUGUACAGAACUCUAUAGUGAUACCUACUGAGGCAAUCAGAGUUGUUAACCUCAUUGGGCUUACAACUAAUGAGUGUCUUGUUACAAGGAAAUAUACUUUCAAUAUAUCUAAUAUCAACAAACAUUGUAAUGCAUUUAAAAUAUUUCUAAUAUGAAAUCACAUCCUCAGCUGGAGUGAUAGGGAAUCAGAAUGAUGAAGUGGCCACUUUAUUCUUAGGUAGUCACUGACAUUAGAGGUGUCUCUCUAUGGAUCUGGCCUUCAUCUGCAGUUUAGAGUUUAGCUUAUUUUUUGGACAUGAAGUUCAGAUGUGAACUAAUAUUUGAUAUUAGAUCUAUAUUUCAUUUAAUUAGAAGACUUCAUACACAUUGGCAAGGUACUUUGAUGUUGUAGAUCCCCAGAUAGUGAAAGCACAUUUCAUGAGAAAUGAAGGCUCUAAACUGCAGAAGAGACCUGGACUCUCUAAGGUACAUAUUCAAACUCAGUGGAUCAGGAUUGACAUUCAGUCAUUUAGACACAUAUUAUCUGAUACCAACAAGGGCAUUUCUUACUCCUCCAGCUUUCUCUUCACACAUUCUAAACAUGUUUAGUCAUUUCUGAUUAUGUAAAUGUUAAAUUCUUUUCAAAGACAUCCACCUUCUGUUAGUAAUAUUGUUUACAUUAUUGGUAUAAAUUAAAACCUCUACUUGAAUGCUGCUGCUGAUGAUGUGUGUUAUCUGUUAAUAUAUAGACCAUAUUAAAUACAUGUUGAUAUAACAGAAACUAAAUAAGAAAUUUUUUAUUAUGUGUUGAUCAAUGAGAUAACAUUAUUGAGGCUGACAUCAAAUGCAGUGUAAUGAAAACCAUCAAUACUAAAAUGGGUUCUAUAGUUGUAUCUAAUUUCCCCCCUUCUUUUCUUGUGUUUAUUUGCUGAGAGAACUUUUCAUGAACUUUUCAGUGCAGAGUUUACUUUUUCAAUUUAUUUUAUUGUGUGUGUGUGUGUGUGUGCGUGCGUGUGCGUGUGUGUGCGCGUGCGUGCAUGUUUUAGAUUACAUUUAAAAAUAAGCAAACCUGAAAUUCUUUUUAUUUGGCUUGAUAUAGUUGUAGUAUCACACUACUCUUUCUACAUCUGGGUGGGUGUUGGAUGUUUAUUUGAUAUUAUAGACGUCAUCCAUGGCCUUUCACACAGGUGAUGAAAGUAGUAUGUGCACUCUGUUCUGGUGAGUUUAGGGUGGCUCGCCUGUAGAUGUGUAGAUGCAGAAAUGUUAGGGCCUUCUGAAGGUUGUUAGGAGGGUUCUGUACUGCAAUCUUCUUACCUUUGAUACCUGAGUUUUUUUUACUGCUGACCAUCUCUUGUAACCAGUCCUGAAAUUAAUACAGACUUCCAGUUGAUGUAGGGCUACACCAGUGAAGUCUUUAAACCACUUCUGAUAUAAUCCUAGGUACAUGUGUCCCUGUGAGAGAGCUCCAGAGACAGGCUGGUAUGUGGGACUACACUAUCCAGAUCAUGUGUUCAGUGCAAUGGAGUGGACUUUUUAAAGUCCUUACUUUAAUUAGGUAUCAUUAUGAAUUUUUGAAAAUAUUUAAAUCUAAUUUCUACUGUACUUUUUCUUGGAGAGCAUUCAAAAUGAAACAUUUUGAUACCUCAUUUGUGAAUUUUGGAUGAAUAUUUUAGGAAAUAUGACAAUUUGAAUAGUCAGUGAAUUGGUCAAAAUCUUGCCUAAUUGGCCUAAAAUUAGCCAUAUUUGUGAUGUCAUAUCUUUGAAACUGAGGUGAUGAUCAUCUUCAAAUUACACAAGUUAAUAGUAUCCAUGGGAUAGCAGUUGCCUUCUUUUUUCAGGUUCUUGAAAAUGAAACAUUUUUUUUUUUGGUAAUUUUUAAAUAUUUAUGUAAAACCUAUUUUGUUGCAUGUAGCAGUCAAUUCUGCAGUGUUUUCAGAGCUAGCGAAAUCCAAAAGCUCAAGCCAAAGGGACUUCAGUUUUGAUACAAUUGUAGUAGGUAUAGAAUGAAAUAAAUCCUGAGAUUUUGGGGCAUGAUACCAUUUCAAUAAAAUUUUAACAGACUGUUACAAAAUGGCUAUAAAUGGCAGAUUUUUGGAUCAGGACGUCAAUAUAAGUUGGAUUUUCUCUGUCUUGGUGAGGAUUUUUCUCUUCCUUGUUUUUUUUCCUCAUGGCCUUGGAAAUGAUGGAGGAAAGCUUUUUAUGAAACUUGUUGAGAAAUAAAAGUUGAAAAUUGUACUUUGUUACAUCAAUUUCCAAACUUUUAAAGUUCUAUUCAUGUUCUGACAUCUUUCCCCCUCUGCUGAUAUUCCCUACCUGUUCUAUUUGAUACCUCUGUCCCUAUACUCAAAGUGAUUUGAGUUUACCUCUAAAGCCUGUUAUGUUUAGCUUUGUACUAAGGGUAGUAAAGUUAAAGUUUUAUCAAAGUCGAUGAAAGUCCUCUGGAUAUAACCCCUCCCCCACUACUUCAGUUACCCUAGGUCAGCAAGGUUUACAUAAUUGUUUUCUUUCAUUUUUAAACCUGUUUGGAACUUUUUGAAAUUAGAAGAAAAUUAAUAGAAAUUGUUACAGCUCUAAACUGGUUCCACCACUUCUUGAAUGAGGGUGGGGGAGGAUAGAAGACAACUUGUGACUGGUUGGUGAAUGGAAAAGAUUUGUUGGGUAAUGGCAUAAGAUUAAUUGAUUAAAUAUUGAGACAUACCUCCCCCCCCACACACAGUGUUAAAAAAUAAUUUGAUUUUACUCUUUUCAAAUAAAAGACAAAUUAUUUGGACAACUGAAAAUGAAUUGUGUUUCCAUCACUGGAUUUUAUGUUGUAAUAUAGCAAUAAAUUUACUUUCACCAUUUUCCAAUAGAUUAACAUCAUCAAUCCUUUUGUUACCAUAUUUCUGUUGAAAUACACUGCCUUUGUUUCAAUUAAUUUUGGAAAUAAUGAACUUAGGAAAAUUACUCUCAUUAUUAAGUUGGUGUUUAGAAACAAAUUAACAUAAAAUCUUGAGAAAUUUGAAUUAAGAUCACUUUAAAAGCAGGCAGUUUGUAUUGUAGCAACUAGGGUGUUCUCGGGUAGGUUGGUAUCAGAAGGGGUUAAUGUUAAAGACAAGAGGCUGGACACACAGGCACACAUUUAAUGAAUAAUGAUUCAUUUAGAGCUUUGUUUGAAUUAUAUUUAUUCACUGAAAGUAUUCUCUUCUCUCAUUGCUUCAAGUUAAGUGUGAAUGUAUGUGAUCACUUUAACCUCUUUAUUAUGACGUUUCUGUUGAAAUGCAAUGCUUUUGUUUCAAUUAAUUUGGAAAAUAAUGAAGGAUUUAUCAAAAUAACUGUCACGGCUAAGCUUUUCGAUUGGAAGAUAAAUUAACAUGUAAUUUUGAUAGGUUUUAACUUAGGUCACUAUUUGGGAAUGGCAUGAAUAUAACUUUAUAAUGAAUUGUCUACCUCUCCUGUAUUAUAAACUGUGGUAGUCAUUGAGUGCAGUCAGUGUGUCUUUUCACCAAAGAGUGCUUUACAACCACCUCCUUUACAUUCUUGGUAUGUUUUGAAGGAGAGAGAGAACAACUAAUUAAACACAAACUACUUUUGUGCAGUGCUCUAUUAACAAUGUUUUCUCAUCCUGUCCCACCUAGUAUGUGUCCUCAUUUUACAUAUUUGCAUGGAUUGCUGCUUCCUAUGUUAAAAAACAGUCAAAAAUACAGAAUGGAAUUAUAUUGAACCUUUGUGUAUCAUCAUCAUUAUUUAGCAUCCACUUUCCAUGCUGGCAUGAGUUGGACUUUUUUUUUUCACUGGUAAUAUGACGGUUAACUUGUAUUUUAAUUCCAUCAAAGACUUUUUGGGAAAAUGUCUAAAAUAUGGUACUGUUGUUCAGGUUUUAAAUGUUACAUUUCUCAGAAAGAUCACAGCUCCUCUGAACUCCCAAUACCUCCAUAGCAUCUCAUUGACAUUUGCUAUCCCCCUUGUAAAUUCCCUAUGUCCUGAGGGGGUAGGGGUGCUACUGUCCAGUUUCCCACACAUCAUCUUUUGUGUAUAAAAAAACAAACAAAAAACCCCUUGUUUAACAAAUAUCAUUUGAACAUUUUUUUUUUUCAUUUGAUAUGUUGUUUGCUUUUAGGCCUUAAAUGUUGGUAGUGUAAUAUUAGAUGGCUCAAGUUUUUCUAUGAUAUUUCAUUGUUAACUCCACUACUACUGCCACUAUCUCAGUAACAUUAUUCUUGGUGCAAUUAACUGACCUCAGUAUUUGUAUCCCACUCUCACUGUGCAAUGUUAUGUUAUCUUUCUUUGUCACUUUUUCUCAAUUCAUCACAUUCUACCCUUCUCUAUCUUUUCACCCGUCACAAUCUUUUACUCUCUCUACUAAUCUUAAUGAUAUAAUUCUACAUUCAUUCACGAUUUUGUUGUCAUGUGAUCACUGUCUCCUCAUCUUUGACUAUAAUCAUUAAAAAUAUAUAUAUAUUUUAAUUCUCCGCCCUUACAGUGUUAUUGAUAAAACAGACUGUGCUGUUAAACAUUACUUCAACAUUUGGUGAUGUUUGGAUCCGAUGUCUUUGUUUUUGUUACUUAACAUUUUAUUUGCAUAAACUCAGUCAUAACUUGCACUUUGACUUUAGCUUACCUAAUUUCUCUGAUCAUGUCAUCAUAUUUACUCUUUGUCUCUCUCUAACUACAAUAGCAACAAUCUUGGUGCAAUUAAUUGCUUUUGAAGUUGUUAGUGGAGAGGAUUCUACAUGAUGCAGUAUUGAUAAAGUCUAUAUGUUUUAUUUAAUUUCACUAAAUCAACCAAUCUUACUUUAGAGAGACUUAUAGCUAAAUUACAGCUAAAUUGUUUCCUCCUUCCCUCUCUACCUCCAUAACUAAUUUAUUGGGAAACUACUUGUUUACUCAGACUGUGGCAGAAUUGGUUGAACCUACAGUUUCUGAGUUCAAACUGCAUUAGAGAUGACUUUAGGUUUUACCCUCUUGAAAUUAAUAAAAUAAAUGCAAAUAAGAUACGGGGGGGGGGGGGGAUUCAAAACCAAGCUAAAUAUAUGUCUCUGAUUUGUUUUAUUUGUUUUUUAGAUUCAUUUUCUUUUUCUCUAGAUACUUUGCUUAGUAUCUUACUAUAACGGGUGUUAUAUCCAUCUGUCCACUCUUCACGGUAAAACGGUUGGACCAGUGGUCAUGAUGCAUUUGGGAUUAUGAUGGAGGUAAUCAGGAAGGUUUUUAGUGAAAAAAAAAAAAGAAUGAAAAAGUAUGAUUAUUUAGUGUAUAUUGAGUUUUGUAUUAAUUAAUCACUUUUGAUUUUUUUUGUUAAAAUUCCGGUGUUGAGGAUUAACUCUGGAUCCCACCCCCACUCAUGUAUAGUUUGUGAAUUUAAAGGGUUUAGAUUUGCAACACUAUCCCCUUAUUUCCCAUCGUAGAUGGGCAGAUUUGCUAUCUUACUAUACUGGGCAUUAUGUCUGUCUGUCUUCCCUCUUCACGGCCAGACAGCUGGACCAUUGGUUACAAUAUUUUUCGGAAUUACAAAGACAGUCGCCAGGAAGGUUUUUAGCUUUAAAAAAAUCAGGAAGUAUGAUUGUUUUGUGGAUAUCAAUUGAUAAGUCACCUUCACAUUUUUAUUAAAAAUUCACCAACCACAAGUAACUCUGGAUUUUCAUUGUAUAGUUCAUGGCACCAUCGUAGAUACAAAGGAAGUAGCAAGGACGGUUAAUAGUGAAAAUAAAAUGGAAAAAGUGUGUGUCAGUAUAUAGUGUGUGUGAUUAUUUAGUGGUUUUUGAAGUGUGUCAGUCUCGAGCAGGAUUCAAAACGGCUAAUUGAAGUGGCUGUUGUUUACAUCUCAGUUUUGUCAAUCAAAAUAACCCAUGGUGCCAGAACAUCCAGACAUUAUUCGUAUAGAACAAUGAGAAGUAAGUCUUAGUUUGAUUUUUUGCAACCCUAAAGAUUCCAUUCGUGUAUUCACAGCAAACAAGGCACAGGGCCAGACUUUAGAUCAUGUAGGUAUAUUUUUAUCCACUCCAAUAUUUACACACAAUCAGUUGCACAUCACUAUGAGUAGAGCAACAGACUCCAGUAAUUUAAAAAUUAAGUGUCGACCAAACAGAAAAUAUCAUCCACAAAGAAGUUUUGUAAUCAUUUUGAUAUUAUUGAAAGGAAUGUGUUUCAUAAUUUAAAUAAGGAAAUUUGUAUAAGAGUGUAAAAUAGUGUAAACAACUAUCUAAAUAACAUUUUUUUCUUAAUACUUUUAUGUAGUGGUCAAAAGAAGCUCUGGCUUUCAUUAGGAGUGAUUCACGUAACCAUUCAUGAUACAGAGGCUGGGAGCCUAUUUCAGUUCAGGAGUGAAUUGUCAUCACAUAUCACUUAGUCACAAACACAUGUCAUAUAGCUGCAAUAGAAUGCUGUAUCACCAACAACAAUGUGAUUUCUCUAAGACAUCACCCAGUAAUCUAUCAAGUUUAUUGACACAUUUCUCAAUACAUACUGCCUUUAUGACUUCCCUCCCUCAUUUUAUGCCUCCAUCGUAGAUGGGUAAACUUGCUAGAUACUAGGGGUGGAGCUUCAAAACCAAGAAAAUAAAGGUUUCAGAUUUGUUUUGUUUGUUUUUGGUGAUUUAAAAUCAUUUUCUUUUUCUUUAGAUAUUUUGUUUAGUAUACUGGUAGCUUCUAAUGCCAGUUUCCAGCACCAACUGUUGUAAUAUUCUAUAUCUGGCCAUAUCUCUGUAAACAUUAUCAUCAUCAUCAUUAUUAUUUAAUGUUCAUGCUCCAUACUGGCUGUGCCCAGAUGCUUUAACAUUCUCCAUGAACACACCUCUACAAACCAUUUUUCUCAUCAGUCAGAACAUCUGACCUAUGCAAUUAAUGUGUCUUAUAGAAGAGACUCACCUCACAACAUUAUUAUCAUCAGUGAAAACAGUUUCAUCUUAGACCAGAAAUGGUGUUGUGAUCUCUGUAAUCCCCACAAUGUUAUCAGUGUCAUUAAAGAAUGCUAAAGACCGAUUUUCUAAUGAUUCUGACUAUUUCUGUAGUAACAACACUAGAUCAUCAUCAUCAUCACUCACUAUCAUCAUUGUUUAACAUCUGUAUUCCAUGCUGGCAUGGGUUGGACAGAUUGACUGGGGACUGGCAAGCCACGAGGCUGUACCAGGCUCCAAUCUGAUCUGGCAAUGCUUCUACAGCUGGAUGCCCUUCCUAAUGCCAGCCACUCCGAGAGUGUAGUGGAUGCUUUUUAUGUGCCACCGGCACGGAAGCCAGUCAGGCAGCACUGGCAUCAGCCACAUUCGGCUGGUGCCUUUUAGUGCUACUGGCACAGGUUGCCAGUCAGGUGGCACUGGCAACGACCCAUACGUAAAUGGUGCUUAUUGCGUGCCACCAGCACAGCGACCAGUCAGGUGGUACUUUUAUAAGUGAUUAAUGCAAUACAAAAAAGAAAAAAACUUACUGUGUUAAUGGACAGUUUACCUGAGAAGCAUCUCAGCAGACAAAUCAUUCAUCAUCAUCAUCAUCAUUUAAUGUCUGUUGUCCAUGUUGGCAUGGGUUGGGCAGUUUGACCAAGGUUGGAAGGCUGCACCAAACUCCAGUCUGAUUUGGCAUGGUUUCCUAAUGCCAACCACUCCAAGAGUGCAAUGGGUGCUUUUACAUGCCACUGGCAUGGGUGUCAUUUGUGUGACAUCGAUAUCUGUCACGGCUGCGAUUUUUCUUGGCUUGAUGGGUCUUCUUCUUAAGCACAACAUAAUGCCAAAGGUCUCAGUCCAUUGCCUCUGUGAGGCCCAACACUUGAAAAGAGCUCAGCCACUUUGCCUCCGUGAGGCCCCCAGAGCCCUUUUCAGCCAAAGCCAAUAGCAGUCAUUUAUUCCCUCUUACCUUCCUUUGUCUCUCUUACUCUGUGUGUGUGCAUAUGAGGGAGAGAAGAUUGCAUGUAUGUGGGUGUGCAAAUGUUUGUGUGUGUGUGUCAUGUAUUUGGUGUACCUUUUAUCUUUACCACUCACCUACCACUGCUUGUCAAUUUCUAUGUUCCUCUUCUUAUGUUAACUUGCAUUUACUGUCUCCCCAUCUCUUUAUAUGAUGCAAAGUGUGGCAGGAGAAACCAGCCAAAAGGUUAUUAUGAAAUAGAGAUCAAAUUUUUUUGCUAAAACUGCUUCAGUUUAAAUUGUGGAGAAAGUAAUAUUGGUUUCAAAUUUUGGCACAAGGCUAGCAUUUUGUCCUGUAUUUUGCCCAACAUACCAACAAUUCUGCCAGCUUGCUACCUUUGUAGAGAAAGUAAUAUUGAAUAAAGAAAAAGACACAUAUAUAUAGUAGUAAUGAUGAUCAUAACAAUAGCAAUAAUAGUAUUAUAGUCAUGAAUGAUGUGAAGAAUAUUCCAUUUUUCAGGCUAUUAUUAGAAGUAAGAAGUAAUUCUAGUCUGGGAUCAGGAUUGCAAUUAGCCAGAAGUUUACUGUUAUAUCAAAACAGACUUUGGAAUAUUAUAUUUUUAAUGCUGCUGACAAUGCCAGAUUGAACGGUACUGCCCAGGUGUCAAAACCACAGUGGGCAGUGAUGAUGGGGAUGCACAUAUAUUAUGCUCAAUUGGGAAUUUCUUAUAUCUUAGACUUAUAAAUUCUGGGUUGUCCUUCAUUCUUGUGAAAUGCAAAGUUUGUAGAUUCAUUGUUUGUGGAGAUUGCUUACUUUGGUAUUGUUUAGUUUUCUUAAUAGGUAACCUAAUUAGGCUUAGACAAUGCUUAGUUUAGGAAGAUUCUGUGGCACACACAUUCAUAUAUAUGUUGUUAUAUUUGGGGAGUGUCACUUUUAGCCAACAAACCAGAUGCACUCCACAUGCCUGUUCCUAACUUCAUCCUCAUAAUAAUAAUAAUAAUAAUAAUAAUAAUAAUAAUCUUAAUCAUAAUCAUAAUAAUCUUAAUCAUAAUCAUAAUAAUCAUAAAGAUGAAAUGAAGAACAAGCACAUAGAGUGCAUGUGGUUGAUUGACCAAAAUAUGACCAUCCCCAAAUAUAACGAGAUUGGAUUCAACACAAUUUCACAUCAGGAAUUUUGCAAAGCAAAUGCAUAAAUAUUCAUCCAUCUAUCCAUCCGUAUGUAUGUAUGUAUCUCUUUAUUAGUGAACUUCUAAGGAUUUGAAAUGUCAGAAAGACAUAGGCUAACAGACAAAGAGAAAACAAAAAAGAAGAUUCAGUUGGAAUUUUCCAAAGUUCAAAGAAUAGACUAAGUCUUACUUAUGAUGCUCCAGAUUAACAUCCCCAAACAGUAAAGGAUCUGGGGACUCUGUCAAAGGCUUUCUCCAUGUUGAUGAAAGCCAAGUACAGAGGUUUAUCUUUGGCUAGGUAUUUCUCCUGCAGCUGUCUUACCAGGAAUAUACCAUCAGUAGUACUUUUCCCUGGCACGAACCCAAACUGCAUCUCCUCUAAGCUAACUCUCUCUCUAAUUAGUUGGGCUAUAACCCUCUCCGUAACCUUCAUUACCUGAUCCAGCAGCUUAUAUAUAUAUAUAUAUAUAUAUAUAUAUAUAUAUAUAUAUACUGGGGUGUGUGCAAAAGCAGGCAUACAGCCAAAGUAAAAGAAAAUACACACAAAACUCAUUUAUUUUUAUCAAAAAAUUAAUAGUUUAUGAUAAAAGUAUUAUUAUAGUUAUGAUAAAUGUAUUAUUAUGAUUAAUGACACUGGAAAUAUCAAACAUGAGGUUAACUUUUAAUUUUUUUUGAUAAAAACAAAUGAGCAUUGUAUAUGCAUUUCCCUUUUCACAACUGUAUACCCACCUUUGCAUCCACCCACCUGUAUAUAAAUCUAUAUAUAAAUACACACAUUUAUAUGUUUGUCUACAGACAUAUGAAUAUGUUCGAUGGGAAGAUAUAUUUGCAAAUGUGGCCCUUGCUGGAGCUAAUAUUUCAGUGAGUUGAUGUGUUCAUACUAUUAUCCGUUCAAAUAUCUGAAGUAAAAUCAUUAAUUUCUAAUUACCAGGCACAAGAAAUUAGGGUAAUAUUUAGUUCUAUAAAUGAAUAUCUUUCAUUCUAAAAUAACAUAAUGGUGGUUACUGGGAAAAUAGGUGUGUUUAGCCACAGUAGGCUCAUAAUUCUGAUUGUGUUGGGUCUCAGCUUUGGUAAAGUGAAAAAACUCACAUGCCCUGUCACUUAAAUUGUGUGUGUGUGUGUGUGUGUGUGUGUGUGUUGUGAUAAUUUAGUUUUGAAACUAUGAAAAAGAAAUUUGAACUUAGGGAAAAAUAUUGCAAAAUUUUUUGUUAAUUUUUUUUUACAGUUAACCCCUUAAUGGAUUAUCCUGAGUUUACUUGUGCAUCGCAAAUGUAUCUUUUUAGAACCAGACAAGUAUACUCGGCCAAAAUUAAUUUUUAAUUUUAACACUCAAAUGAGUUUGUUCUGUGUUGUUUCAUUUUUGAGCAAUCACAAAUUUACUCACAUUGUUUAAAAAAAAAAAGUAUUUUUUCAUUUGAUGGAUUUGGCUAUCUGGAAUGCUUAUGUUUUGUAUAAAGUAUCUCUGAAAACUUCAGCUUCUGCUAUGAAACCACUGAAAUCUAGAAUGCAAAUAAUCACCAAGAUUAUUGAAAAAUAUAGGCCCUUAUUGCCUUCCACGAAACCAGGAAGACCAUCAUCGAUCCCACAUCCAACAAGAUUUGCCCCAGCUGGUCAAUUUCCUAUGGAAAUACCACCAAGUGAUAGGAAAAAGAACCAUACCAGACAGUGUGCAAAAUGUGCAGAGAAGAGAGACACCAAAGGAAAGAAGAUUCAAAGAGAAAGCAGAUACAUGUGUGAUGUCUGCAAGAUAAAUUUGUGUGUAACUCCUUGUUUUAAAAAUUAUCAUUCUAAAUAAACUAUCUCAUUUUCAAAAAAAUUUCCUUUGAUUUAAAAACAAUGCAUCUUAUAAAAAAAUCCAAGAUAGUUAAGUUAUAUGUAUUUUUUCAAUGUCUGAGUUAAUUCGUUUAAAUCAAAAUGAGUAAAAGUACAUUUUAAUUUCUAUAAUAAAAAAUAAAGGAAACAAGAUAAAAAACUUUUUUUGUAAUUAACACAGUAUAUAUAAUUAAAAAAAAAUAUUCUCUCAAAUGAAAUGCCAUGUCAAAAUAAUCCAUUAAGGGGUUAAGGAAAACUGAGGCAGCUUAAAUAUUUCAUCGCUUAAAACUAAUUCACUUUUACUAAAUAAAUAAAUAAAACUAAAUAAAUGCUAAUUCUGUUUCACUUGAAAUGGUUUCUAAUUUCUAAUUUUUCUGAAGUUUGCAUUUCUAGGUCGCUUAUGAAUCUACCUUAGCUGAGACAUAUUUUCUUAAUAUGAGUUUAGUUCUGCUAUAUAACUAAUAAUUGAACCAAAUGAAACUUAGUUUACUAAGUGUUUAAUGUUACACAAAUUGGUUAUACUUUGCUCUAAGGUGGAAUAACCCCUCCUUCCCUGAUUAUACAUAUAUAAUGUAUGUGUGUGUGUAAAUAUAAUAAACUGUGGCAAAAUUCCAGCUAAUUAAAAAUGAUCUGUAUUAUAUUUCAUUGAUGAAUUCCACUGAGUUAUUAAAGACUUGAAACAUAUUUGUGAUAAGAUAGAAAUUCUUUUUGAAAACUAUUUUCUCUUAAGUAAUAAAUUAAAAUUGAUCACAAUACACCAUGUAACAAUCUCUCUCGCUCUCCACACAUCCACAUCUAUACCACACUAGUGUUCUUUCAUUGCGUUCACUUUUUCACCUCAGUUCUCUUUUGCCACUCUCUCUUCCAAUGGCCUCUUGGUCAUAUUGUUUGUAUCCAAUCUCAUUAUCUAUAACCAUCAUUUAGCUGUUCCUCCCUCCUCUCCUUCUAUUUUUCUUUUCUAGUGUCUUGUCAUCACUCUGGUUCUUCUUUUCCAUUACCAUCCUCUCUGCUCUGGCUCUUUUCUCACCCUGAUGUGUAGGAAAGAAGGGAAUGAAUGCAUAGAGACAACAUUAGAGAGAGGGACUGUUCUAGUUUAGCCAGAGAAGGAACUCUGGUACAGGUGAAAGAACACAUGGUGACAAUGUAGGGUAGAGAGGACUCCUUAGUCCUGUUGAAGACAACCUUUGAAGUGCUGGUGCUACAAUAAAAGAAACUGAUUACACUUUGUAAAGUGAUUGAAAUUAGGAAUGGUAUCCUGAUGUAGAAAAGGAACAUAAGAGCAAGUUGUGAACCCCUACCCGACUACAAUAGUGUUAUAAUUAUUACAAUGUUGGAUUAUUAAUAACGCCCACUUCGGUAUACAGUAUACUUAGUAAAACCAGUAAAGACAUGACUAUCUCUUACUACGUACUUCGUACUCUGGUACUUCACGUAUUUUUCUUUAUCCAUAGUGACUAGGUUAUUCCAUUCGUCAUGUAGGAGGGGUGUACCAUUAUUACUAAUUCCCUACAUCAUCUCUCCUUUUAAGUUUUUCAUAGGAAGUGUCAUUUUAUUUAGCAAAAACUUUUUUCCACCCCACCUCCCUCUUUUGAAUUUUUUUUCUUUCUUUUCAUGCAGUUUAAUAUUUUCUGCCAUUGGCAUCAAUUUUCAGUAACUCUGUAUGUUUUCUUUUCUUCUCACUUGUUUCUUCUCACUGCAGGUUCAAUCACCUGCAGUGGUAUUGGUACUUGGAACAUAUCAUACAAUCAUUCCAUCAGUUCCACCAACUUCUUUGGUUUGCUUUCUAUGAAUUUCUUUUUCAGUUGGUUCCUAUAUCUCUUUUGUAUGCCUUUUCUAGUUCUUUAUUGAUCUGGUUUACUGCUGCAAAUGGCACAUUCCAUUUGGGUCUGAAAAUAGGUGUUGAAUUUUCUGUGAUAGCUAUCUCUUCUUUUGUUUUUGUGAAACAGCCUAAACCUUCCAAACUUACACUUUUUGUUUCAGUUCAUUGACCUCAUUCGAUGAUUUGACUGCUCCAUUUAUGUUAUUGUACAAAACGCUUAUGGAUGUAUCCCAUAACUCAAAUUUCUCCAUACAUUUGGUGCCAAAUAAAUUCAUGGAUUUUUCUGACACAUAAACACUCACUUUUUUGGUUCAACCUUUGAACAUUAUAUUACAAACGUAUUCACCUGUGAAAUAUAAUUUUCUUCCUGUAACACCAUACGCUAUUUUGUUUGAACUACAUAAUUUUGGUUUACCCAUUUGUUUCCAUGUUUUCUCAUUUAUGAUUGUGAUGUCACUUCCCGUGUCUAAUUGCAUUCUGAUGCUAGUGGUUUCAAUUCUCACAUUCAUGAAUUUUCUGUUUGUUGUAAUCACAACUUUUCCUGCUGACAGACUAUUUAAUUUUUCUUGUUCGUUCCAUUUUCCUAUCUGUAAACCUGCAGCAAUAACACUUUUCUUAUUUAUACAGACAAUCUUUUUUCAGGUGCAUACCAGCACAUGUCAUACAUGGAUCUAUAUCCCAGUAUUUUUUCUGUUUUUCCUGCAACACUUUAUUUGCCUUGCAACUUUCUUGUGCUAGUCUCAUGUGAAGACACUCUUUUCAUUAAAUUUCUUCCAUUUCAUGCCAUAAUUUUAAUAUCAUGUCACACUCUUCCGAUAGUUACUGCAAUGUCAAAUACGGGUUCAUUUCCAGUUUUGCUAGAAUCUUCAUUCAGAUUUCUGCAUCUCUUUUAUCUGUCAACACUUGUGCAAAAAUCAAACACUUGUAAGAAUCUGGAGUAAGCAUAUCCAGCCUAAAUCUCUCACAUUCUUUGUUGACUCUGCCUGUGUAAGUAGUGAAGUCUUCAUCUUCGUUCUUUUCUAUGUUUAAACAUUUCCAUCUAGUAUUAAACAGUGAACUCUUUUCACUAAACAUUUUGCACAAAAUGUCAACUGUGUCGGUGAAAUUUAUGUUGAAUGCUUUUUUUGGUAAUAUGAAGUUGCUAUAUUUCUCAUGCUCUGCUGUCACUAAUUUUCUUAAAACUAGAUGUGUUUUCAUUUCAUCUGUUCAAUCCUGACAUUCUUUUUCACAAAUUUGUUGAAAUCUUUGAAAGUAAGCCUCAAAGGUUACUCCUUCUUUGAGGUCAUAUUUGAAUUCGCUUAUGGAAUUUGCGACAUGGUUAGGUGAAAAUGUAUUCUCUAGUUUGAUUAUCAACUUCAUUAGUUGUAAUGUUUGUUGCUGCAAUCCUUGUUGUUUCUUGAGUUGUUGCUGCUUUUGCAACUCAGCUACCCCAGCUAACAAGUCUUCCAUAUUUUACAAUUUUCGUAAGUUUGCACAAAAUUUUUGUUUCUCUUUUGUCAAGUUAUUUAAUUUUUCACGUGAAUUAGUUUAAACUCUCUGUGUGGAUGUUUUUUUUUCCACUCUGUAAAUUUGUUUUUUCUUGUUGGCACUGUUGUAGAGUGGGUUCCUCCUGCUGGUGUGAUGUAUGACUGCCAUUGUACUGUAGCUACUGUUUUAUGUUAGUAGCCACAAUAGUUACUAGUCAUCAAAUACAGUUGUAUCUCUUUGUACCGGAAUAGUAAUACACUAACUUCUGUCUUACUAUUGCUGAUAGCUCUGCAAGACACUAACUAGAACUGUUGACUCACAACUCUUUCUCAAUGACUGGCUACUGAUCUAUUUAUAAUGGCUGCUUCCUACCACUUUUUACUGGGAGGGGUAUACAGUUUCACUAUACCACACACAUAUAUCUUAGCCUUUUUCAUUUGACCUCAACAUGUUACAUUACAUAUGAAUUCAUCGAAAAAAUAUCUUUUUCCUGUAACACCAUGUGCUACCUUCUUUUGAUUUAAUUAAUUUUGGCAUACCAAUAUAUUUCCACGUUUUUUCAUUUAUAAUGGUAAUAUCACUACCAGUGUCCAAUUGCAUUUUAACAAAUAUAUUUCUGAUUUUCACCUUCAUGAAUUUCUUCAUCAUUAUAUUAUCAGUUUCUUCUGAUGAAAUACUAUUUAUUCUUUUUACUUUGUUCUGAUGUUUUGUCAUCUUUGUUCUACUAUGCAUCUUUAUAUGUCCUAUAUUACCACAAUGAAAGCACUCUGCUUUUUUAAAUGGACAGUUUUUCCUCAGGUGUAUACCUCCACAUGCAAAACGUGUUUAUUUCCUGAUUUUGGUUUCGUUUUUUUAGAAAACACUUUAUCUCAAUUCUGACUAUUUCACACUUGCUUUACCUGGAAAUAUCAUUACGUUCAAUUUCCUCUGUGUCAUGUCUAAAUUUGACUAUCCUUUCACGUUCUUCUGACACUUGCUGCAGGGUUACAUCCUGGUUUUGUUUAAGCUUUGUGAAAAUUCUAGAUCUAACUUCUGCGUCCCUUUCAGCAGUAAGUCCCUGUAUAAAAAUCAGGCAUUUUAACCUAUCUGGCGUUAAUUUGUCCAGCUUAAACUUCUCACACUUCCUAUUUACUCUAUCAGCAUAUGUGAUGUAGUCCUUGUCUUUGUUUUUCUCUUUGUUCAGACUCUUCCAACAUGUGUUGAACAACAAACUUUUUUCACAAUAUAUCUAUUGUGUCAUUAAAGUUUAUGUCUGAAGGUUUUCUUAGGAGUACAUAAUUACUGCAUCAUUCAUGUUCUGUUGUUGCUAGUUUUCUGAAGAUUAAAUGCGUUUUCAUCUUGUCCCACUCUUUACAUACUUUCUUGAAGAUUUCUUCAUAUCUUCUGUAGUAUGCUUUGAAAGCAACUCUUCAUCAGGUUAGUGUUUGAACUCUGUUAUGGAGUUCACGACAUAGUCUGUUGAGAACACUUUUUCUGAUUUUCCUGAUGACUUCAGUAAUUGCAACAUUUGUUGCUGUAAUAUUAUUUGUUAUUGUUGUUGCUUCUGUUGUUGCACUUGCAGUUGUAUCUGCAUAAUGUUUAUGAUUUUUUUUGGUAAAAUUUGCAUGACAAAACUUUGUGAGUUUAUUAACUCCUCUUUGAGUUUCUAUUAACUCCACAUGAAUUGGUUUAUCCUCGUUGCCACUGUUAUAAUCCCUUUAAUGUUGGAUUAUUAAUAAUGCACACUUCGGUAUACAGUAUACUUAGUAAAACCAAUAAAGACACAACUAUGUCUUACCGCCUACUAUGUACCAUGGUACUUCAUGUACUUCUCUUUACUUAUAGUGACUAAAUUAUUCCAUUCAUCACUUAGGAGGGGUGUACCAUUAUUACUAAUUCCCUACAACAGAUAGCUCAUCCAACUAAUGGGAAAAGUGAAUAUAAAAUGUUAAUGGUGGCACUGCCUUCUCCUCCUCUAACAUCCCUGUUCUUUGCUAUUAACUAACAAUAUCAACACCAGUAAAUUCACCUAUUUCCCAUGGUUUUCUUAUAUAAAUAAAUUAAUUGAUGUUUCUGAUUGGAAAACCAUUUCCUAGCUUGCCACAAUUCCCUUGGCUCACCUCUGUUGGACAUUCUAGGAACUAAUAUUCUAUAUUUUUAGCUCUCCUUGUCAUUUGAUACAUGUACAGUCAAAACAUUUAUAUAGAUUUAAAAUAUUCAAUAAAAAACAUUGCCCUCAGUGUUUCAGACAAAAACAAAGGAAAAAACUAAUAUCCUACCUGCUCAGUCUGCAUCCUUCUUCAUAAGCAAAACUGUUAUUGUAAGCUAAAAGAGAAGGUCCAAGCCAUUAUAUUGGUCAUGCUUUAUAUGCUGCUGGAUUGCCAUUCUUCAGUAUUCAUGACAGUGAUAUCUCCCUGCUUGAGCCUUACUCUGUUUUCAUUUAUCAUUUACCCUAGGUAUUUCUGUUUGCAUAAACUCUGCUCAAAUUUCUCUCUCUUAACACUCUCACCUGUACACUGCCUGCCCCUUUCACUAUCAACUCCCUUUACAUGCAAAAAAACUUCUUGCUGACACAUUUUGCCUGAGAAAGAAAGGAAGGAAAAUGCUAACAGAGUUAAAACACCUCUGUGAUGCUCUGCAAAUAUCUUUGUUUUUUUUUUUUGACUAAAUGAAACAAAAAAAAAAAAAAAAAAGAUAUUUUCCCCUUUCAUCUUCUGAAAUUUGACAUAUUGGACUGUUUCAUUAGCAAAAAUUUGAUUCAUUUCUGUGUUUCUAUUUCAAGGAUAUUUUAAACAUUCUAUGAUGGAAUGUACUUUCGACAUUUAUUCAAUUGUUUAUCUUGUUGAUUAUCCAACACAUGGACGGAUUUUUUCGUCCUAUUUAUGAGAGUCAGGAGUUGAGAAGUGGAACAGCUCUUAUUGCUUGUUGCACAUACUAUUCACUCACUUGCAUGCACACAUAUGCUCACAUGCAAACCAUUCACUGACAGGAAUAUAACCUGUCUGUCUGCCUGUCUGUCUGUCUCUGUCUGUAUAUCUCUAUCUUCUGUCUGUCUGUCUGUCUCUCUUUCUCACACAUGCAAACAUGCACACAUAAACACACAUGUGCAUGCAUAGAAAGAGGCAUACACAAACACUCUCUUGCUGUCUUUUUUCUUCUCUUUCUUCUUCUUUGUGUUCUUGUAUAUCUACAGGGAUUGGACAAGGGUGUUGGACAGAGGCGUUUCCAUUAUUUUGUCCAACCCCUGUAUUUUUUCUUUUCCUUUCUCUUUAUAAAAAUUUGUUUAUCCCUUCAGAUCCAAUUUUCCUAUGCGGUAUCACUAUCACCACAUCCCUGCCUCAUUCUGCCUAUCACAACCAACAUUUUCAGCUUUCAGCUCUGAGCUCUCUACUUGUUUCCAGAUUUCCCACAGAAACCUUCCACUCUCAACUCACAAAUUUCACCUCUAGCAAGUCAUAUUUCUACACCGUUCAUGCUUGGCUCGCUUGCAUUUAGCCGUUCAUUGCACACCUAAAAGACCAUGUUUAACCUAUUCUUCUAGCUUCUCUGCAUUCAGCAUCUGCAUCUCAUUACUCUGCAUUUCCAUCUUUCUUGCACCUGCUGCACACAGUGUUCAUAAGAGAGCAAUAGAAUAAGUACUAGGCUAACAAGCAAUAAGUCCUGAGGUUGAUUUGUUCGACUAAAGGUGGUGCUCCAGCAUGGCCGCAGUCAAAUGACUGAAACAAGUAAAAGAAUAAAAAAGAAUAAAAGAAUGAUCUACAUACUUUUGUUUAUGAAGCAAAAGAGAUGCAAGGUCACUAAAGAAAUUACAGUAAAGGUCUAUAAAACUAUAUCUCCCUGAUCAAAAUGUGUGUUGUAUGCAAUACACAUAAAUUUACUAUAAAUCAUAUCUGCAUGAGGGACCAGCAGAAGAUCAUGACUCUAGACUUGCUUGCAGUGACCUUAUCUCUUAUGCCAUGAAUAUCUGUUAUGAAGAUGGUGACUACUGCUGCUGCUGUCACCACAGCAGCAGCAACAGCAUGAGGCUUGCAAUUCUGAGGUGCAAUUGAUUAUAUCUUGCCCCUCAGAUGUAAUCGACUGGCUGGUACUUUAUCAACCCCAAAAGGAUGAAAGAUAAAGUUGGCCUUGGUGAGAUUUGAAGUCAGAAUGUAAAGAGCCAGGAGAAACGCCAGAAGCAUUUUGCCCAAUGCACAAAAUACAUUACUUGGAACAGCAAGGAUCAUAAAAAGAAUUGUUGUGACCUGAGACUUGUUGGGUGUAGCUUGUUCCAAAGAAAAAAUUUUCUGGUUCAACCAUCUCACAUCAAGAUAAUUCAAAAAUAAUAAUAAUUUCAAAUUUUGGCACAAGGCCAGCUAUUUCGGGGAAGUGGUAAGUCGAUUCCAUUGACUUCAGUACUCAACUGAAAGUAUGAAAGGCAAAGUCGACUCUGGCAGAAUUUGAACUCAGAACAUGAAAACGACAAAAUACUGCUAAGCAUUUUACUCAACAUACUAACAAUUCGGCCUGCUCAUUGCCUUAAUAAUAAUAAUAAUAAUAAUAAUAAUAAUGACAAUAAUAAUGACGACGACGACGGCGACAGCUUUAGUUUUUGACACAAGGCCAGCAACUUUAUAAGUUCUCAAGUUGAAACUCUUUUUAUUAGUAUUGUUAAGAACACCAAGCACCUCAACUAUAUUAUAUCUAGCUUCGUAAUUGUUUACAAUAAAAUGUCUUUUCUUGUAUGUGGAAGUAUAUAUAAUUACAUACACAUGUAUGCACAUACAUUGUGCAUAAUGAAGAUAAUUUUUAUGCAAAGUUAGAAAGCAUCCAACCUAAUAAUCCAUUAACUGACUUAUAUUUGUUAUUUCUUGUAAAAACCAUCUCUGUUUAUUUUUACAAAAUUUUUGGUGUCUUUUAGAAAAAAAUCUGACACUUUCUUUGUAUUUUUUUUUUAGAUAUUUCUUUGUUCUUUCAUUAUUUGAACCUAAAAUUGAUUCUGUCUACUCUCUGCUGCAAUUGCUAUCUUGCCACUUUCCAUACAAGUACUGCAACACCACUAACACCAUCACUGCCACCCCCACUGCCAUUGCCACUUCUAUCAACUGUAACUUUCACUCUGUUUCCAACUCCAAAUAGCUUGUAAAAUUGUUUUGCUGUUGUGUUUUUUAAGAAAGUUUUUGUAAUGUAUCCUUUCACAGUCUAUCUUUUCACUGGACUUGAGAAUUUCAUUUCCCAUCAGAAGCAUCAUUUACCAAGGCUAAAAUGUAGAACAUGAAUUCAAUUGUUGAUCUUAUCUGUAUGGGUUUUAAUACAGUUUUAAAACUGUUUUAAUAAAUUAAUUAUAACUAAAUACUACUUCUGCUUCUUUCUCCACAUUUACUACAUAUUCCUGCUGAACUUUCUCUUUUCAUUCUUUAUGUCUCUAGAAUUGCUAAGUCUGAUGAUAACCUUAGUCUAUGAAACCCAACAGAGUUGGAUGGAUUGACAAUACCUCAAUAUUAUCAUGAAGCAGUGUACUCUGAGUUGACUCCUGUCCUUGCCAAAUGUCUGAACCUUCACUAAGAAUAGAAAUGCACAACAGUUUUGUCUUUUCCCAUGAACUGCAAACUUUGUAUUUGGUUUAGUAAUCAUAUUCCAACAUUUCUUGUUAGUUCAGUUUUCUUUUUGUGUAGCACAUUACAAUAACAGCAACACCCUACAUCACACAUGAUAGGUAUAUUUUGGAGAAAAGGAAGUUGUCAUACUUGACAUUCACAAAACCAUCAUCUCCUUCUGGCAAAGCUGCCUGUCUACAUAUUCUAUUUAUCAUUGGCCCUUACAUUGAGAUCUUCUUGUGAAAUUCUCCAACAUGUUGAUACCAUUCUCUCCUCCUCCUCCUCCUCCAUUAAUGACCAACAUACUGACCAUGUCUACCCUUCUGCUGAUCACAUGACUCACUACUCCUCCAUCCUUCCCCCUUCACCACAGCAAUGUUACUGGUUCCAGACACAUGUGGCACAACCACAUCACACCAGACACAUACAUCAUUUAUGAAGAGAAACUAUAAAACAUGCUACAAAAAUGAUUUAACAAAAGAAAUUAAAACAUAAAAUAAAUAGUUCAAGAAAACAAAGCUACAAGCCUAGCAGCUAUAGUGUUGAUGGUGAUGGUCAUGCCUGUUCUGAAAUAUAUCUUUUAUUUGUGGAACAUGUCUUCUUUUACACAGUCCAGUGUUGGAAGUCCACAAAACUGUAUCUUGUUAUUCACCUCUACCUAGGUUUCAAAUACUUCUUAGAUAUAUCCAACUUUGAGGGUCUAUAUAUUCUUGUUCUUCAACACUAAUGUAUAUAACUUAAGAAGUUGAAUAUGAAAACACUUGUAUUUAGCCAUAUUUUAUUAUUUAAAUAACUUAUAUAUAAAUAUUGGUUGGUUACUGACUUCUAGAAUGAAAUAACAUAUUCUCUUGUCAUGUUUGACUCGUGUAAAAACUUAGCUCAGCAUUGUUCAGUUUUGUUAGUCUGUGACUGACUGAUACCAACAGAAAUUAACUAUAAACUAUAGCAAAUUCUAAGAGAUAAAAGGUUUCUGAAGUAGUCUUAAUUAUUAUAAUAAAGAAAGAUUGCACCUCUUAGAAUAUGUGUGUGUGUUGCUUACAUUGUUUUAAUUGUCUAAAGUGCUAAUUGUAUGCUAGUUAAGAGAAAUAGCAUUUUAAAGUAAUAACCAUUAAUUAAGUUCUUUUUAUUCACCAGUUAUUAUUGUUGUUGUUGUUAUUCACUCUUGACUGUUAGUGAAUAAUACUCUUAAUGUCAACAUUUAUUUUUUUUUCUCAAUCACUUCAUAACUAUCUAGCUAAUUUAAUUCUCGACCAAAUCAAAUGUGAUUAAGUUCAUUGAAAGGACCAGUGCUAUAUUUUGAGAAUUGCAAGAGUGGAAGCAAAACUUGGAAUCAAAGGAUCUUAAGUUAGUGAGGAUGAAGCUUCUAGUACACAAGAAAUCAGUCAGGACCCUAUCCCCAUCUUAGGUAAUUGGCCCUGCUCAGUAUGUAGGAAAGGUGUUGGCAGGUAUUCCAUAUGGUGUAUUCAGAGCAAGCUAUGGACACUCAAGAGGUGUGGUGGAAUUGCAGGAAGGUUAAUGGAGAAAGUAGUUUUUGUAUGUGAAGAUGAUCAAGGGUCAUAAAAUCCAAGGUUACUGCAAAUAAGGUAACUACGCCUUAACGUGGGCAUAGCUUUCAGCAAUCAUUCACUGAUUUGGCUAUGAACAUGAUGAGGUGAUGAAGAGGGAGUGGCAGUCACACUUUAAAGUCUGUUAACCUGUUAUGUCUAUUAAUAAUUAGAGGAAUAUUAGAUUCAAUGCUGUAAAUUUAUUAUUUAAUCAAACAAAAAAAAAAUAUAAAGAAAAAUAUCACAGCUAGGCUUACUCUAAAUUCCCACAUUCAUUCAGAGCAUUCACAACAAUUUCAUUGUAUUUAUUCUUUGAAUGCAAAAUGCUCUAUUAAAAAUACCUGUACAUCAACACAACACUUAUUAGUUUAAACUUUUGUGUUUAGCCCAAGGUAGACCACUUGAAUUUUAAUAUGUUCUAUUCUGUUAAUGAGGUGAUAAAUCAUAGAGACAUUUCAUGUAUCUACUAACUGUGUAUAUGAUCAUGCACUUACUGAUGUUUUAAAUACUUUGUUUGGAAAAACAGAUGGCGAGGGGUGAUCUGUCAAUGGUCCAUCAGAAUUGACAAAAUGCUGGGAGCAAAUAUGGCUAUUUGCAGUGUAAACAAAUUCUUUCCUCACAAGUCUCAAUCUCUGAAGCCAAAUACAACAAAUAGUGACGUUUUCAGGGUAUCUAUGAAGUGAAAUAACUUUGCCGUCUACAUUCUUCCCUCUAAUAAUUGCUGCAUAUACAACAGUAUUUGUGUGAUUUCUUCGGAGACAUAUUAACCGGUCAUACAGCCUGUGAGUUGUUAGUCUGCUGAAGUAAAUGCAAGUCACUGAGCAUGCGUACAUGUCAUAUGGGAGAGUUCCAAUCGGAACCACCUAUAGCAAGAUGCCUGUGCUUGUCCUAUCAUACUUCAGCCUUUCAACACUGGCAUAAAGCUACCCACAUCCACAUGUCCCUCCCAAAUACUUCUUAGUAGUGGGAGCUUUUUCUUUUUCCUUUUUCAUGCUCUUUUCUGUUUUGUAAGUCACAUGGCAACUUCACUAGUGCCAAAGACAUGAAAAAGUACCCUGUACAUUCUGUAAUUUGAGUGGUGUAAGGAAGGACUUCCAGUUGUAGAAACCAUGCCAAAGAUGACAUUGGAGCCUGACAUAGCCCUGCAUCUUGUCAGUUCCCUGUCAAACCAUCUAGUCUAUGCUAGCAUGGAAAGCAGAUAUUAAAUGAUGAUGAUGAUUGUUUCUUUACUGCUGUUUCAUUAGUCUUUCUCUUGUUUUUUUGUGAAGUCACACUUUUCAGACCAAAAAAAAAUAUUUAAACACUAUUUUUAUCUUUUUAUUUUCAGAAGUUGUAUCCCCCAAGAAAAGUUUUGGUAUGUAUUCCAUUUGUUUCUUGUCUGUUUCUUACAGAAGUUGUGGCAUUAUUGCAUCAAUGCUACAAGGGUUCUCAUACAAAUUUAAGUGUAAGCUACUUAGUGGUGAAGUGGUUUCAAUGAUGAAUUACUUGAUAGAUAUGGGUUUAUCAAUUCUCUUUUGUGCAUUGCUCUAGUGUAAUGUUUUCCAAAGGUGUUGGGAAGCGGCAUUAUUUUGAUGUGAAGUAUGAAUUACUUCAGGAUAGGAUGUAAGCCAGUAACAAGUGAAUAAAACUUGUGAUGAAGUCUUAGUUAAAACUCCUUUUGAAUGUGUUUAUGUAUAUUGUAUGGUAUAUAUUUAAGACAUAUACUUCAUGCGAGAUGUAUAGUUUUUUGGAAGUCAUAGAGAUGUGGGACAAAAAACUAGUGUUCUAGCACAUUCUUCACUUAAACAUUUCAGGUGAAAAUAAUCUGCUUGACAUCCUUCCUUCCUUUCUUCCCAAAUUAUUAAGUGACGAAUUUAGGGACCAUAGUAAUGUGUAGGACUAUAAUUUCCUCUUGUGUGUGCGCACUUACAAUGAGCAUUCUAUAAAAAAAUAUAUAUAUAUAUAUAGAUUCUUUCCCUCUCCUCAUCAUAUAUAUAUAUAUAUAGAUUAUUUCCCUCUUCUCAUCAUAUAUAUAUAUAUAUAUAUAUAUAUAUAUAUAUAUAUAUAUAUAUAUAUAUAUUGGGUGUGAUGAAUAUACUGUCAUCUAAAUUAUGCAAAAAUGAAAAUAACACUGGCAUCUCAUUUUAACAGAUAUAUUUACCAAAAUUGCAUAAAAAUAUCUUGAAAUACUAAUGAGUAAAUUUAUUCUAUAAAAUCAUCAUUGGCUUCAACCAUGGCCUCCAGAUGACUUCGGAAUCUCCUGCAACUCUUCUGGAUGGUCUCCUUGUUUAAGUUGGUGAAUGCUUCUAUAAUCUUUGCCUUCAGUUCAUCUUUGGUGUUACAAGGAGUUUUGUUGGUCUCUUGCGCAGUUGCAUUCCACACAUAAUAAUCAAGGGGUUGCAGUGUGGCCAGGUGUUAGAAAUGAUGUGGUUGCAGAAAUUGUCUGACAACUGUGACUAGGUUCUCCUGUUUGUGUGACAUGGUGCAGAGUCCUGUUGCCAGACAUAGGAUCUUCCAGCAGCCACCCUUUUGACCUAGGGCAGCACUUCCUCCUCCAGGCACUUGAUGUAGGCCUCCAUGUUGAGUCUGAGGCUGUGUGGGAAGAUGAAUGGAGACAUAAUGUCGCCAUCACUAGUGAUCACUCCAAACAUCAUGAUGUUGACUGGAUGUUUGAUUUUUGUCACUCUCGGUACAUGUCCUUAGAUUGCACUGUCCUCAGAUUGACACCCAAACAUUCUGAAAUGUUUGUAUUGGAGCUUCCAGCAUGAAUGCCAAGCAGUACAGCAUAUCAUUUUCAAAUUUCUGGCAGAGUGAAUUGUAUCAUGGUGCUGUUUUUCUCACAGACAGUACCCAACUAACCCUACUAUACUGCAUUGUCGACAAAACCAAAAACAAACAAUGCCCAUGCCUGAAAUUAAAGAUAUAAAAUGGCAACAAUUUUCCCCUCGCACCCUGUAUAUAUAGCAAGCAAAAUGUGUCUAUGCAAGUAUCUUUAACCCUUUAGCAUUUAGACUGACCAUAUCAGGCCCAAAUAGUCUACUUGUUUUAUGUUCAAACUGGUCAGAUCCAGGCUCUCACAUAGCCUAUAAUGUCAUUCUAAAAAUGGACAACCACAUUAUUGAAAUUUUGAAGCUAUGAGAUAAUGCAUGAUUAAUUCAAAACAAUGUGAAUAAAAUAAGUGUUAUAUUUGACAAAGUAAUCAGAAUGCUAAAGGGUUAAUGAGUUUAUCUGAAAACAGAAUCUGAAUCAAUAAGAAAAUAUGUAUUCUUUUUAUCUCUCAAUUAUUUUGAGCACAGAUGUCUCUCUCCCUGCAAUACAUUUAUUUUUUCAAUAGAAAUUAUUGACAUCUAAGAAUUAGAAUUUUUUUUUUUAUGUCUUAUUUUAAAAAAAAAAAUGAGUGCAAAGAAUUCAGUAACACCUGCAUAGUUAUUUAGAAAUAAGAAUUGAAGAUAGAAGCAGGUUUUAAAUCAAUUGGAAUUACUUAACAUGCAUUGGCCUUUAUCAGCUUCUAGACAAAUACAUAAAACAUUGGCUUGCUGGCUGCUGUUGGUAGUGUGCCAGAAUCAGUAUCAGCCAGAUUUCUAUUUCAAAUCUUAAGUGAUCCUGUCCUGUAGAUUUGCCAAAAGAAUAAAAGAAAUGAUUUGUUCUGUGCAAAGUCUGCCCAUGUGGUUGGCAAGCAUUUGAAUUGAACUCUUAUUUGUGUAUAUUAUUACAUGCAUUAAUAACCUCAGGAGGUGUGUUCAUCGUUCAUCACCUAUAUAAUUUCAUAGCAAAUGAAUCAUUACACACAUAGACAUGUUUGGGAAUUUCCAAGUGUAAACAUAUAAUCGUAUACAUCAUUGUCAUUUUAAUGUUCACUUUUCCAUGGGUCAGGUAAAUUUGUUGAAGCAGAUUUUAAGUGGUUGGAUUCCCUUUUCACAAACCUUCAUCAGUUUUCAAGCAAGUUAUUCCCCACUAGUCCUUUAAAUAUGAACAGCACACAUAAUUACAAAAGAAGCCUGUAUAACUGAAGUUUCUGGACAAAUGUAUGUUGUCAAGAUUACGACAGACUUGCACACAUACAUGACAAGCUUCUUUCAGUUUCCUUCUUCCAAAUCCACUUGUCCAAAGUGCUGCACAGUAAGACUGAACCUAAAAUCACAUGACCAUACCUGCACCUAUAUUUAAACAUAUUUAAAGUUAUUCUGCUUUGUGCUAGUGGCCCUUUUAAAACAUCCUUUUUCAAGCAUCUAAUUGGAAGAUUUGAUAUUGUUGUUUAGCAAUUAUUAUACAUAUUUAACAAGUUUAAGGGAUAAUAAUAAUAAUAAUAAUAAUAAUAAUUUUUCUAAUUUGAGGGGAGUCGAUUAUAUUGAAACCCCUCUUCCCCAGUGCUUGACUAGUGCUUUAUUUUACUGAACCUGGAAGAACAAAGUUGACCAUUUAGGAAUUUAAACUUGGACCAUAAACUACUGGAACAAAUAUUACUAGGCACUCUAAUGUCUCCUGUUCUUACCAAUUUGUCACCCAAUUUUGUUUUCUUUUAUCUUACUUCUGUAUUUAGUUUAUAUUUAAUUAUUGUAAAAAAAAACAUUAGAGUUAAUUGAUUAUUGUAAAGAGUUGAUUAUCUAAUGUCACAGAUUUUUUUGUACUUGAGAUUUAUUUUAUUUCCUUGAAAAGAGAAAUAGCAAGAUUGAUCCAGUAUUGUUUGAACUUAGACCAUGGAGAUCACAUCUGCUACCAAAUAAAGUGUUUUAUUUGAUGCUCUGAUUCUCUUACCUGUUUCCCUUUUAUUGACCUGCUUUCAUUUACAAUCAAGAAUGAGUGUUUCUGCCAUCAUCACUCCCUCUUCUUGAGUCCCCACCAUCAUUCACAGUUGAGUACCUUUUCUCCUCUUAUCUAUGGUCACCACCACCACUAUUUCUGUCCAUCAUUCAUCUUACCUACUUUUGUAACCUUUGCCUACCCUUCCUGAUCUUUCAUUCUCUCUCUCUCUCUCUCUCUCUCUCUCUCCUACUCAUAGGUAACUUUAAUGAUAUACCUUGGCUCCUCACCACCAUUACCUCCCUCUUUCUCUCUGAUACCAUUCCACUCGCUCUCACCUAUAUACAACACAAAAUAGUCCUAAAUCUUCUCUUACUCCACCCUUUCCACUGUCCUCUUCUUCACUCUCACCAGCCUGGAAACAUUACUCCUUUUUCUCCCCACCACUCUUUAUCUUAUUCCGACUUCUCUGACGUGGGAAUUCUUCUCUUUAGUCUUGCAAGUUACAAAGGGACAUCGCUAGUGUUGGUACUAUAAAAAAGGCACUCACAACACUGUAACGUGGUUGAUGCUAGUGGCCAGCUUUUAAAACAUCCUUUUUCAAGCAUCUAAUUGAGAAGAUGUAGAAUGAUGAUUGUGAUAAAGAAAAUAAAUGAGCUACAAAUAUAUAUCCAGAAUUCUAAUCCACCAAAAUUUUUUUACUACUUAACCCUUUCGUUACCAAACCGCCCAAAGCCGCCCGAAAAAAAUUUUGGUUUAUGAGACCAAACCGCCCAAAGCCGCCUGAAUUUACCUAUUCAUAUUUAAAUGAGAAUAUCAGAGCAAAUCUCUUCAGUACAUUCGUGAAAACACGUAUUAUACUUCGUAAACAGUUCAACUACAGUUUUGUACAAUAAUCGAAGUGUAAUUUUAAUUCCGUGAAUUUUGGGAGAUUUUUUUCCGAAAUUUGUUCCUAUUGUGUUUUCAAAAUUUGUAAUUCUGACAAAAAAUGGAUACGAAUUUCAUUAUAUCAAGCAGCGAGUCAGAAUUCGAAGGAUUUUCUACUGAAGACCUUCAUAAAUCUAACUCUAUGACUGAAAAAAAAAAAAGCAUGUGGUAUUUGAUAAUGAAUCUGAUAUUUCAUCUUCCGAAAGUGAAAACAGUGAAUCUGAGAUCUCCGAUAGCGAUAAAGAAAACGAAUUGGCACCUGAAUGGAGUGAAAAUUUAAAAACUGUUUCUUUCGGUGAUUUUUCUGAAGAAACUGGACCAAGCCACAGACUUUCCCAGAAGGGUAAAGCCUUAGACUAUUUCUAUUUACUUUUUCGAAUGAGCCUAUUUGAAAUCAUUACGGCAGAAACGAACCGUUACGCUAAAAUGUAAACAAAACGAAAGAAAGUUUAGUUUGUGGUUUCCCACAACCUUAAAUGAAAUUAAGACUAUUUUGCCAUAAAUAUUGUUAUGGGUAUCAGAAAGUUAUCCAGAAUAACAAAUUCUAUCGUAAAAUUUUGUUGUAUACCCAAUUGAAUAUUAGCUAAUAACCCAUUUUCUAUAGCGAUGUUUGAACAAAAUUUUAAUAAUUUUAUAUUUUGUUGAAUUUACCUGUAUCUACCUGCAAUUAGAGUCACUUUGUGACAAAAAUUAUAGUAUAGAAUUGGUUGAGAAUAUUUCAUUAAAUUAUCUUCCAAAAAUCAGAUUAAUAUAUCGAUAAAUAAAAAAGUUAUAGUUGUUUAAUGAAACCAGACUAAAUUUAUGAUUACGUUAGAAAUUAAUUGAAACACAUAAGGGGUGUAAUUUGGUCAGAAAUAUAGUAACGAAAGGGUUAAAGUUUAUGAUAAUGCAGCACAUUAGUGAAGACAAGAAAAAUUAUUGAUGAAUCAGUUAUUUCAGGUGACCCAAAUGAUUGAUGUGAUUUAAUUUUCCCUUAACCUUUAGUAAUAAUAAUCCACAUCUAUCUUAGUUACCACCUCAGUUUCUGCAUGACUAACAAACUUGACUCUGCUUAUUCCCUUCAAAAGACCUGGAUGAAACAAAACUAGUAAAAAGAAGGACAAUAGAAGGAUUUUGCAGUUGUCAGAUUCAUUAAAAGUGAACUUACUUUUAUUUCUGAUUCUCAGUGACUCCUAUUUAUUAUGUACAAGAUACAAUUUCAGAAGAUUUCUACAGUUUGCAACAUCCAUUAAUAAGUCUCAAAGACUUGUCAUAAAUAAUGUGUUUGUGCAUUAAUCAACAUUAAUAGAUCUAAUAGCUUCAACUGUCAGAACUUUGGUGGGUUUGUGCCAUUGUUGGCCCAGACCAUAUCUAAUUUAAUAGCACCACCUGUGGUAAGUAAUACAAAAUGAGAAAAUGCAAGGUGAAUCUGAUGGCUUCAUCUUCAAAUAAAGUUUAAUAGUCUUCUAUGGAUGAUAGUUAUUUCAUGGUUAUUCUAUCCUUUUUCUUUCAAUAUAUCAAGGACUAUGUUAACUAAUGUCUUCCCUGUUUUGUUUUUUAAUCAUGGUAAGAUGUGGUUUGGUGAUAAUUUGGCUGCUAUUAUUAGCAAGUUUUGUAACCACAUAGUGGUUUACUAUUUUGCUCCCUCUUUCUAAGCUUCUGCUGGUUUUUGCAGAUUUAAACAAAAGUUCUUUCUCAGAACUUUCUUUAUCAAAAUUUACUAUUCUACAGAAUAAAUUAAACCGUGAAGAACAUCAAAAUAUAUUUUUUUGCAGGUUUAAUGUUCAAAUGUCAACCCCUAUAUUUACUGUGGUAAAUACAUUAACUGUAAUUUGAUUGCAAAGUAAUGUAUCAUCUGUCAAUUUGUCAUUGUGCCAAAUUCAUCACCAAAAGAUCUGUCAUGCUUUAUAUACAUUACAGUUUUUAUUUGCUGUGUGAAAAUGCUGCAUUUUAUUAAUAACUAGCUUAAUGACCUGGUGUCACCUGGGUUACAGCUGUUAUUAUUCAGAUUAAUAAGCAAUAAAUAUAAAGAUAUAUUCUCAUAAUUAUUUCAAAACAUCUAUAUUUUAUUAACAAAUAUCCAAAUUGUAAUGAUAAUAGAAUUUUGAACUGAAAAUCUGUCACUGUUGAAGUACCUCAGGAUAAGCAAUAUUCAUUGUGUAAAUUUUUGUUGGUGUCCAAAUGAAUAAUUUGUUGUUGCUUCCAACAAGCAACAUAGAGUUGGCUGUGGGAGAAGCAUGUAGUAGAGAGAUCAAGUGCAACUAUCUUGAAGGAUUGACCCUGAGAUUUCAUCAUGAUCAUCAUUGUUUAACAUCCAUUUUCCAUGCUAGCAUGUGUUGGAUGGUUCGACCGGGGUCUGGGAAGCCAGGAGGCUGCAUCAGGCUCCAGUCUGAUCUGGCAGUGUUUCUAGAGCUGGAUGCUCUUCCUUAUGCCAACCACUCCGUGAGUGUAGUGGGUACUUUCUACAUGCCACCGGCACGGAAGCCAGUCAAGGCGGUGCUGGCAUUGGCCACGUUCGGACGGUGCUUUUUAUGUGCCACCAGUACGGGUAUCACAACUACAAUUUCCAUUUGAUUUUUAUUUUGAUGUUGAUGUACUUGAUUCAUUAGGUCUCCUCAAGCACAGCAGGUCACCCUAUGAUCCAAGGUAAGGACAUCAGGCCAUCCUGCGAUCCAAGGUACUUUGGAUGGGCUGGGGUUGCUAUGUGAAGUUGGUGCAGGAAACUGCCAUGAACUCACGUUAUUUGCUGGUGCAGGAAACAGCCCUGAACUCAUGUUAUUUGUCUGGUCUUCGCAGUCACAGCAUAUCUCCAGAGAUCCCGGUCUUUCGUCAAUGCCUCUGUGAGGCCCAACAUUCGAUGGUCAUGCUUGACCACCUCAUCCCAUGUCUUCCUGGGUCUACCCCUACCCUAAAUUCCUUAAAAAUUGGUAACUCGGUUUUCAAAUCCAUGAGGAACACAAACAAUCUCUCUCUCUCUCAUAUAUUAAGAUGAAAAAAACUUCAAAGACAAAAAAAUUCCAUCUUGCAAUCUAGAAAUGUGUUAGAAGUUUUGAAAAAAGAACAAUGUACUUAGUAGAUUAAAAAGUUAAGUAAAAUGAAACCCAUCCAAAUGGUUUUCCAAUAUGCUGUACAGGAAUGAGUUAGAAUGUUUUUAUUGUUAAAAAAAGAUGAUGACGUUUCCUCUAUUUACAAAAAUGUUAAAUUACAUUUUGAGUUGUAUUUACUCUGUUGAUGUAAAGCAUGAUUACAAAAUUAUAGAUAAUGUAGUUAGCAAGUUCAUGAAUUCACCAAUGAUGUAUUGGCUUGUUAUGUAAUUACCUUGCAAUGAACUUGUCAGGUGAUGUAUUUAUUGUGAAGCCAUUGUUCAUAAUGAAUUUAUUGGACAAAGAUUCUGAUAUUCAAUAUUAAUGGGGCUUCUUUAUAUUCCUUGUCAACUUUUUAAUGAACUUGAUUUUUGUGAAAAUCUGUUGAAGCUACCUUCUGGAUGUAUAUUAAAUAGAUCAUUCUGUACUGUUUAAGAUACCUUCUAGAUAGUGUAUAUUAAGUAGAUCAAUUUCACUUCAUAAAUAUUUAGCAAACAAAUUGGCAAAAAGUUUAUAACGCCCGCCUAAUAUUCUUUAAAUAUUGAAGUUCAUUGUGGUUGUUUGUUUAUGGUUGUCAAUCAACUCCAGUAAUUCUUAUCUUGGAAGAGUUUAGUGAGCAUAUGUUUGGUGUGUAUGCAUGUGUGUUGACCUGAGUUAACUGAGUCUGUAAAUUUUAAUAUUCUGCAAAUUCAAAUGGUUUAUGUAAAAUGUACUAAUCCUUCAAGAGUGAAAUUAUGUUUACAUUUAGUUUUCAGUGUAUUUAAGAUGACUCAAGUAUGGUACAUUACUCUACAUAAGUCGUAUAUCUCAGCUUGUUACUCCUACAAUUUGAAAUCAUAACCUUUUAGUAUGUAGCUUUAAACUUUUGAAAAACAAGUCGGUUUGGUUUUAUGCCAUUUUAGAAAUUCCAAAGAAAUGUUAUAUCAGGUUUUCUCAAAAAUCUUGAAAACUAGGUUCAUUUGGUUCACCUUUAUGGUCUUUAACCUGUAAUCUGUUGCUAAGCAAUUUUAAUCAAGGGAAAUUUGUAAUGAGAAUCCAGUAAAUUAUCUAAUAGUAAUUCUAAACCAACAUAUGAAUCCAAAAUGACUUCAAAUUUUAUUUGGAAUUGUCUUGGGAUCAAUUAUGUUCCCAGUUUCCUUGGAUUCUACUCUUUUGUUUUACAUUAAUUAAUAUUACUCUGUGAAAAUUUUAUUUCAAAUGCUUUGUGAUUCAGUUUUGACAUUAGUGUCUGUUUAAUGAGAAUCUAUAUUCUUUAAUUAAAAAUACUCAAAGACUGAAUCAUUGAUUUCAAGCCAUUUCUGUAAAAUGUUGCAAUUCUUUUCAUUCUUUAGUUGCAUUUCAAAGUCUGUUGUUAAGUUGUUCCAAAACUAGAAACAUCUGAAUUGGUUUCAUGAACAAUAUUUUGAUAUGGAGAAAAAAAGUUUGAUUUUGGCAGCUCAGUAUUGGACCCCUCAAAAAUUUCAUAUGAAAAAUAUUUAAAGAUUUCUCUUCUCAUAUUUAUUCCAGAAUGAAACAUUUUAGAUUUUAAUUAUUCAUUGUAAAUAUUAGAACUUGAUAUUACAGAAAAGAAAUUAAAUAUCUUAAAAAUUCCAUGUUAAUUUGUAUUUUUAAAUCAAAAACUUCUGGCUACUGGUUGAGAGAGAGAGAGAGAGAGAGAGAGAGAGAAAGAAAGAGAGAGAGAAAGAAAGAGAGAGAGAGAGAGAAAGAGAGGGUGGGGAUGGGGGGAAUUUAUGCAUAUAUGUCCACAAAAACCAUGUUCUCUUUUUAGAUUUCAAGAACAUUACAAGAUGCUUCAUAACUAUGUACUUUACUUUAUACACGACAAAAAAAAAAAAACCCUGACAAUAUAGAUAUUCAAACUCAUUUCUAAAGAGUAAAUUCUUUGUUCCUAGUGGUAUAAACAUUCAGUUUGUCAAAUGGAAUAAUUAUUAGUUGUAAUAGUUUAUGGUUUCUUCAUAAAUAUUCUAUAGACAAUACCAUAGACACUGUUGCUAUAACCCCUCUAUCCCCCCUCUCUAGCCAUGUAACCACACAUGUGCUUCUCUUGGACUAUUCUUUUCCUUCUCUCUGGACCUUACCUCUCUCCUCUUUCUGAUGAAAGGCCAUGCUUGAAACAUCACCCCCACCUCAUUUUUCCAUCUUAGACUGAGCAUCAACCUUAUAGAUUCACUGUGUAUGUCCUUUUGACUUUUGUUGUUUUUGUUUUUAUUUUCGAUUUGCCUAUACAUAUACCACUGACAACCAGAAAUUUAAGUACUUGGUCUUGGUGUUUGUUCAUUACCCUAAAUACAUAAGAGAUGUGUUUGUGUGGUGGGGGAACAGGCAAUGAGGUGUUUUGUUGUUGUUAUGCUUAUUCUGUAAUCUUAUUUGAAGACCCAAGCUGUUAUGAAGAUGACCAAAUCUGAAAUUGUUUUAUGUAGUUGUACUUACAACAUUGGAUAUGGUUUAUUGAAAUGUUGAAGAUUCUUGGUGUAUAAUUUAAGGUCUGGAUUGCACUAUUGUAAAGUACAGUGUGGUUGUAGGCAAUGAAGGUAAUUUAUCACAUGCAACUGUAAAGUUUUACAAAAUAUCAAAAGUUAGUCUUGGACUGUUUUGGAUUAAUACCAAGUAAAAGAUGUUGCCCUUCUGAAAAUGAAUAAGUUCCAGUAUUGACAUCCCUAGUUUUGAAAAUCUUGCUAUAAGGGUUGCUCUUAUACUAGUUUUAGCUCAGUAGCUGUGUCCACACUGAGGGUUGUUAAUGUUUAAGUUGCAACAUUCUUGAAGCUAUAGAUAAGAAAGUCAGACAUUAUCAAUGAUUUAUCUUCUUAAUGAACAUAUGUUCUGAGUAAUCUUUGUAGAAAUGUGAUUUUAAUUCUGACUGGACCAUUUGUUUCUGUAUCCAGAUAAUUCCUAGCCCUUUGUUUCCAUAUUACUGUUUGAUAUUAAACAGAAAAUGUAGGAAGGAAAACUAAGAGCAUAAUUUAUGAUGACAGUCUUAUCUUCCAUCAGCUUAGCUUCUUGAACUGUUGUAGACAGUGAAAGUAAUUGUGUAAUACUCUUAUUGAGAAAUGUGUAUUAUUUGCUCAAAAUAACUGAACAGUGAUCGUUGAACUUAUGGAGCUAUAUGUUUCACUAUAUUACAGUGGGUCUGAAGAGAAGAAAGUUUAGCUUUUAUUGGGGUCACUAGACUGGUAUAAAGAAACUGAAAAGUUUUAGUGUCAAUGAAAUAUUGCUAUGUUAUUAAUCUUAUAGAUAGAUGUUUGCUUGUCAGGUGUUAUUUUUAGCUAAACUUCUCUCUUCAAUGUUAAAACGAAAUAUAUAAUUGAUUUCUGACAAAUGUUAAAUAUUUACCAUAAUAGCAUAGAAGGUUUUAAGCAUCAAAGCUGUAUUAAGAUAGGAUAUUAAUUAAAUCAUUGAAAGUGUAGUUUGAUGGGCAAUAGUCUUAAUAUAGAUAACAGUUUAGUUUGAAUAGUUUCAGGGCUGCACCAUUCCAACUAAAGAUGGUCUAGCUGACCAGCAGCUAUGACAAAGUCCUGUCAUCAAGUGAACUGAAUUUUUUUCAGAGUUUAUUUCUAAUUUUUCUCUAAUGAUAUUGAUUUUAAAUCUUAGCACAAGGUCAGCAGUUUUGCAGGGUGGGUAUAAGUUAAUUACAUCUACCCCAGUUCUCAGUUGGUACAUAUUUCAUUUAUUCCAAAAGGAUGAAAGGCAAAGUUGAACUUGGCGGAACUCAGGACAUAAAGACAGAUGAAAUGUUGCUAAGCAUUUUGCCUGGUACCUUUUUUUCUCUAAUGAUAUUAAGAGACAGACAAAGAUGUCUCGUUGGUGUUGCUGGUAUAAAUUACAAUAUUAUUAAUUUUCAGCAUAACCAGAUGAUCAUCCUUUAGACUACAUAGCCUACAUCCUAAAUGGGUAAUGUUAACUGUCUGCUUCAUAAAUAUUGUCAUUAAUAUUUAUGUAUUAAUUCAAUGUGUAGAUGGAACAUUAGGCUUCUAAUGACUCGCCUGGUUUUUUGAGUUUCACUUUAAUUUAUAAAUUUAUAGUGUUGGGAUUUUUUAAAUUUUUUAUUAAAACUUUCUGAAAGAUGAAAAGAUUAGGAUUAUUCUUAGUUUGUUAAUAGCCUUUUUAUUUUUUAUUUGCUGGGUUUGGAGGAAGGGCAAUACAUUCACCAGUGUGGUUGAUGACAUUAAUGUUUCUCUUAAACCUUUAUUAUUAUUAUUAUUCUAUGUUUGACUUUUGCUUUAUUAUUAUUAUUAUUAUUAUUAUUAUUUAAGAUGUCACACAGUAUCCAAUAUCAUAAUGUUGUUGAUUGAAGAUAUUGUGUCUUUGGGGUGGGGUGGGGGUACUGUCUGCCAAGUCACAACAAGGACCUCAGACAGACAGUACUUUAUGCAAUACACCUAAAUUGUAGAGUAUUUCUAAAGUUUCCAGAUGUUUUUUCAGAUUGGGUGGUAUUGAAUGAACCCAAUCGUCUGAUGACAAUAAGGACAACCUUUAUGUUUGACUCUCUUGUAACUGCCAAAUCUUAGCGAUCUCAAUUCUCUGGUAUCCAUAUUUAUCAGUCUUUUCUCUUUCUUUCAUGAUAGAUAAUAUGUUGAUCUCCUGGCACUGCCACAUAGAUUAUUAGGCACUCUUGUUUGUCCCUCCUAAAGGUGACUAUAUCCAACCUUGUCUGUCUGGAAGUCAAAGUCUCAGAGGAUUUUUGCCUUCCCUUCAGCUUUAUUUAGCUGGGUAUGAUGGAAAGUGUCAACUGUCCACAACCAGCAGACUAAAAGGACGUUUGUUUACUAAUCAUGCUUCAAGGACUCUGCAGAAUACUCUUGCAGUUCUAAACAAUGAUGAUUUUUGUGGGUGUUUUAUCUUCACAUUCAUUCCAAUUUUUUGAGCCAUGUUGGUAGUUGGGUACUGAUGCUUCCAAGUGCAAUUAUCAUCAUCAUCAUCAUCAAGUCAGGUUUUGUUGGAACUCCUGGAGUCUUGUAUGUGUAGUGGGCUUGCUACAUGCAGCCUAUGGUUCCUUGCUAUCAGUUCUUUUCAACUAUCUAAUACUUCCCUUUUUAUUAUAAUUAUAAUAAUAAUAAUAAUAAUAAUAAUAAUAAUCAUAAUCAAGGCAGCAAAUUGGCAGAAUUGUUAGCAUGUCAGACAAAAUGUUUAGUGGCAUUUCUCCUGACCAUUUACAUUCUGAGUUCAGAUUCCUCUGAGGGCAAAUUUGCUUUUCAUUCUUUCAGGGUUGAUAAAAUAAAGUGCCAUUCAAGUACUGAGGUUGUGCUGGCCUUGUGCCAAACUCUGAAAUGAUUCUUUCCUUCUUCCUCUUAUUAUUAUUAAUGCAGUAUAACUACCACCUCCACCAAUGAUGAUGAUGAUAAUAAUAAUGCAGUAUAACUUAUCUAGUCUCGCAGAAGCUACCCCCUAUCCACCAAUCCAUAAAGAAAAAACAACAAAAAAGCAAAACAUGGAAUUUGAAACAUUUGUUUUAUCAAGCUGAAAUGGAAAGAAAGAACUUGGUUUCCAGCUGACUGCAGUCAUUUGCUGAAAUAACUGAUACCCUUUUUGAAGUCAAUGUUUGGUAUUAGUGAAGGCUUCCUGUUGCAUUAGCAGAGUUUGUAGUACCCCCGCCCUACUCUGAAGAAAGAAUAAUUGCUAAGAACUAUAUACAAUUCAGAUAACUGUAUACAGGCAUUCAUAUAUUGCUAAUGUUACCUAGAUUUUAAACAAAUCACCUUAGUUUAUGAUAGCUGUCAUCAAUGCUUUUAUUCUUAGCGAGUUGUUUUGAUGAAGAACAAAGAGACAUCUCUCUCUCUCUCUCUCUCUCUCCUUAUGCCAGUGUCCUUCACAUGAUUAAUCUUCAUAAAUUGCUAUUUUUUUGUAUUUGUGCUUCAUUCUUGCUUCAAGUUGUUCACUGAGAAAUAUAAAUAUUCUUUUUAUUUACAUUUUAGUCUUCCAAAAUAAUUAAAUGCACCCAAAAAUACCUGAGUGAAUAAGUUAUUAAGAUAGUGAACAGCUGACCAGUUAAGGUCAUUAGAUGAUUUAAUUUCAAAUAUCUAUAAAGCCAACUGCCAGCCAGUUUGAUAACAUUCUUGUCAUUUGUAGAGUUUCUGGAGGGCAUUGAGUUACAAUAGUGGGAGGUUCAAUCUUCUUAGUUGUUUCUUGAAAUUGAAGAGGCCUCAAUCCAAAUAAACCAACUGAAUGGUGUAGGCCCAGGUUUCCAAUGAUGGAAGUCUGGAAAGAAAAAGACAGUUUGGUUAUGGGUUGAACAUGUUUGAGCACAGGUCUCUUUAAUCAGGACUAACCUGGGGGUCAUACUACUACUAAAUGGCUGAUGACUUUGUUGGUUAUGAUGAGUGUUCCAGUUGAUACAAUCAACAGAACAGCCUCUUUGUGAAAUUAAUGUGAGAGUGGCUGAGAACUCCACAGAUAUGUGUACCCUUAAUGUAGUUCUGAGAGAGAUUCAGUGUGACACAGACUGUGACAAGGUUGGUCCUUUGAAUUUUAGAUACAACUCAUUUUUGCCAGCUGAAUGAACUGGAGCAACAUGAAAUAAAGUGACUUGCUCAAGGACUUAAAUACACUAUUAGGCAUCAAACCCAUAAUCUUACGAUCCUGAGUCAAACAUUCUAAUCACUAAGCCUUUUGUCUUCAUAUAUUUCUACAUGAUUCAAAGAGUAUUAACUGUAGACAGUAUAUGUCAAGUUAAAAUGCAUGUUCCAAAAAUUCAUAUACAACUACUGAAAUUUUCUGAUUCUGCAAUAAAGCGGUAAAAAUAUUUACACAUGGUUCAAGAAUGGUUUUGCUCUCUGAAAGAAAAAAUUGUCAUCUGCCUUGGCUUCAUCUUAUCUCCAAACUUAAAUCAAAUUAUGUGAGGGCGUGGAGGAGGAGGAAUUGGAGGAAUUUUGAAAUGGUGGCUGUUCGGCAGUGAAGGUGUGAAUGAGUGUGUCCCAGGUGAAAGUUUGGAGCAGUAAAUGAAAUAUGAAUCAGUGGCAGAAGAGGAUGGUUAUGAUGAGUUUGGCCAUGAAUGAGACUGACAAAAUAUUUAAAAGGCAUGCAUGUGAACACGCGUGUGCGCGCACACACACACUAGGUUUUUUUAAAAAUAAUUUUGUUAAAAAUUGGAAAUAUUUUUUAACAUACUGGAGUUGAAUUAAAGAUUGAGUUGAACAGCUGCAAAUGUCACAAACUCUGGAAUUUAUCUAACUUCUUAGGUUUGUCAUAACUCUGUUAUAUCUUUUACAUCUUUAUAGGUGUUAUCUUAUAAUUAUUAUUGUUAUUUACUAUUUUACUGUCUGACACUAUACAAUUGUCUGUGUUAUUGGUGUUUUAUGUAGUUAUAUUACUUGUUCAUUGUUUUUUAUGUAUGACGUUGUUUUCAUGUUUUAUGGUAAUUCAGUUUUGAAUUGAUAAUCUAGAAGUUAAGAUUUUAAAACGUUUAUUUACUCAAACAGUUUUUUAUGUUUCUUUUAUGAGUUUUAAUUUCAUUUCUAAAUAUUGACUUUCUCCCAACAUACAACACACAACAGAAAAUCUGCCACAAAUUUCAUAUCUUCUCAGUUUCCAAAGAGUUGUUUUUGUUACAACAAAGUCAUGCCUUGUUUAGUGUUAUCAUUCUGUGCUGUUAUUGAGUCUACCAAGUUUAGACUAAAAUCAAAUACAAAGCAACCUCAGUUCUUGAAUGUCUCACAUAUCAAACAAAUCCAUUUUCAAACAGAAAAUUCGAGAUGAGAAUGCCUUGGUUAUUGAACAAAAUUUCAGUUCUCAAACAACAUUGCUGAACUCAGCUGAACUGAAUUAACCCAAACGGAAUCAUUUCUGUGUCAACCACUGUGUUGUAUACAUUUCUGCGUUGUGCUGUGUUUUACUUUUCCAAUUUUAUUGUACUGUGCCUUUUUUCUCUUCAUUAGCCCUUAGUCAUGGCUCCAAAGAAAGCUAGCAGUGAUACUGAUAAAGGAAAAAGAAAAGAUGAGAGAAAAACAAUUGAAGUGAAGAAAGAAAUCAUUGCAAGACACGGAAAUGGUGUUUGAGUGUCAAAUCUCACUGAGCAGUAUGGUAUGCCUAAACCGACAAUAUCUGCUAUUCUAAAAAAUAAGGAAGUGAUAAAAGCAGCUGUUGUUGCAAAAGGAGUGACUUAUUAAUUAACAAAGACCAAAGAUGCUGCUUAUUUUUAUAAAUGAGAAACAGUUAACAGGUGACAAUGUCAGUGAAGCAUUUAUUUAUGAGACAGCAUUAGAAAUUUAUAAUGAUCUGGUAAAGACAACCCCUGGUACAAGUGCUGAAAGUGAUACUUUUGAAUUCAAAGCUAGUAGAGGCUGGUUAUAGAAAUUUAAGAACAGAAGUGACACAGUGUAAUUAGGCAUGAAGAGGUGGCAAGUUCAAACAAGAAAGCGACUGAGAAAGUUUUGAUUGAGUUUAGUGACUUGAUAAAGAAAGGAGGUUAUCUUCCCCUACAGAUGUUUAUGGGGGAUGAAACAGGAUUAUUUUGGAAAUAAAUGCCAAAUAGGACCUAUAUUACUAAGGAGGGAAAAGCAUUGCCAGGGCAGAAGCCAAUAAAAGAUAGACUCACUCUUUUGCUAUGCGGCAACACAAGUGGUACUUUCAAGGUCAAGCUAUUGCUUGUUUACCAUUCCAAUAAUCCAAGGGUUUUCAAAAGAAAAAAAAUGUUAUGAAGAGUAAAUUGCCUGUUAUGUGGCAGGCUAAUAUGAAGGCUUGGAUAACCAAAAAAUUUUUUUAAUUGAGUGGAUUCAUGAAGUUUUUGCCCCGAGUAUUAAAAAAAAUAUCUGCAAGAAAAAAACUUGCCAUAAAAUGCCUUCUCAUGUUAGACAAUGCUCCCACUCACCUUCCAGGUUUGGAGGAUGACUUAGUUGAAAAGUUUGAUUUUAUUCAGGUCAAAUACCUUCCACCUAACACAACUCCUCUAAUACAACCAAUGGACCAACAGGUUGUUGCAAACUAAGAAACUUUACAUAAAAGCCCUGUUUUGUAAGUGUUUUCAAGUCACUAAUGACACUCAGUUAAUUCUCAGAGAAUUUUGAAAAAAUCAUUUCCGUAUCCUGAAUUGUGUUUAUCUUAUUGAUAAUGCAUAGAACCAAGUGAGUUAUAGAACCAUGAAUUCAGUUUGGAGGAAACUUUGGCCAGACUGUGUACUAUAAUGAGACUUUGAGGGGUUUGAGACAGCUACAAGUACUGCUGCUGUCAAAGAAAUUGCUAUUGUUGAAGAUAUUGUCUCUAUGGGAACAACAAUGUACUUGGAUGUCAACAGUGAAGAUAUUGAAGAGCUGGUGGAAGACCACGGUUCCGAGCUUACCACCAAAGAACUUGCACACCUUCAAAAUGAACAGCAAAAGACUUUGGCUCAGGAAAUGUCUUCUGGGGAGGAGGAAGGAAAGGAGGAUGUUGCAACUUCUUUAAUCAAAGAAAUUUGUGCUAAAUGGGUUGAUGUGCAAAGUUUUGUGGGAAAAUAUCGCCCUGAUACAGUGAUAGCAAAUAGAGCAGUAAACCUUUUCAAUGACAAUGUCUUGUCUCAUUUUAGAAAAAUUUUACAAUGCAGGCAAAACAACUAACAUUGGACAGGUUUUUACUGAAAGAAAAAAGAAAAGAAACCCCAGAGAAAGAUUUACCUGAACCAAAUAGACAGAGAAGGGAAUCCCCUUCCCUGAAAACAGUUACCAGACGUUUUUAUGGAAGGGGAUACCCCUUCUAAGAAAUAACACACUUUUGUGUGUUAUUUACAGUUUGAAUAAACGUUUUUCUACUAAAAUAUUUAGUGUAAGCAUGUGAAUAAGCAUUCAUCUGGUGCUUGGAAAUGAGUUAAUCUCUUUUACAUAAAUUUUAAUGGGAAAAAAUGAUUUGGUUCUUGAACAAUUCAGUUUUAGAACAGACUUUCAGAACAAAUUAUGGUUGAGGACCUAGGUUCUUCUGUAUUUUAGGUUUUAUUCAAACUCUUCUCUCCACCACUUCUUUAGACAGUGGUCAAAUCAGUCUGUGAUGUGUGGUGGUGACCACAUAUGUCAAAUUUUGGUCAAAUGGUCUGUGAAGGUUAUAAAUGUAACCCCAUCCUUUCUUCUGACUAAACUAACCAGUUAACAAAGCUGGCCUUCUUCAGUGUACGGUGGACAUUCUUCAGUAUGAAGUUGAAACCUGGUCUCUGAAAAGGAGCUUCAAGAUUACCUUCAAGAUUUUUAAGAAGGGCACCAAACAUCUCAUUGCACUGACACAAGACUGAAAAGGAGAUUUAUAGACAUAUUCCACCCACCACUACUAUUGUUGCUCACUGUAGAGUAGGCAUUACUGGUUACUCCUAAUUAUGCUGCACAUUAAGCCAUAUCAGGUGUUGUAUUUUGGACAUUUCCAAAUGCAGGAUGAAGGCUACUCAAGUACAUUGCUAUUGGCAGAGGGAGACAUACAACAUGAAAUUGAAGAUAUACAAAAUCAGUAGUGGUCAGAGAUUCCUGUGAGGUGAGGACUACAUUGCAAUUGUUGCUAAUUGAUGGAAAAUAGUAGAUACUUUACUGUUGUCUUCUUGAUUGUAGUUUUCUUUUCAUUCAUUCAUCUCUUUCGUUUUAUUUUUUCUGGCUAAAUUACUUCAUAGCCUUUUGUUUUGUUCUUCACAAUUGUGAUGUUUAAAAUUUGUUCCUACUUUGUUAAAGUUUUAGUUUCUUAGCAGCUACUCUAGUGGAUUAUUUAACUCUAUUUAUAUAACUCUAUUUUGGAUAUUUUAUUAAUUGCUACAAGUUUUUUAUACUUUUUUUAGUUUUAUGACUUUUCUAGCUGUAAAUUUAAGUUAAUAAAACUAGUUUAGGAGCAAGACUAGAUUAAAACCCAUAGAGGCCCUAAGCACUUAAAAGAUUUCGAUGCUUCAUAUAUAUGUGGUUCAAAAUAUAAACAAUAAUAAACCAUAAAAUAUAUUUUUACUUUUCAAAAGCAAUAGUAAGACAGAAAAUAAUGUUUAUUUUUGUAUAUUUUAACUAUAUUUAUAUUUGAAAAGUUUCCUCCAACUUUUUUUAAUUGCAAAGUCUUUGAUCAGAUCCUCAAAAUUAAUCUUAUGUACCACACCUGCUUCUAUACUUAGAGAUAGGGCAUCCUGAAUAUUAUUGUAGCAAGUUUAAAGUGAUUCCUUUUGUACUGGUGACCCCUCCCUCCCAUCCUCCCUGGUUUAGGAGUGAUGACAGCUGUAGUGUUUCUGUACAAAAUAUUCUUUGAUGAAUUCCACGAUUUCCAUCAGCUCAUUCUCAAACUAGCAGCCAUUCUCAUUAUAGAAUUAAAUCUUGGAUAUUCUGAUAUCGGUAUAUACUCUUAGGCAAGGUAGAGGGCUCUCCUUCCCUUAGUGAAAAUACUACCAGAGGUUAGUCAUUAAGUUAGAAAUGAAGAUGGGAACUGAUUCAGGCUAAUUAACUGAGUAUAGCAAUUCCAUUUGACUAUCAUUAAUGCCCUUGAGAAGGACAUGAAUAUCACUCAAUCUCACUACACCUAUCACUGACGCUUAAUCAGGUCAUCUCUCUCUCUUCCCUCUGCAAAUUCAGUCUAUUUCGGCACUUCUCAAUGUGGAAAAUUUUAUAUGGGCACCAGGAAAAAAGGGGAUGCCAGGGAGUCUUAGAUGAUUCUUUACAGUUUUUUAGUCUUUGGCCUUGAUUGAAAUAUUAAUUUUCAUUGCUUGUUAGUCAUCAUCACCAGCAACAAUUACAAUAUUAGUAAUAAUGAUGGACUUUGAAAUAUAAAAUAAAUAAAUUAACAUAAUCUGUGUUUGUAAAUAAUAAACAAUAUGCGUAAGUAUAAUUGUAAAAAUUAGUUGGUAUUUCCACACAUACAAUAAAGGUAGCCACUGCACUUCUAGUGUUAGGUCAUGUCUCAACUUGAAAUAUGCAAAUAUAUUGAUAUGUAAAUGUUUGUUGUUGAUUCUAGCUAUGAGUAUAAACAGAAUUUUAAACUUUCAUAUGGGCAGAGAAAUUAAUGUUUGUGGAUAAUAUAGAAAAUGGAAUAUAAGAAUGUUUCAACUGGUUUCCACACAGGGUAUAAUAUGAAGCACAAAGAAUAUAUACCUGAGUUUGUUUGAAGUCACAAGCUAAAAUUUGGGGCUGGUAGUCACCUGUAUCAAACUAGUACCAGAAUCAAAUUACCCUGGCCUAAUAAUAUGUGUAUAUGUAAUGACUAAAAAGAGUUUGAGAAGCAUUAACCUAUCUGAAAAAUAGUAGGUGUACAAUAUCUGUUAUGACAUUUUCUGUUAAUAUUUGUAGAAUUAAUUAUAUUAAAGCAGAGCAAGAAAUAAUAAGGCCAAAAAAGUGCAGAAGAACAAAAAAAAAAAAAAUGAUAUUACUCAUUUGAAAUUUUGGAUAAAACUAAAAAUAUUAGUACCAUUAAUUCAGAAAACAUCAUAGCUCUCAAAUCCAACAAGCUUAUUAUAUUUCUUUUUAUAUUAACUCUUUUCUGCCAUGAAGAGUCCUUAAUUAUUUUCAUGAAUUCUCUAUUUGCUACAUAAAAUCAGUUUUAUUGGAAAGGUUGUUUCUUUGUUGUCGUAUCUCUGGUGAAUUUUAAUCGAAUGUUUCUAAACUUAGUUUAUAAAGCACUAUUCUAAAUUUCAUUUUAUGUUCAUCUGUCAGAAUUUGUCUCUGGGAAUUACUAAAAUUUCUUCUUAAAAAAAUCUUGUAGCAUGUAUCUUCAUGUAAACAUCAUGUCAAAAAUAUUGCUAAGCUAUAUUUAUUUAAAAUUUAGCUGUUUGAUGGCAUUAUCUAUUGAAGCAAAUCUUUAAGUUUGAUAUCUUUUGGCUUAUACUUAAGAAUAUAUUCUGGGAUUCUUGCACAGGUUCCUGCUUCCUGUGUUUUUCUUCUGUAUUAAUCACAAUUUAAAUGUAUGUUCCUUGUAUAAUUUUCUAGAUGAAUUCUGAAGUUAGAUGCAUAUAUUUAUUUAUAGAGUGUGUGUAUGUGUGUGUUUGUGCAUGCAUACACAUACAUCUCUAUCUCUCUCUUCCUCCAACCUGCUCUUGAUGUUCACUUUUGGUUAUGUAGGUGUUGAUUAAAAACUGUUUUACUACAAAGAUAAAGUCCUCCCCAAGAGAUACUUAAGCAACUUCUGUAUGCUUUAUUAAAAGAAAACUAUCAUAAAAGAUAUAAACAUGCACAAACAAGUAUACAUGUAUGAAGGUGUGUAUAAAGGGAGGUGUAUGUGAUACCUAUUUCCCUUUUUUUUUGUCUAUAUUUUGGGAUUUUAUGUUUUUAAAGAAUUAUAUUUUGUGUUUACUUGAUAAAAUUUAUUAUGAAUUAAUAUUUUUAUUUUCUCAUUUUCUUUCAUAAAUCCUGUUCUUGGUUAAAUUUCUUUUUAACUGUUCUUUAUUCUCCUUUUUGUUGGCUGUAAAUUAAAGAAUAUUUUGUCUAUUGUAGCGAUUGUACAUGGCAUUUUUAAAACUAUUUCUCUGUUGCUACAUUUUAAUUGAGUAAAAACCUCUCUCUCUCUCUCUCUCACACACACACGCACACACGUAGUGUUUUAUUGAACUGAAGAUGUUCUCACAUUGGAAACAAGGAGUACAGAAUAAUAUUUACAGAUUAUUUACCCGCAGUUGUUAGUAAGGCAGAAAGCAGUAAUUGUACAUAGUUGACAAUGACAUUGUGUUGGUAUGUUUGUCACUUGUUGCUUGUUGUGUUCUACUGGUAGAGAGAGAAAGAGUAAGGAUUGCACUCUGCUGACAGAGAGGAAGAAAGGAUAGAUGGCAUUGUUUUUUUUUUAUUCUACAAACACAAAAGAUUCCACCUUUGUUUGACAAGCAACAAGCAAGUGGAUUCAAUUUCAAAUCUCAGGCAGGGCCAAGCAAGGUCCCUACAUAUUUACUGAAAGUAAGUUAUGAAAAUAUAUAAAACAAUCAUGAAGUUUUGUGACACUUAUUGUAUUGUUGUUGAUGGUGAUAGUUUGUGUAGAAUUAAUCCAUUUCUUUAUCUAUUCAAUGCAUGACCCAUAGGUAUAAUGGAUUAUAUGGGUUUGUUGUAGAGGAAUUAGGAUUAACAUAAACUAAUCUGAUAUUAACUUCAUAUCACUGAGCUUGUCAGAAACCCCUGUUAUCAGAGAGUUCACAUUUAGAGUGAAGCCUCAAUCACAAACUUGGCAUUAUGUAAAUGAUAAUGAUUAAUUUCUGCUGGUAAAUAUUUUUUUAAGGUUUUAUUCCAAACAAAGAAAUUAAAAAAAGAAAAAAAAUAGUUGAGUGAACCCUUCCAAAUUCUUGGAAAAUUAAUUGGAGCAUGUAAAAAUAUGAUCAUGAAAGAGUUGAAUUAGGAAACCAAAGUGUGGAAUUGACAAGUAUGUGAAACAAAAAUCUUGAGAUUUACCAACUGAGAAUGAACCUGUAAAACUGCUUCUCAUGUUCUGAAACGCAAUGCUUUAAGCAGAAAACCCUAGUGACAUGCCCAGUACGUGAUUAUAAUGGCGUUUACUUAUUGCGGAAUCUGAGAUGGUUAAAAGUAAGCUAUACCAGCAGGAAAGGGAGAAACAUAUGUGAAAGAUAGUUUAUCAAAAGUAAAAGCAUCAUCUAGAAAUAGAAUUAUAUUUUUAUCAUCUGCAAAUAUAUAGUUCAGGAGUAGCUGCCUAUUGAAGGUUUGGUGACAGUUAACUAGAAGUGUUAGGAGGUUGAUGACAGCUGGCUUGAAGUGAGGUAGGAGUGUCUACUUCUGGGUGAUGACAGAUGCUAGGUUAUAGUGACAUUUGGCUGGAAGUCUAAUGGUGUGAGGGUGUAAUCAGGCCUAAAGUUUUAAGAUGGGAUAAUAGAGGUCAGCUUGUUACUUUGGCAGUUGAAAAAGUCUUUCAGGAUAUUAUGACAGUAUAGUUAUGAUUGCUCAAUAAGGUCAAGGAAGUUGUACCAUCUAAGUUUGGAGAAUAUCAUCAAUAAAGAGUCAAUACUUAUAUUUAUAUUGUUCAAUGUUGUGAUCAACACUAUUUAAAAUCUCAAUCAGUUAAGAUCCAUAGUUUCCACAUUAUACUUCAAACUGAACAUCAGGUAUUUGAAAUAACCAGGAGAGUGGAUUUGCUGUAAAGAUUUUACAUUGGUAUGAUUAAUGACAUGCACUAUAUACUUGUUCUUUAUUUCAGCUUUAUUAUUAUUCUUAUUUUAGUGUCCUUUGUCUGAAAUCUUUCAUCACACAUCCUGUGACUGCCUGCAGGAUGGAGAGUUGCUGAAGAGGUCACAAGAUGUGUGAUGAAUGAUUUUAGACAAGGACACUAAAGUAAGAAUAAUAAUAAAGCUGGAGUGAAGACGAAGUAUAUAGUGCAUGUACUUAAUUGGCAAAAAUAUUGCAGUAUUUGUUUCAACACACAAUUUCACAUCAGGAAUGUUGCGAAACAAAUACAUAAACAUAAAAUGAUUUUAUGAUAUCAACUAAGAACUGUAAUCAGAUGUUAUAUUAUACAUUUUUAUUACAUUUAUGAAGGACUAUUUUCUAUCUGUUCUGGAAAUAUUAUACACUUUUAGCAUUAUAUUUCCAGAAGGGUUAAAAGAUAGUCCUUCAAGAAAUGUAAUAAAAGUGUAUAUUAUUUCUGUCAAAGUAAAAACCAAAUUAUCUAUAUACUACUAAAACUCCCUGAUUGCUUGCUUGCUUGCUUGCUCUUUUGCUUGUCUGUCAUUUAAUACAGCCAAACUGACACAUAAUGGGAAAAUACUGUGAAUUAAGGUACUCCUGAAAUGUGAAUGCAAAUAUAAUAAAACAAGUCUCCUGAGAUAUGGAGUGGUUUUGGAGUAUUCAUAAAUAUCCAAAACAGUGCAUAAUAACAUAACCCUGAAAGGGAAGAAACUGUAACCUUUCGAUUAGAGACAUGAUCAAUGUCUUGUGUAUUUUGAAGUGAAACUUCAUAUCCUGGGCAAAAGUCUUAGUGACUUUAACUUGCCAAUGAAAAAAUAUGAGUUGUUUUUACAGAAAAUGUUUCUGUUUUCACUUUUGUUAAACACAAUAUUUUAAUCAUGUAGAAAUAUUUUUAAGUGAAUGUGAUUUCAAAAAUACAAGUUGUUUGUACAGUAAACAUUUAUAUUUUAGUUUUCUUUAAAUAGACAAUAUUUUAAUUUUAAAAAAAAUUCUUUUCAAGGGUAAAUAUUUUGUAAAGGAUCUGUUUGUAAUUUGGUGUGAAUUUUCUUCCACAGGUUUUCUUGAGUGCAUUCAGUGUACCUGACCUCCAAACCUGCCACAAGCCACUUUUUUUUCCAGAAAAGAAAAGGGUGGAGGGAUGGGGACCUCGGAGUUUUCCAGGAAACUUUGAGUUUCUCAUCAACAGUUUUGUUUCACAAGUUUUUUUUUCUUUUCCAGGUUAUUUCAUAUGCUUUCAAUGAAUGUAACAUCGAAAUCAGACAUAAACUUCUUUCCCCAGAAAAGGAAAGAUUUGGCUGCUAUUUCUAGCAUGCUCUGAUACCAUGUAACUGUUAUUUGCAUUAAAGGACCCGGUAUAGCUGUUAUGUGCUAGCAAGGCAUACUAGAAAUAGCAGCCGAAUCGUUCCUUUUCUGGGGAAAGGAGCAGUUUAUACAUGAUUUUGAUGCUACAUUCGUUGAAAGCAUGUGAAAUAACCUGGAAAAGAAAAAAAACCCCACAAAACAAAACUCUGUUGGUAGGAAACUCCGAGAUCCCCACCAUACUUCUACCUCUUUCUCUUUUGGAAAAAGUGUGGCUUGUGGCAGGUUUGGAGGUCAGAUACAUUGAAUGCACUCAAAAAAACCUAUGGAAAAAAAUUAUUUCACACUGAGGUACGAACAGGUCCUUUAUGAAAUAUUUACCCAAGAUGGGGACAGGCAUGUGAAUAGAAGGAGCAAUGAAACUGAUAAAGCAAGGGCUGAGCAUCUGGUGGAACAGAGGGAGACAGAAGCAGGAGAGAUCAGAAAUCAGACACUCGGAGAGCUGAGCAUUGAGCAAAACAGAGGCGAAGAGACAAAAGCAGGAGACAUCAUGAAUCGGAUGCUCAUGUGAAUACAAAUGGAAUAAAACAAGUUUCAUGUAAAUUAGAUCACAGGUUACCGAGAUACAUAGUUUUUUCAGGUACCUUUAUAAAUAGCCAAACCAGUGUUUGGCUUUUUAUAAUGGGGAAAAUGUUUUGAAAAUAAGGUACCAUUGAAAUGUGAAUACAAACAAAAUAAUACAAGUUUUACGUAAAUCAAACCACAGCAUCCUGAAACACGCAGUUUUUUUUUUGGAUACCUUGAACUAUUGGUGACCCAGUGGGUCAUGGGUAAUCUAGUAGUUUACUAAAACUGUUGGAAAACUGAGAUAAAAAUAAGCAAUAUCAUCAGUUUUGAAGCAGCAGAUAUCAGUUCCAAUUAAAAAGUUAUCAUCUCAUCAGCAUUUAAUUUUUCUUUCUAGUUUCUAAUUACUUUUUUUUAAAAUUUGUUUUGAAUCUAUUUAACUUGUUGGUAGAAAUUCAGAUUUCUCUCACUAUUUUGUGAUUAUUAAUUAACUACAGGCUAUCAAUUAUGAGACACUGCAACUAUUUUAACAUGUGCAGUCAACCAUGCUGUAGAUUUUCAUUACUGAAAGAAUUUCACCAUCUUCUGACAAACCUCUUUGUUUUUCCUUAAUUUUUUUUAGUAAUUUUCUUUUUUAUUUUCUUGAAAAGGAUAAGCUUGAAAGGUAUUGUGAAAAUUGUAGCUAAACACACAUGCGUGCGCGCGCACACACACACACACACACACACAUCCAUUAUACUAAUCCCUUCCUUUUCCUCAGUCCCUUCCAUAUUCUUGCUCCCUCAACACUGUUACUUUCCCUACCACCUUUCUCUUUCACAACUAUAAAUCUCUUUCUGUUAUACUCCACACUCUCUAAUCACCAUUAUUAUUAUUAUUAUUAUUAUUAUUAUUAUUAUUAUUAUUAUUGAGUGAGAGAGCAGUGCAUGCCAUCAAAGUGAUACUGGGGUAAAAUAUACUAUAACCUUGGGCUGACCAAAACCUUGUGAAUGGAUUUGGUAGAUGGGAACUGAAAGAAGCCUGUUGUGUGUGUGUAUGCUUGUGUGUCUAUGUCUGCAUAACUUAGCGUUUCGGCAAAAGAGACCAAUAGAAUAAGUACUAGGCUAAUAAAGAAUAGGUCCUGGGAUAAAUCUGUUGAACUAAAGGCAGUGCUCUAGCAUGGCUGCAGUCAAAUGACUGAAACACGUAUAAGAAUAAAAGAAAAGAAUUAUUAUUAUUAUUGUUGUUGUUGUUGCUAUUAUUAUUAUUAUCAUUAUUAUCAUUAUUCUGCACUAUCAGUGCAGUUCUGUGUACCUUGAGUAUGUGCAUUGGUUUGUUUUGGUGUUAUUUUUAGUGUAUCGAAGGUGCUCUAUGUAAGUGAUGUGUGGUGCCAAGCAGUGUUAUUUUCUAUUCAAUAUAUUCCUAUGUCCAGGUGCUUUCAUUGUAUAUUUGUCUGCAUGUGUUGUUGACCUAUUAUUACAGGAAUUGUUUGUUUUCAGGUUCCACGUUUAAGUUAUUUCUGUUUCCAGAUCUUAGUUUACUUAUAGUUUCAUAAUUUCUUUGAGAGGUACUUUGGAUUGUUAUGUUGAUUAGAAGGUCUUUUUUCUUGGUCAUUCCUCACAACAAUAUCUGACUUUGGUCCUUCUAUCUGUGUGUAUUGGCAUAUCCCAGAGUAUGAUUUGAUUUGUUAUUUUCUGAAAUCUUUUUCGUUAUAUCAUCACUUUUCAGUUGACAUUCCAUAGUGCUGACACAACUGCCAGUGUAUAUAAGUCCUAAUUCUGUCAUGUCUAUGGAUAUAUUCUUUCUUGGUUACGACUGGGCAGCCAGAGACAAUAUCAUUUAUUGUUUCCUCUCCAUUCCCACAUAUUCUGCAGUUACUUUUACAUUCUGCUUCAUUAUAUGUUUUUGGUGGGGAGGCUCUGAUCUUGUGCUUUCUUGACAAUUCUUCACAGUGAUAUCUGGUCAAUAACCCUCAAUUUUCCAGUCUGUAUGGAUUGGCAUAUCCCAGACUGUGGGUUACUUUGUUAUUCUCUGAUACCUUUUCUAUGUUUACAUGAACUUGUGUCUUGAUAUUCCAUAAUGAUGAUGUAACUGUCAGUGUAUGAAAGUUUCAACCUAGUCAUACAUGAAGAUCCGUUCUCUCUUGGUUAAGACUGGACACCCAGAGAGAGACAAAGUAGUACAUGGUUUCUUCCCAAUCUCCACAUAUUUUGUAAUGAAUAUAUUUUGCUUCAUGAAAUACUUUUUAUAGUUUCUGAUGUGAAGGCUUUCAUCUUUUGUUGCAGUAAAAAUCCUUUCUCUGAGUCCUGCCUUUGUUCAGCCAUUCCUACAAUUUUUCUUAAUUUAUUUCAAGUCUUUUGAUAUCAUUUGUUGUAAGCCUUGAAAGGAGGAAGUGAAUAACCAUUUCAAAAUGAUGGUCUUGCAGAUGAAAUCCUGCAGAUUGAGAUGCAUAGAAGUAAGCACUUCAUUGUGUAUAGACUCAUCCAAACAAUGGAUGUUGAGAAAAAGCAGAUGUUUAACUGAUUAUUAGAAUGAUUAUAAAAGUAUGUGUUAUUUUUAAAUCUAUGUAUAUUGUGUUAGCUAUUGCAACUGUAUUGUGUCUCGAGGCAAGAUGUGUCUGUUUUUUGCUUCAGCUUAGCUUGCUAAAAAUAGUUGCCACUCCCACUUUACGCUUGCAUGAUUAACAGCAAGAGCAUCAAGAGGUGGUGGUGGGGAAACACAUCAAAACAAACCUCUCAAUUCUCCUCAUGCAACAAAAUGUUUAAACCUCUCAGAUUUGGAGAGAGGAAAAUACAAAGUGUGGAGAAAAUGCUCAUCAUCAUUUUUAUCAUUGUCAUUGUCAUUUCAAUAGCUGCAUCUUUUGAAUUAUGGUACAGCUUCAUUGGGACUGCCAUUGAGCAUAUCAACAGUUUGCAUGCGCACAUACAUUCAAAUGCACCCAAUGUCUGUAAUUAUGAGUCUUUCUGUACAGGUUUUUUUGUGUACUGAAGUGGUGCUCCAUCAUGGCCUUAUUCAUGAUGAGUAAAACAAAGUAAAUAACAUUGUCUGUAAUUUGUCUUCUUUAUAGUUACUGACACUGCUGAUUCUUCUUUAAGAUGUCUUAACAACACCUUGCCAUCACUGAAGAAAUAUAAAAUGGACUCUUGGUGUAAAAUAUGGAGUCUUUGAGAUUCUGUAAAAGUUCCUUUGUUUCUAACUUAUCUUCAGAUCUCACUUCACACACACUAUGUAUUUGGCUUUGAUUCCAAGUGGGCUUCAGCUUAAUUCUUACUUCCUUUUUUGUAAUCAUAUUCUUCUUUGGGUGUAUAAUUAACAAGCUGUCAACUGCAAACCUGUUGUCCUGUCAGAUUCUAUCAAAAUCUUUCAUUUGAAAGAUUUUCAAGGAUUCUCCUGCUGCUGCAAUGAUGAUUUACAGGAAUUUAUGGCUGAAACUUAAACUACUUCUGAAGUCAUAAUACAGUAAAAUGAGAAGACUAUUGUGAUACAGUAAUGAUUUCUUUUGCUUGAUACACACCUGGUUUUGCCAGAUCAAGGACAAUUGCUGAUGAAACUGAUCCCUGUAGGAUUUAGACUAUCAUAAUACUGAAGCAUUGAAUUUUGCUCUCCAUAUCUCCUGAAACGUGAUAUAGUAACAUUCAAUACAGCAUUUUGAUUUAGCUAAAUGUUGUUCAUGCAUGCUGUCUACCUUUCAAUGUUAGUUGUAAGUUUGUUCCACAGGUGUACAAUUAUUCAGCUAAGGGAAUGGGCUCACAGUCUCAGUAACAUUCUGUCAAUGUUAAACAUUACCUAUAAGGGAAGCAUUCUGGCUCUUGGCUUGUGUUUUUAAUUCAUAACCCAGUUUAACACCACCACCUGGUCCUUGAAUACCUUUUAGCAGAGUCCACUCUUUUGUUACUCAGUUUAACACCACUAUCUGGUCCUUGGGUAACUUUAGCAAGCACAGACAUGUAAAGGCAUGUGGCCUAGUUGUUAAGGUGUUGGGCUGACAAUCAGGUAGUUAUGGAUUCUGCUCAUGACCCAGGCAGUGUGUCGUGUUCUUGAGUACGGCACUUCAUUUGCUGUUGCCUCAGUCUACUCGGCCUGGUUCUGGUGCUGCUUUGUUCAGCAACACCAGAACAAACUGUCACAUCAUGGAUAUUACACUUGGUCAAAGGUGAGACAGUGAAGAGAGUGCCCGUGUCUUACCACCAUCACCACCAUAUAGCCACCAAAAAACAAGCAAAACUGGGUUACAAGCUAUCAGUCUUACUUGUUGGCAAGUAAUGGCUACACUUGCUUAUAUAUUUGUGUGUGUGUGUGUACCUAACACAUUGAGUUGUAAUUAGUUAUCUGUAAUAAUGUCAAGUGUGUAACAAUUUAUAAGUUACAUAAGUGGAUGUGAUAACAGUUGUAAAUGUAUGGAAGCUGUGUAUUAAAUGUUUGUGUGCGCAUGUGUGCUAAAAGAAGCAUUCUGUGGCUAUAAAAUUAGGUAUAUAAUUUUAAAGACUCUCUCCUUUGUAAGUAUAUUUCAUAAUAUACAUACAGCUUGCUGACAAAUAAGCUUAAUUUCUUAAGAAUUAUCACAAGUUCUGCAAUUUCAUAUUGUCGAUUAGGUUUUUGUUUUGUUUUGUUUUUGAUGUUAUUAGGGCAGAACAACACGAUAGCAUAAAACCUGGCACCACAAGAGUUUGGCAAAGUUUCAAAUACCAUUUCACUUAUUCUUUUUUCCUUCUAGUUUUUAUCAGACUAGUAUUUUUUCUCCCUUGUUUCUAAAGAUAAAUAUCUUGUAGUAGCUUCUUGUCCAUUACACACACGCACACACACACACAGACACACACAUGCACGCACCCACUCCCUCUCUCUUUUCUACAGUUGCCCACUCUUACACUAUUCUCUUCUAUUGUAUACAUGUAACGUUGUUAUGAAAUCCUUUUUCUUCUUUAUCUGAUUUAUUAAAAACAUUUCUGGUUGUUUUGUUAUUUUUUUUUCUUCCUGUCUUAAGUAUUCACAAACUCCAUCUUGCAAACUUCACCAUUUUAGUUUCUUGCUUAUGAAGAUAUUUUCAUAACCAUUUACUGUUUAUUUUUGCUGUAAGAGCUUGGGCAAGAAUUGGUAAUGAUUUUUUAUCUCCCCCUACUCCUUUUCAUCCUUUUUACUCUGUUUUUAGACAAUUCAACAAUUAUAUAUUUUUUCUUUCGAUGGUAAUUUCUCCAAGAAUCCAUUCUCCCACUGAAGUAAAUUUAAAUUCUCACCAAAAUACAGAAUUAAGAACAAUCCAUCAUUAGUUAUCACCUAAUUAUUAAUUAUUAAUAAUAUUAAUACGUUAACUUUGUUUUUGUACAUACCUGUUGUGUAUGUCACACUUACUUCAAAGAAGUGGCAGAGGGAGAGAGAGGAAGAAGGAGUGAGAGAAAAAGAGAGUGUGAGAGAGAAAGUGAGAAAGAGAGAGUGAAAGAGACAGUGGUGAGUGGUAAUGGCGUUCAUUUUGUGUUUUUAAAUGUUUAUCACAUCGCAAGAGAAGUAGAUAGGAGAGAAGAGGGACACAAACGAAGUGAAAGAGAGAGAAAGUGAGAGAGACAGUGGAUGCAUAAAUCCAAAGAAAAGUUCAUAUAUAAAUACAUAGACACAGCAAAUAUUAGCUGUCAAUUUCACUUUUCAUUACCACACGAGGAUAAAAUAAAAUUAAAUCACAAAUGGCUGAAUACUCCACAAACAUGCAUAAUAUUGAUGUAGUUCUCAGGGAGAUUCAGCCUCACACAGAAUAUGACAAGGCUGGCGCCUUUGAGUUACAGCUACAACUUGAGACAUAUAUAUAUGAAUGUAUUUGUGUGUGUGUAUAGUUUAGGUUAGUUAAAGUAUGUUUGCAAUAAUAAGUGUUGCAUGGUGGAAAUAAACGCAAUUACCAAACUUUCAUUCAUAAAUCCAUUAUUUCGUUUUCUUGCAUUUCAAUUUGUACAUUUGUACCCAGAAAUUUUCAACAACUGCUUGCCAGAUGAAAUGGAGAAACGAGUAAUUUUAUCUCCUAAAAAUUCUGACUGUCUUGCAAUAAAUGAAAAAGUUCUUAAUAUUUUACCAGAGGCACUUAAAACAUACUUAAGCACAGAUUCAGUGUCCUCCAAUAAUGAAGAGGAGGUUCAGAACUAUCCAUUUGAAUUCAUAAACUCACUCACUCGAUCCAGUAUGCCUCCUCAUCGCCUAAACUUCAAAGUGGGGACUAUUGUAAUGCUGCUAAGAAAUUUUUCGAUCAGUCAAGGAUUAUGUAAUGGAACUCGCAUGAAAGUGCAAAGACUUCAUGAACAUUGUGUAGAGGCAUCAUUGGUAUCAGGCUCCAACAGAAGUCGUACAGUUCUAAUUCCUAGAAUUAAACUUAGCCCAAAUGAUGCAGAUAUACCAUUCACACUAAACAGGCUUCAGUUUCCACUUCGACUUGCAUAUUCAGUGACAAUUAAUAAGGCUCAAGGGCAAACAUUUGAAAAUAGUUGGAUUACAUUUUCCUCAACCGGUAUUUUCUCAUGGCCAAUUAUGUGUUGCAUUUUCAAGAGCACGAGCUAUGAACAAUAUCAAAGUAAGAGUUAUGACACUCAAUUGGGAUAACAGACAAAGCCAAAAAUGUGUUGUGACAUACACACAAAAUAUUGUCUACCAUGAAGUGCUGUGAAGAAGACCACCACACCAGCUAGCGUCACCACCACACUAGCCGCUCCAUCAUUACGCAUCCAAAUUACACCCUUAAGGUCGGGGAACCAGUUAGGGGCUCGCUGGAUCUCUCUUGGCAUACCAGCAAACCACAAAAUCACACUAGCCAGCAUCACCACUACCUCCAAGCCCGUCAUAUAUAUGUAUGUACAUAUGUAUGUAUGUGUGUGUUUGUGUCUGUGUUUGCUCCACUACCACCACCAUUGCUUAACAGCCGAUGUUGGUGCAUUUAGCUGUUCAGCAGAAAAGAAUGAUAGAAUAAGUACCAGGCUUACGGGGAAUAAGUCCAGGGCUCAAUUUCUUCUACUAAAGGGUGCUGUUCCAGCAUGGCCACUGUCAAAUAAUUGAAACAAGUAAAAGAAUACCAGAAAAGCAUUCCGUACCACUAAACCAAGAAGGUUCUUUGAAUAUGUAUGAUGUAUUUUAAGGUUAAAUAGUAAUUCUGUUUACGGUUGUGUAACUGAGAUAUUUUGGUUGGAUUAUAUAGUCAUUGGUAUUACAUUACUUUCUAUAUUCUGUAACUGUCACAAUAUAAUUUUUUAGGCCUGAAAUUUUUGUGGAUAGGGUGGCCAGUUGAUUAGAUCGACCCCAGUGCACGACUGGUACUUAAUUUACUGAUCCCAAAAGGACGAAUGGCAAAGUCGACCAUGGCAGAAUUUGAACUCAGAAUGUAAAGACAGACAGUCAUGAUAUACAAACAUUUCCCAUGGCACCAGUACGCUGUUUACAGAUGGUGAAGUCUUGGUCUUGAGUGCUGAAGUGAAAGUCAUACAAUUCGUGUGCAAUAUGAACCAAGAGGACAAUGUGUAUGAGUUGCUGCUUGACAUGAUAUAAAAUGGGGGAGAUGAUUGGAAAACUGGAUGGAAUUUAAAUUGUUAGUCAUGUUAUUUCUGAUGGGUUAAUCAAGUGAGUAGGAAAUUUGAGUUUUUGAUUACCCAGCAUUUGAAUUUAAACAUACACUGGUACUACACUUGAUAUGUUUAGUAAUAGUCAUUGUUGUAUUGACUAGCUGGCAGCCUGGGGGGUGGGGGAUCAUCUCAACCAAUAUGCCAUUAUGGGUGCUGCUGGAUGAUGGAUUCUGGUGAUGAUGUUAUUCUACACUUCCUUAUCCAUGAUGCUGGCCUUAGUAUGCUCAUGGUCUAAGUGGUGCAACUUCAGGUCUUCCUCAAUUUGUUUUGCCCAUGAGACAAUGUUGGAAUUAGAUUUGAGUUCUUAAUAACUUUCAGGAAGUAGUUUCAUCUUUUUUACUCAGAUGUUUAGCUUAUUGAUUCCAUAGUAGCCAGUAUUGGUGUAAGUAGGUGUAGAGCUAGUUUACAGUCUGAUGUAUCUAGGAAGAGUAAACAAGGCAAAGAUCAGCCACCGACAGCGAAGGGGUAUAGGUAUAAUAGAUAGUUCAACAACAUCUAGGCUACAGGUGUGUUUUUGACUCAAUUCUCUGACUGUUUCAUACACUGAAGAUCAACUACAAAAUUACUGGUACAUUCCACUGGGUGAGUUAAAAUCCCUCCACCUCCAGUAUUAUGUAGGAAACUAUUGAUUACUUUAAUAAAUCAUCAUAUGCAUGAAACAAAAUGAAAACAAAGACAUACAUAUUCAUUCUUCCAACAGAUUUGAUCAUGCAUACCCUAGUCACUGUUAUGUUUCACAGCUUCAGCAAUAUUAUUCUGCCUAUCAUAAACUAUUUUAAAUGACAUGUUACAACUGGAAGAUAUGGUCUGCAACUUAGGUGACAAAAUUUGUUUUGGCUUUUGAGCUAAUGACCAACAUAGUACUUGAGACUUGAAUAUGUUACAAGUUUGAAAUUACUAUUUGUAUAGUCUUUGAGGUGUGUAUGGUUGUAAAUCAUGAGAUUUACCAUGCCGGGGACGAAGACUAAGUUGAGCUUGAUUCACCGGAGAAGACUAAGUUGAGCUUGGUUCGCCUGAUAGUCAGUAUAGUGCUUUCUUUGUCAUUAUUGUCAUCACUCGCACCCUGGUAUGUUCUUAAUGUGGUUUGAUUAGUUAAUUUACUGUUGAAAUAACACAUCACUAGAAUCUCUGAGAUUUUUACAUGUUCAUUAUUAUUUUUACUUUUAUAAUUGCCUAAUUAUCAUAGUCAGAUGUUUUUGUUUUUUCCUAAUUUACAGGUAGAUAUUUUUUCUUAUGUUUAGUUCUUAUUUAUUACUUAUUGUUUCUGGUUUUAUUUUUAUUGUAAAGAAUACAAAGUCACAGGAGGUUUCUCUCCCUACCCUCUCUCUCAAAUGACAGAUGAGAUCCUUAGUGCCAAAUUGGAUUUUGUUUGAAAUAUGACUGUUUCUUUAUCAACUAAACAAAAUUGUUGGUGAUAUGUGUUUCAUGCCACAUAACUUUCUACUGUGCCUAAUGUGUAAGGUUGAAGGUUCUUUUUUAUGAAAGUUAUUUGACAUUUAUUAAAUGAAUUAUAUUAUGAGAAAUUAAAAUAUAGGCAAGUUAAAUAUUACUGACAGAUCAUUUAUUGUCCCUUUUAUUUUCCAAUUAGGACUGUUUACCUCUUUGUCUGGUUUAUAUCAGAAAUCCUGAGGCUUAACUUAAUAUUAAAAUCCUGAGUUGGUUUUUUUUUUGUUUUUUUAAACCUUUUAUUGCUAUAUUGCUAAUGGAAUAAUACACUAUCACUGUGUUUCAAAUAGUUUUGGAAAUAAUCAAAAGUUUGGAUGGCUUUUGUAAAGUAAAUAUUAAUAUUUUUCAAUAUUAAAGGCGGUGAGCUGACAGAAUUAUUAGCAUACUGGGCAAAAUGCUUAGCAGCAUUUUGUCUGUCUUUACAUUCUGAGUUCAAAUUCUGCUGUGGUCAACUUUGCCUUUCGUCCUUUUGGGGUUGAUAAAGUAAGUACCAUUUGGACACUGGGGUUGAUGUAAACCAGCUGAACCUCUCCCCUGAAAUUGCUGGUCUUGUGCCAAAGUUUGAAACCAGUAUAUAUAGUAUUAAGCUAACAUUUAGAAUGCAAGUCCUCACAUGAAAUUAUGGUGAAAGAUUCUAAGUUAGACAGAAUCCUUUUAAAACUUGAUGGUUUCUUUUUUUUUAAUUAUAGGUGCAGGAGUGGUUGUGUGAAUAGAAGCUUGCUUCUCAACCACAUGCUUCUGGGUUUAGUCCCACUGCGUAACACUUUAGGCAAGUGUCUUCUACUUUAGCCUCAGGCUGACCAAAGCCUCAUGAGUGGAUUUGGUAGAUAGAAACUGAAAGAAGCACGGCAUAUAUAUAUAUAUAUAUAUAUAUAUAUAUAUAUAAUAUAUGUGUGUGUGUGUGUGUGUGUUUGUCUCCCCCCCCACCUUCGCUUGACAACUGAUGUUGGUGUGUUUGCGUCCCUGUAACUUAGUGGCUCAGGAAAAGAGACCAAUAGAAUAAGUACUAGGUUUACAAAGAAUAAGUCCUGGGGUCUAUUUGUUUGACUAAAAGUGGUGCUCCAGCAUGGCUGCAGUCAAAUGAAUGAAACAAAUAAAAGAAAAAAAAGGGAAAAAGAAUAGAACAAGGACUGGUCUCUAGUGGGUUGAUAUUAGAAAGGUUAAAGGCUUCAUGUUGUUUAUUCUGAAUUCUGAAAAUGUAUGAGUAUCAGGUACAGUUCAAUUCUAUUUUGUAAGCAGUUUUCUUGAGUUUUAUGGUAGUCUCCUUUAGUGAAUGAGAAUUCAUCUUGUUGAACAACUUGCAUGAUGAUAUUAUUAUAGUGAGCGUGGUUUGUGCAGAGCUAUUCUUACUCCCUCAUCCUUCAAACUUGUAUUGGUCUGGUGCAACAAAUGUCAUGAGCCUAGUAGUUAUUGCAAUGCAAUACAAACUUCACUUCUCCCCUCUGUUCUUUCUUAUCCAUCUCCCAUUCUCCCAUUCUGGGCUAUGGGUAGUGACCUUCUUUGUAAACAAAUAUCUAAAGAGAAAAAUAAAUACCUUGUUAUAUCCCUGGUUACUGAUAAUUAAAACUUCCAGUCUCUUAAUAGUUCAAAUAUAUGUUGUUUAGAAUAUUGAAACUAAUUGCUCUCUGUGCGAUUUGGUUGUUUAACAAUCUGCUUGUAAACACCAGCCAGUGAAACAUGCCACAUGUGCGCACGUACAUGCACGCACGCACAAUCUCUCCCUCCCCUGCUCUCUCAAAGGGAGGCUCAACAAACAAAUGUCUGCAACAGUGAUUGUUAAAUCAUCCCAUGGGAAUUAAUGAAAACUUCUUGUUUAAUUCACCAGGGAAUUUUAGAUUCCAUUAUCCUUGUGCUUUUUGUCCUUUUCUUUGUUUCACCCCCCCUUCCUCUACAUUGAGUUUUCCUCUCAUUGGUUUCUAUUAAAAAUCUAUUCUGUUUUAAACAAAGUUUAAACCAUUCCCUGUGUAUUCUCAAGUUAGUGAGAGAGGAACUAUGGUAAUUCUUGCAGUACACCUGAAAAAUAAAUGGGUGAGUUAUGGUUGGAGUGACUUUCAUCAUAGGUUUGUUGUGCUGAGGCUGACCUAGGGCUAAAUAACAGCAACUGGUAUUUUAGGAUAGAAAUUAUUGGAAAGUGUUUGUGAUGUGGACUUGGUUUAGUAUAAAUGAAGAUGGUGGGGGUGUGAGAAACUCAGUUUCAGUAUUUUUAUAUGAUGUUUAGGUAUGUGUGUCAUGAUUAGGAGAUCAAAUCCUAUGAAGGUGAGGGCGAGAGAGGGGUGGUUGUUUGCUUUUCACAAAAUGACCUUUCUUCUAGUGGAACAUGUUCAGUUCUUGUAUUUUAAUCUAUGAUCUGAUAAUUAAUUAGCAGCAUUGCUGAUUUGAUUUCUCUGUCUCCCUCUAUUUACCACUCAGCUCCUGCUUUUCUGUAGUUGUGUGUCUGUUUCUCUCAUUCAUCAAAAGUCUCUUUGUAUCUACCUCUCUCCAAUUUCUCUCUCUCUCUCUCUUCUUUUACCUUAUCUUUUUUUAUUAUUUCUUACCCACUCCCUACUUUCUCUCUGCCCUAUAUCACUUUCUCUUCUACCAUUUUCUAUAAAACACAGCAGACAUCAUUCAAUGUUAGACCUGUUCACUUCACAUAAGUAAUGGUAAGGCAGAAGUGGUUGUGGCUAAAAAUGAUAAAAUAAUUUUCGGUAGAAAUGAUUUUUAUUUUAGUAUUUUCUACUUAAUAUCAUUGUUGUCUUUCUAGUUCUCUGUCUUCACUUUCUUCUCUCCUAUUGAUGUGUGUACAUGUGUGUAUGUAUGUAUAUGUAAGAGAGUGUGUGUGUGUGUGUGUCUCUCUCUCUCUCUCUAUAUAUAUAUAUAUAUGUAGAUAGAUAGAUACUAUGCUCAAAUAGCAAUCAAUCAAUUCUCAACUUUUCUAGUGUUUCUUGAUUCGUUAGCGUAACAUAAUCUAAAUUAUAUAUGUAAUUCACCAUACUUAAACUGGAUGAUAGCUGUUAUGUUGUUGUUUUCCGGAUCUGAUGAUGAUUAUUAUUAUUAUUAUUAUUAUUAUUAUUAUUAUGUUGUUGUUGUUGUAGUAUAUGAUUGCUAGCUAACUUUUGACAUUGAUUGGUUUGGAUUACUUUCCAUAGAAAUGAUGAACAUGUUUAUAAUUUUUUUUUUUCAUAAUUUUAAAUUCUGUUCUAUUUCAUUUUCAUAUUACAUUUUAACCUCUUCACUUAUAUGAAUCAACAAAUUUUUUUCCUGUGGUUCUUAGGAUUCUUACUGUAUUUUGUGUAUGUGUGUGUGAUAUGCUGUUAGAUAUAUUAUGCAGUAGCUGUACAUAAUAUGGAGCAGCCAAGAUGUAGAGAGCCAGUGCUUGUCUACAGUAGUUAUACCUCUAUAAAUAAAUGAUUAACAGUGUAUCUUGAGUACAACUUGAGAAAUGAAUGAUUUCAGUAGUGCAGUAUAUAAGGAAAAGCUCUUUUCAGGAAUACAAAACUUUAUUUGUUAAUCCUUGUUGAUAAAUAAUUAGUAAAGAGAAUUCUCUGUGAACCAAGUCACCACACUGUGUGCCAAGUCUUAGCUGGUGCUGUGUCUGGUUAUACAAAAUAUACACUACCAUCUUUAUCUCAGUUAUAGCUGAUAACAAACUAGUUCAGUUAUCAGCUAAAACUGAAACUGUUAAAUGAAAUGUAAUGUACCAUUUUCUUUUUAAACUGGUGUUUUUUAGAGAUUUUUUUCUUUCCUCUUUCUCUGAAGAAUGAUAUCUAUUUCACCAAUUAUCAUCAAACUGAUAUAUAUUUCUUUCUUAACAAAGGUACCCAUCCCACUACCAUUUUUCAUUUCUGGAGUCUUAGUCAUUCAUUUUUAGGACAUUAAGCCAAUGGGAAUUGUACCUAAACCCAUAUCGGAAACUUGUUCAUUGGAAAUAGUUGUAUAUUCAUGAACCACUGCAAUAUCAGUAACCUGUCAACAACAACAUAUUCUAGUUCACCCACCUGUUAGCUAAUUUCUUUGUUACCUUGAAAUAAAAGACCAUGUUGACUUAUAUAUGCAAUACAACAAGCCUCACUACCUUAAACUUGUUAUUGAAGAAACUCAGAUUUUCCUGCUCUACAAAUCCCAACUGAUAUCAAUUACCAUCAUGUACUUUCGACACUUUUGUAUUUUGCUUCCCUGUCACAGUUGGCAUCAUAAACUAAUGAACUAUUUGUUAGUUUCUAAUUAGAAUCUUCAGCACUUUGACCAAAGUAAAGUCUGGUGCUGGUUACAUGAUAUGAAUUUGUGAAACUUGAACAAAUUUCAUAUUCUGAGAAGUAACUGUUGACAUUUUGUACACUGGACUCUUGUUUUCUUUUUUCUCUUUUCCUUUUACAUUCUAUAGAUUUAAAAAACUUCAUAUGAUGGACUGAAAUCUUUUUUACCCACACGUUUUCAUUUUUAUCUGGUCAGAAAAUAGUGAUUACUAUAUUUAUACAACACAACAGCAAAAGCUGCAUCUAUUGUGCAUUUAUUGUAAUCUUAGUUUGAUAAACAUGAUGCACUCGUUAAAAAUACAUCACAUGGAUGAGGGAUGUCAUUUCUUGCUCAACUGUAUUUUUAUAUUUAAAAAAUUCUUUUCUUUUAAAGCUCCAUUUCAUUUGAAAGUUGAUUUUGCCAUUCAUCUGUUCACUGACAAUAAAAUAUCUCUGAUAUCAAUGAAUAUUUUCUAAUGGCUUUAUUUAGAAAUAAAGUUUUCAGUUUCAUUGUAAAAUUACAGAAAAAUAUGGGAGGUAAUAAAUUUUACGGUUUAAACAUUUAUUUUGUUAUCAUCAUAUAAAGGAAAAACUGUCAAAUAAAAAUGGGUAGUUAAAAGUGAGGAAGCAAAGUGAUUGAUAUAUUUAAUUUGAUUUAAAAAAAAUAGAGUUUGUUAUACAUAGAAAACAACGUAAUGUUAUGUAGUUUGUGUAACAUAAGUUUAAUGUUGAAAUAUUUGGGGGAGAAACACAAGAGAAAGUAGGUAAUAGUGUUAAUUGAUUGUGAAAAAUGCAGCUCUGUGCUAAUAAAAAAGUAUAUCACGGACAGAUUUGUGUUGAAAGUUCGGAGAACUUUAGGAUUGUUGGAACAGUUUAUGAUGGGGGAGCAGUGAUUGCUAAAGAAAAAAGAAUCCAUCUCCUUCCUUUUACAUAAUCUUCUAGAAUGGUCUGUCUAUGUGCCAGAAGUGGAAACUAAGAAAGAGUCUCUUUGUGACUGGAAAGAAACUGACGCUAUACCUGAGGCAAAUUUUUUCAAUUUUGAAAACUCAUCAGCAGGCAAGCAGCAAUUAAAUUCAAUGAGUUUUCCUUCUCUGUGCUCCUCAUUCAACAAGGUUUUAGCUUGCAAGUCAAUAAGCUCCAGUUGUAGUUCAGUUGGCAUGUUACCAAGAUUACUGCCAAAGGGAUUCUCAAACAAAAGAAUUUCAUUCUGUCAUGAUCUGAAAAUCUUUGAGAAAAAUGCUUAUUUAAGUCCCAAAUAAUUUUUUUCUGAAACUCGAGGUUAACAUGUUCCAUGUUUUCUGUGCAAAACUCUUGAAAACACUGAAAAUGAGAGAAGUUUCCUCCUUCAAGUUGUGCUUCAAACAAUGAUAGCUUUCUCUGAAAUGCUGUAAUAAUUCUGUAGAGAUCACAGACAAAGUUAUUCUUUCCUUGCAGUUUUAAAUUCAAUUCAUUCAUAUGAGAAGUGACAUCAACUAAAAAUGACAAUUUUGAUAAUCAUGAAGGAUCUAACAGCUGUGGAUCACCUCUAUUCUCUCUCUCUCUCUCUCUCUCUCUCUCUCUCUCUCUCUCUCUCUCUCUCUCUCUCUGAGCCAUCUCACUUCUGUGUAGUAAGAAGUGUGUUUGAGAGCAAACCUAAAACACUUUAAUACCUGUGUAGUAAUUAGAAUCCAUUUCUUCAAGGAAAGCCUGGAACUGUCGGUGAUUAAGCCCAUUAUUCCGAAUAAAGUUCACCACAGUUGUAAUCGGUUUUAGUAUGCAAGAAACAUCUGUUUUCUACAGAGUGUUUGCUGAUGUAUAAUGCAGUAUAUAAACAGAGCCUUCGGAAGCUGAAACUCCUCCAACCUGGUCUGGAUUCACCCUACCAAACCCUUCCUCACUCCUGCCAUGUUUUUUUGUUCCGUUGACUUUAACUCACCAAAGCCGAUUCCACUGAAGGUUAUAGUUUUGCAAAGUUUUCUGCACCUUUAUGAAAAUAACUUCUCUAGUUGUUGUUCCAUGUAUACUGCAAACGGAUGCCAUUUCUUCUAUAAUCUCAAAAGUUGCAAUUGACACCACGAAUGAACACAAGAAGCUGUGACAUACUAGAGAGAUGAGUGGACUCAUCCAUCGCAAGAGAAUACCACAAAAAUUUCUUAGCUUUCUCAUGUAUCUGUAACUGUAUAUUCUCUCCAAGUUCUUCUAUUCUCCGCACAACUCAACUUGCUGAAAGGAUGAUACAGUCAAACAUGUUAGCUUUUUCAGGACACAAGUCAUUUGCUGCUUCCAUCAUGCACUCUUUUAGAAAGUUUCCGUCAGUAAAUGGUUUUCCUCGCUCUGUCAACUUAUUCACUAUUUUGUAACUUACACGAGUGAUAGAUUCAUUUUCAACAAACUAUUUUGUAAAGAAAUUCCUUUGAAAUUCCAAACUACAUUUCAUAGAUUCAAAUUUCUCGGACUGCAACUUUCCAGAAUAUUUAGAAUGUGUUGAGAGAUGUUUUGCUUCGUAGUGAUGACGAAUAAUGUACUCUUUCAUAACAGCAACACUUUCGUUGCAUAUCAGGCAACUAGCCUUCUGGUCAUUUGUUUCCUCAAAGAAGUACUUUUCUCCCCAUUCUUUAUUGAAAAUGUGACAUUCAUCAUCAAUCUUUCUCUUCUUAGUAGCCAUAAUGAUGGGUGAAGAAAAAAACAAAAGCAGUCUUAGGCCUCAGCAUCAGAUAUUCUGGUUUUAAUAGUAAUCACUAAUGCCUAGCCUGAGGCACACGUGAUAUACUGUAGUAAUUAUUAUGGCACGGGAAAUAUGUAGCACGUGACGUGACUGACUCAGUAUACAUACGACAUGCAUAAGCUAAGAAGCAGUAUAAAAGCAUGUUUAUUUUUUUCAGCAUACGACAGCAGGCCCGACAAAUUGACGUUGCGGGUUGGAUCCGGCCUGCGGGCCAUAGUUUGGUGACCCAUGGUUUAGAACUGAAGGUAGAUAAAUAAAAGCUUUCUGGUUCAAUGUUGUCUACAGUAUAUCAAGUUGUACUUGGACAUAUGUCCCCCCCACAUACACACACACAUCUAUGGUAUAUAUAAGAGUGUAUCAAUAGCUUAAAGCUAGAAAUAAAUAUUACUACUGUUGUUGGUUUUUCAAGUGAAUAAAACCAUCAGACAGGUCAGUUUCAUACCAGAUCUGCUGCUUACAUUGAAGUCUUUUAUUUAGUUUUGUGUAAACAUUUUAGUUGUAUACUCAGAAGUUUUCAACUUGCUGUGCAUGGUGACUAUUUCCGAUCUAUUGAGCAAUAACUAUUUGCCUGUAGAUUUUAACUGCAUGUUCUGUAAAGGUAUUAAAGUGGUUUAGGUUUACUCUCAAACAUACUUCUUACUCUUUUUUCCAAAAUCUAUACUACUAUUACAAAACACUGAGAAAUGGUAAUUGGUGCACUUGGCACAAAACCUAAACUGUUACCUAAAAGACUGAAGGAUAUUAGAAUUGAGACUUGCAUUGUCACUCUGCAGCAAAGUGCAAUCCUGUAUUCAGCAAGAAAUCUAAGAAAGAUUCUUAAGAUUUGAGGAAACUUGUUACCAAACCUCAAAGCAAAAUCCUUGCUAACUAAUAUAGAAUGUAAUAGUUAUAAUAAUAUAAAUAAAAAGUUGCUACCAUUAUAAAUAAAACAAAAAGGAAAUCUUGUUAAGCUCAUGUUAUCCCUUCCCUAAUUUAUGUUUUGUUGGCAUAUUUAUUGGACACAAACUUAUUAUAGUUGUCUUCUACCUCCUAAAUUUCACAGUUAGUGAUGAUGGUUCCCAGACUCACCCAAAAAUAUUUCUGAUUGCAUAGUUUCCUUACACCACUUCUAGCUGUAGUGCCAUCUUGGUGUUUAAUAUCUCAAUCAUUCUGUGGCUAUUUCUAACCAGUUUAGCACUCUUUGUUUUUCUGGCUUCAAAGUUAAGUUUGUGUCUAAUGACAUGGAGUAUGGUUAUUAAUUUAUGGCAACAUAAUGUGUAGUCAUUAGUGUCAAAAGUGUUUUGGGGACUGUUCUAUAUUGACUGAAUUUGAUGAAGAUAUUGAAUUAAUACAUCCAAGAUAAAAAGCUUGAAUGAGAAAACUGAAAAUCAAAAUUGAAUGUAGUUACAAUUUCUCCUUUUUCCCAGUAUUGCUUGCCAUUUUUGUACAUUCUUACCGAUUCUAAAGAAUUUUGGCAUGUCUUUACUAGCAUGUAUUUUUUUCUUCACUGGUAACAGUUUAUCGAAUAUUGACUUCACCUUUCUGGCAAACAUUAAUUCCGCUGGUGAACUUCCUUAUGGCAUAUUUAGGUUUGGUGUUACCCUAUAUACCAUUAAGAAUUGUUGGAUUGUGACAUCAUCCGUUACUUCCUUAUUAGCGUUCUUUAAAGCUCUCUUAAAAGUUUCCACAAACCAUUCACCCUUCUACUUGAUCUAGGGUGAUACAGUGCCAUAGUUUUAUGUUCUAACAUGAACCUCUCGCAGCAUCUUUUAUACUCACAGGAUACAAACUGUUCCAUUAUCAGAGACAAUUAUAUCUGGUACACCAAAUCUUGCGAACAGCUCAUGUAAGAAGUUUAUUAUCGUAUAUGAGGUUGGUUGUUUACACCUUGCAAUCUCAGGCCAUUUUGUGUAGCUGUCACUACUAUUAAGUAAUAAUAUCCAUUUACUGGACCUGCAAAAUCGAUAUGCAAUUGGGACCUUGGCAUUUUCACUUCCAGUCAAGAUUCACAUUUUGUAGUAGGUAGUUUCGCUGCCAGCGCAUAUCCUCUGCAGCCUUUUACCAGGUUUUCAACUCUGUUGCCCAUGCUUAGCCUGUAUACAAAACUUCACAUCAGCUCUUACAUUCUAGAGAUACCUGGGUGUCCCACAUGGAGCUCUUUUAGCAUUCUCUUCUGUAAUGUCUGUGGUAUGACCACCCUUGGAGUGUACAUUAGUACACCAUCACACAUAGAGUACACACUCACAUCUUGGUGGUUCUUUGCAUCAGACCUUUAUUUUCUCUUGUCGACCACAGUUUUCUUUUGUUUCAUUAAUAAAGUUGUCAUUUUUCGCAUUUAUUUUUAUUUUUUCCCAAAGUUACUGGCAGUUCACAUAUGAUGUUCCACAUUACUUUUUUUUGUUUCUGCUUCUGCUCUUAGUGCUGCGGUUAUGGUGUCCUCCAGUGGUUCAUUAUUUCUCGGAAUUAACCUAGAGAGACUAUUGGAAUGCCCCAACUUUUUUGAAGGCAGAUAUUACAUUCUAUAAUCAUAGGUCAAUAGAAUGGUACACCACCACUGCAAUCUGUUUGCCAUGUGUGUUGGAAUUCCUUUCUUGGAUCUGUAUAUCAUUAUUAGAGGUCUAUGGUCUGUUUGGAACCAAAAACGUCUGCUGUGAAUGAACGUGUGGAACUUUUUUGCAUCAAAUAUGAUAGUCAACUCCUCUUUUUCAAUCUGGCUAUAGCUCUUUUCUGCCAGCCAUAAUAUCCUUGAUAUGUGUGCUAUAGCUUUUCUCCUGCCAUCAUCUCCUGCCAUGUGUAGCACGGCUCCUGUCCCAUACUUGCUAGUAUCUGUAACUAGUAUUAUCUCUGACUUAGGGUCGAAAUGCGAAAGAUACAAGUCUGAAGUUAACACGUCUUUUAACUUGUUAAAUGCUUUCUGGCAUUUUUCUGUCCAAACCCAUUUGGCAUUUGUUUUUAAUAAUUCAUUAAGUGAUGCCUUUAUCUUAUGCAUAUUUGGGAAUGCUUUAGCAUUGUCUUGUUCGUUGAGGUUGGCAUAUUUCAUAUUGCCAUUGCCCUUGAUGUGUCUGGUCUGCAUCCAGUUUCAUUGAUUAUUUGGCCUAGUUAUUUUAUGUUUACCAUAAAAAAUUUGCAUUUUUCUUCUGUCAGUUUUAGCCUGUAAUCACUUAUUCUCUCGAAUACUUUCUUUGUGUUCAAUAUGUUGCUCCCGAUGCGAUGGCAAAGUUGCAAUCACUUACAUUACAUCCAUUAUUUGUUGGAAUAUGGUGGGUGCCACUUCAGUAUUGGUGGUUCACAGUGACACAGCUUUGUUUUCUCACAUAUAUGCAUUUAUUCAGACAGCCAAAAAAAAAAAAAAAAAAAGAAUGUGUAUAUAUGUGUGUACAUGUAGGUGUGUAUAUAUGUAUAUGUAAACAUAGUCCUAUAUACCUGUGAACACUCCUGUAAAAUGCAUGCAUAUGCAAGGGUUUAUAUAUAUUUUGAUGGCUCCUAAAAAUAUUUUCUCAAUAAUCUAAUCUAAAUGCUGUGUUGUUCUGGGUGAGAGCCAAACAAUGCUGCUAUAUUCCACCAUCAUCUUAAUUACUUUCUCUCAACAAUACAUUAUUUCUUACAUUCUUAGAUCCUCUUUUGUUAUUAACCAUUCUUGCCACUGUUAUUAUCAUCAUCAUCAUUAUAAUCAUUAUCAUCAUCAGUGAUGUUGAUUCUGUUAUUCUUAUAAGAAUGUACAUUUUAUAGUAUUAUUUCUUUACAGUAUCGGAUUUGUCUUAAAUGAGAUCAGUGUGUGUGUGUUGUAUGCAUGUGUUGUUCACAUAUGCAAAUGCACAUAAGCAGUGUAUCGGCAGCAUGCUCACAUUUUUGUGUGUGUGUGCAUGCACACACACACACACACACACAUACACACACAUGCCCUCCCUUUUCACAAAUUAUGUAGAGAUAAUUUUGUUGUAAGUAUUCUAUUUGUCUUCUGUUGACAACAUCACAUUCAGCUUUAUCAGAGGAUGGAUUAGAUCUAGAUAUAUGUGUUGUGAUUAAAUCUAGAUGUAUAAAUUUUAAGUUGUUACUCUGUGUGUGUGUAUACAUGUAGGUAUGUAUAUAUGCACAUGCAAACAUAGUCCUCUGUGUGUGUGUGUAUCUAAAUAUAUAAAGUUCUUACUUGCUGAUAACUUGAAAUAUUACUACUCUUGCAUAACAUGUUGAAAGCAAGAUUUUUGUGAUUUGACAAAAUUAAAUAUACCCCAUAAAAUUACUGCCGACAAGUUGAUCGUCAUUAAAAGAUUACAUCAAUGUAAUAUGGAAUGUCAAAACAUUUUGAUCACUAAUAUUAUCAAAUGAUUUAAGGCUAGCAGAAUCAUUAGCACAGCAGGCAAAAUGCUUAACAGUAUUUUUACAUUCUGAGUUCAGAUUCCGCCAAGGUCAGUUUUGCCUCCCAUCCUUUUGGGGUCAAUAAAAUAAGUACCAGUUGAAUACUGGAGUUGAGGUAUUUGACUUAACCCCACCACCAAAAUUGCUGGCCUUGUAUCAAAAUUUGUAACUAAUAUUAUCAAAUGAUUUGAAAACAAUGAAAGUUAGAAACAUUUAUGAAAAUCAGGGUAGUUAAAACUAGGGUAAUUAAAGGUGCAUCUGCUACCCACCCUACCAUACCCUUUGCCCCCAGUGCCCAUAUUAAAUUUUCCAGUGUCCUUUAGGUGGUACUACUCACUUUGAGAAGCACUGUUUUAGUAAGAUAUAUAUUUAAUUUCUGUUCAAACCUUGCAUUUUAUAGCUUCUUUCAUUUCGUGUGUGUGUGUGUGUGUGUGUGUGUGUGUGUGUGUGUGUGUGAAUGAGUAUGUGUUGUUAAGAUAUUGACAGGAAGUGUAUGUGUGCAUAGUCCUUGAAAAGAACUGUCACUAAGAGACAAAAUAAUUGAGACUGAGAGUAGAGAGACGCUUAUAGCUGGACAUCUAGAUUGGUUAUUAACAACCAAGAUUAGGGGAUAGUUGAAUGGGAAUGGGUGUAAUGAAUUGUGUUCUUGCUGAUUCAUUUAUUGCUGAGGUUGUUGCACUUAUAGAAAUGUUGUAAUCAUUCAUUGCACCAAAUUAGAAACUGGUGUAAUAAAUUAAUCUAUUCAUUUGUGACAAAUUACAGUGAUCUUCCUUGACAAUUCAAGUUAUUUCAUUGUAUUUGAAGGAAUUGAAACGUAGAAGUAGAUUUGUUAAAUCUUGUAGAUCAUGCCUAGUUAUCUUUAGACAAGUAUGUAACAUCAGGUUAGGAAUAAGAGAAUUUGGUAGAAUGUUGAGUACAGUUGCUAAAGUGAGGGUUAUUGUUUCUUUUAAUUUGUGGGCAGUUUGAGGGAUAGACAAGUGUUUCUCAGACUGAAGAAUCUUGAAUGUGGUCAUAUACAAAGAUUUGAAAUGAUGAAGCUAGUCUGUUGACAAGUGAUCCAACACUUGAUAGAGACUGUUGGAAGAGGCAUCUGUUGCCUAGGAGACUAAAAACUGAUUGACUGAUUGAAUUAGUUUAUAUGAGGAAUGUGACAUGAUUAAUCAAAGUCUGUUAUUGAGAAUUGUUCACUCAGAUGGAUUAUAAAUACUCUUAUGACUGUGCACUCCAGUUUCCAUUGGAAUAUUUAUAGAUUUUCAAUGUGUAAAGCAGUAUCAGAGAGAGAUGGGGAGUGAGUGUGUGUGUGUGUGUGUAUAUAUAUCUCUCUCUCUUUUCCCGUCUGUCUUGAUAGACAAUGGGUCGUGCCAAGGGUGGGGCCUACUUUGAUGAUGAGCAGCGUCUGCUGUGACUGAACAGUCCAAUUCUAGAGUGGCAGUCCCUGGUACAGUUGCUGCACACGAACAUCGAUGGGUACGUGUGGGGUGUUGCUGCAGUUGUCCUCCAUAUAUAUCUAGAGAGAGAGAGAGAGAAAGAGAGAGAGAGAGAGAGAGAGAGAGAGGAGCAUCAGUGUGCACAUGCAUGUGUGUGUGUGUAUAUAGUUGAAACGAUUAUGAGGAAAUCUUCCAGACUGAUGUUGUGUGUUUGUUGACAAAGAAACUGAUCAUACUGACAUUACUACACUUGUUUUUGUCCAAAGUAUUUAUUACUCAUAAACCAUUGCAAAAUAUUGAUUUAGAUAAUAGAUUAUAGAAUUUAUUGUCCACAGUUACAUAUAUCAUCAAAGUUUUGUUUUAAAACUACCAAAAUGCAAUGGGAAAAUUACUUGGCUGAAAUUUUGAUCUCAUUUUUGUUACUGCAGUCCCACACUGCCUAUAAGAGAGGAAAUAAUAGCAAUAAAGAUAAUAAUAAUAAUGAUGAUUUCAAAUUUUUGCCACAAGGGCAGCUAGGGGGAGGUGGGGAUGAGUCAGUUACGUCAAACCCCAGUGUUCAACUGGUAUUUAUCUUAUCAACCCCGAAUGAAUGAAAGGCAAAGUCAAUCUUGGUGAAAUUUGAAGUCAGAACACAAUGAUGGGCAAAAUACCACUAAGCAUUUUAUCCUGCGUGCUAAUGAUUCUGCCAGCUAACCACCUUUGUAGUAAUAAUAAUGAUAAUCCUUUUUACUAUUGACACAAGGCCAGCAAGUUCGGGGGGAGAGAUUAAGUCAAUUACAUUGACUGCAGUCUAUAAGUAGUAUUUAUUUCAUUGAACCCGAAAUGAUGAAAGGCAAUGUCCAUCUUGACAGAAUUUGAAUGCCACAGUUACUGCAGUCCCACACUGCCUAUAAGAGAGGAAAUAAUAGCAAUAAAGAUAAUAAUAAUAAUGAUGAUUUCAAAUUUUUGCCACAAGGGCAGCUAGGGGGAGGUGGGAAUGAGUCAGUUACGUCAAACCCCAGUGUUCAACUGGUAUUUAUUUUAUCAACCCUGAAUGAAUGAAAGGCAAAGUCAAUCUUGGUGAAAUUUGAAGUCAGAACACAAUGAUGGGCAAAAUACCACUAAGCAUUUUAUCCUGCGUGCUAAUGAUUCUGCCAGCUAACCACCUUUGUAGUAAUAAUAAUGAUAAUCCUUUUUACUAUUGACACAAGGCCAGCAAGUUCGGGGGAGAGAUUAAGUCAAUUACAUUGACUGCAGUCUAUAAGUAGUAUUUAUUUCAUUGAACCCGAAAUGAUGAAAGGCAAUGUCCAUCUUGACAGAAUUUGAAUGCCACACUUAAUAAUAAUAUAAUAGUGAAUUUAUAACAAUCUUUAAUGAUGGAAAUCUUGGCCCAAAGAGUGAAAUGUUUUUGUUGGCUGGAAUGUGCAGGGCCUUCUGCUCUGAAUAAUCAUGCUGCCAUCUACCAUACUGCAUAAAAAAAAAAACAACCACUCCCAAUUUGCUAUUGUAUUGACUCCAAAUCUCUACACUCCAAACAUUAUCAUCAUCAUCUGGAGCCUGGUGCAGCCUUCUGGCUUCCCAGAUCCCCGGUCGAACCGUCCAACCCAUGCUAGCAUGGAGAACGGACGUUAAACGAUGAUGAUGAUGAUGAUGAUGAUCAUUAUUAUUAUUAUUAUUAUUAUUAUUAUUAUUAUUAUUAUUAUUAUUAUUGCUGCUGCAGUGAACUGGCAGAAUUGGUUUUAGCACACCAGAUGAAAUGCUUAGUGGUAUUUCACCUGUCACUACAUUCUGAGUUCUAAUUCCGCCGAGGUUGACUUUAUCUUUCAUCCUUUCAGGGUCAAUAAAAUAAGUACCAGUUGAAUACUGGGGUCGAUAUAAUUGAUUCAUCCCCUCCCCCAAAAUUGCUGCCCUUGUGGCAAAAUUUGAAAUUGUUAUUAUUAUCAUCAUCAUUAUUGGAGUGGCUGAGUUAAGGGAAGUCUUUGGGGAGGCAUCCAGUGUCUCAAAUAAGUUGACCUAUAUAUGUUGCGUUUAGAUGACCUGCUUGAGUAUGGCCAUACUUUGGUAUCCAUAGCAGUAGCUUACUUGCCAGUUACACUUGAUUUAAUCAACUAGCCCCUUUCCCUCAAAUUUCAAGCCUUGUACCUGUAUUAAAGUUGUCUUUUUUUUUUUCAAACUGUUCUCAAACAUAAAUUUCAACUUUCUUUACCAAGUUCUGUAUUUAUGUAUAUGUAUAUUUGUAUUGUUGUGUACAUGCAUGCAUACACACAAUGACACACAUACACAUAUGCACACUGUAUUGUGCGUAUAUUAUGUUGUUUGCAUAUUUGUGGUUCUGUUUUGUGUAUUGUGUUGUUAUGUGUAUAUUUAUUUGAAAGCUGUUAUUGCAUAGGAAUGAAAUUUACUUUUAACACUAGAUACAUACAUUAAGACAUUAUCCAUUUCUUUGCUCAAUGGAUUCAGAUUAACUGUUCACUGUAGUUACUUAAACAGAAAAUGUUUCUCUAAAUAUUUUGAACUUCCUCUGUAGCUUCAUAUAAAUAUUUUUCAAAUUUGCAUUUUCCCUUUUUUUUCUCCUGCUUGCUUCCCAUCAAGCAGAAAUUAUUUUCCUUUUUCCUCUAUUUUAUAAAUUUCUUCAACCUUCUGAAUAAUUUGUUUUAUUCCCCUCCCCCACCCUUCCAUUCCAAUUUUAUUUUAACCCUUUUCAUAUCAACUGACCUAAAAAUGUUUCUGGAGCUAUGACACAAAAUUACUGUUUUAAAGUGAUCUAAAUUAUAAUCUGUCAUCAGAAUUGUAUGUUAAUUUUUUCCAGAUACCAGCUUCAUAAUGAGAAAGUUAUUUUACUAAAUUCUUCAUUAUUUAAAAAAUUAUUUGAAGCAAAAGCAUUAUAUGUUGUCAGAAAUAUGGUAACAAAAGGGUUGAAUUGAUUCCAACACUUAGUUAUCCCGAAAUAUUUUCUUUGAUUUCUAGACUGAGUAUUGUUACUGCAGCUAAAAUUACCUACUUGUAAGUAAAUAUAAAUAGAUAGAGUAGUAAUUAAUUUUUAAUUAGUUAUAGCACACUCUUAGUGAAAAGUAUUUCAUCUAAGAUGAACUGAGAUGUGCCCUGGCAAGUAUGUGUCUAAUUACAUGUACACACACUUACAUGCAUGUGUGUAUAAACUAUGUGCUUGUGUGUGCGUAUAUAUAUGUAUAUAUAUAUAUAUGUAUAUAUAUAUAUAUGUAUAUAUACAUACAUACACACAUACAUGUAUAUAUGUAUGUCUCUUAUCAUCACCGUUUAACAUCCGCUUUCCAUGCUGGCAUGGGUUGGAUGGUUUGACUGAGGACUGGCAAGCUAGGAAGCUGCACCAGGCUCCAAUCUGCUCUGGCAAGGUUUCUACAGUUGGAUGCCCUUUCUAAUGCUAGGGUACUUUUUACGUGCCACUGGCAUGGGGGCCAGUCAGGCGGUACUGGCACUGACCACACUCAUUGGGCUUGCCAGGUCUUCUUAAGCACAGCAUAUCUCCAAAGGUCUCUCUCUUUGCAGCCUCAUUAAAUGCAAGUGAGCCAUCAUCCACGCGGACAUAUUUCUCUCCUAUGGCAUCAUGAUUCUCUUUGACACACUAUCUUGCAACACAAUGCACUUCAAGUCUUUGGUCCUCAUGAUGCACACAUACACACAUGUAUGUAUGCAUUGUAUAUUUAUACAUCCGCAUGCGUGCAUAUAUAUAUGUACACACACACAUCGUUGGCAAUUUUCUUCCUCUAUCUUCCCUUCUAUUGGACUUUCCUCUGUUUCCGAAGAAGAGCAUCUGCUCGAAAUGUUAAACCAUAUUCCUUUCCUUUCCUGGGCAUCUGCUAAUACUUUACAUGUUCCAUGUCCUCGCGUUGUUUUUUUUUGUGUUUGUUCUACUUUUUGGGAUUUACUAUAUAUAUGUGUGUGUGUGUGUGUGUGUGUGUGUGUGUGUGUAUAUAUUUAUAGUUUAAAUGUACAGAAAACAAAAUGCUGAGACAAGCAGAUGUUGUGAAAGAUAUUCUGUACUAUUUUUGACUCUGUGUAAUGAAAUAUUUGGUUUGAAGAAUUGAAUAUAUUUUGUCUGGAUUUCUUUGAAAUUCAAUAUAUUGCAGUAAAUUCUCUCUUGCGAAUAGUCACUAACUAACCCCAAUAGUCUAUCAGUAUCUAUCUAUCCGUUAUGUGUUAAUUACCUGUUUUUAAUGACUGUUUUUCAUGGCCACACUUUUCCACUAAUCUUACCCUCCACUUAUUAUUUCUCUCUUACAACUCAACACUGAAGUCCAAUAUGUCAUCAACAAAAAGACAUUGAGUUGGAUGAAUUAUAAGCAUGCUGGGUGAAAUACUUAGCAGCAUUUUGUUCAUCUUCAUGUUCUGAGUUCAAAUUCCCCCAAAAUGACUGGACUUGUGCCAAAAUUUGAAACCAGUAUUUCAUAGACUAGUAACAAUAUUUACAACUGGGCCACUACAUUCUUUCAGUCAACAUUGCUACCUAUAUAAAUAUGGUUUACACAUUCACCAAGAUGAGGAAGCUUCACUGCUUUUCACUUUUUCUUUUUGUCGACUUAUUUUUGUUUUUUCUUCUGUUAGGUCAAAGUGACAUAAGAAUCUAUUGUUGUGUUUUCAAGCCAUCCUUACAGACUGCUGCAUUAUUGUACUUCUAACAUAACUGAGAAAUAUUUCUUCAUUAUUGUUACAAUAUUUCAGUUGCAGUAGUAAUAUUAUCAUUGAAAUUAAUGUGGCCAGCCUCUCAUAACAAAACACAUUUUUACACUAUCUUCUUUGUUUUAUUAUUUUAUGUCAUUCAAUUUGCUCAUUUCCUUUGUCUAUCUAUCUACUUCCCCCCUUCCGUUGUAAAUGGUUUAUAAUUUAACAUCUCUUUCAUAAUAUGCAAUGCUCACUUACCAAAUUCUUGAAGACUUUUAUCAUCUACCUGAAUAAACCCAUUAUUCAAAACAGUUUUUAUGACUUUAGGGUUCUUUUUAAGGAAGGAGUUUCCCUUUCUAUUAUUUCUGAUAGCAGCAGCUAAUGAAAUAUCUCAGUUCAGUAGUUGAUUGCUAGAACCAGAAUGGUAGAACCCUUCAGUUCUACCAUCCUGGUUCUGGCCAACAUAUUUACUUCUCUUUGUCUAUUACAUCUCUAUGUUUUUGUUUUUAAUUCCAAACUCUACAGUUUUGAGUUCAGACACCAUCCAAUCAAGUUGUAUGCACGAAAAAAAAAGAAGAUAGAAAAUAUAAGCAGUAGAAAUAUCAGGUUGAGUAAAAAGUAAGCAAAUUUUGCACCAUGAAGAAUUUGUACCGGAAUUUUGCAGAGUUUUCAAAUUUUUUUCAACAUUUUUGGCAGUUGUCUGAUAAAACAGAUAUAGAGUUGCCCAAAUGCAUCAAUAAAUUAACAUUGAUAUCUUUUUCACUGUUGUUAAAAUCAUCAGAAAUGGAAAUUUCAAAGUGCAAUAUUCGAGCAAUUUUGCAAUUCAACUUUAAAAAAGGAUGUAAAGCAGCUGAAACUGCUCGCGAUAUCAACAAAACAUUUGGUGAGGAAAUGAUCAGUGAGUGGUCAGCUCAAAAAUGGUUUAAACAGUUUUGCAGUGGAGACCUGAGCCUUGAAGAUUGCGAGCAUAUUAGAUGCCUUUCUGUCAUUGAUGACGGUUAAUUAAAGACCGUCAUUGAGAAAGAUUCACGUAAAACCAUGUGAGAACUGGGAAAAGAACUUUAAGUUAGUCAGAACACUGCCUGCAGCCAUUUGUAUGUGAUUGAAAAAUCAAAAAAGCUCAACAAAUGGAUAUCACACGAUUUGAAUGAAAAUUAGAAAAUACACAGAUAUGAAAUUUUGCUCAUCACUUCUCCGUAACUAGACUGAUCCACUUCUCGACUGUAUUGUAAUUUUCGAUGAAAAGUGGAUUCUGUACAAUAAUGAAAAAUGUUCUUCACAGUGGUUGGACCAAAAUGAAGCACUGAAAACCUUCCUAAACCUGAGCUCUUCAAAAAGAAGGUUAUGGUGACUGUUUGGUGGUGUACUGCUGGACUCAUCCACUAUAACUUAAAACCCAAAAAGAAAACAUUACUGCAGAAACAUAUUACCAUGAAAUUGUCAAAAUUAAUGAAAAACUGCUACUCCUCCAUCCCAGACUGGUCAACAGAAGAGGGCCAGUCAUUCUUCACGACAAUGCCUGACCACACAUUUCACUAAUGAUGUUCCAGAAGUUGAGGGAACUUGGCUACAAAGUUCUUCCCUACCCAGCUUAUUUCCUAGACCUUUCUCCUACCGACUACCACUUUUUCAAGCACCUUGAUGGUUUCCUGUGAGAGAAGGAGUUAAAAAAUCAAACAAAUGCUGAAAGUGCAUGCAAAGAGUGCAUCAGCUCCAGAACUUCAGAUUUUUAUGUUACUGGAAUAAACAAACUUGUAACUCAUUGGUAAAAAUGUGUUGAGUGUAAGGUACUUACUUUGAUGAAUAAAAUUACUGCCUUGAAAUAUGUUGUGAUGAAUUUCAUGUUUCAAAACAUUGCUUACUUUUUACUCAGUUUGAUAGUUAUCUUGAUGCAAAUAUGUCCAUGAUGACACAAUGUUUUUAACCUUUUUGAUCCCACCUGAGACUAGCCAUGCUUCUAAGAUAUGAGUGAUUUGUUUCAGAGUGAUCUAAACUAAAGACUUCCAUAAAAAUUUCACUUCAAUUUAUGUUCCCAAAACUAACUUAACAAUGACAGUUAUGUUAAUAAAUUUUUCAUUAUUUUCAAAAUUAAUUGAAAUAAAGGCAGUGUGUUUCAACAGGACUAUGGUAAUUAAAGUGUUAAGAUAUUGGUGCAUCAUGAUUGUAUUGGGAAAUAUAUUCAAAUUCUUGGUCUGAUAUUGUUUUGUUGUUUUAAAACAAUAACCUCAUCUAUUUAGCAUUUUGUCUCUUUUUGCCAUAAAAACUAUUAUCUAGUUUCCUCUUUCUUAUAAAGAUUAUGAAAUCACUUUUUAAUCCUUCUCUGUCUUCUUUUUUUUUUUUCAGAGGCAAUUUUUUUUGCACCCUCUGCUUAGAAAUUAUAAAUAAUUGCCCUUUCCAAUGUUCUUGCUUUGUCUUAUAAACCUGCAAACGAGUGUGUGUGCCUAUUCAUCUAUUUACUCGCACACACACACACACACACAUACACAUAUGCACACUACUGUGUGAUCAAUUAUCACAACAAAUACCAUAGUUGCUUCCCAGAAGUACUGCAAAUUGUAGUAACAACAAUUACUGCUACACCACAAGUAACAACAACAGAUCUGUAGCCUCAUUAUUGCUAACAGUUUCUUUCUACACUUUUAGUCUACUCUUAUUAUUUACGCAUGUCUACACACACAGUAAAUAUUCCUAAAACAUACACACACACACUGACAUGUCAGAAGAUCCACAUUUAAGUUAUUUUCUCUUUCAAUAUCCCCCCACUCACCAUAUGCAAAACUCAUAACUUUAUCAUUAUUCAACUUCUAGAACCAAUAAGCUCAAUAAAUUUACAUAAUAUUAAUUCAUAUUUCAUGAUAUAGUAUUUAUUUAAUGUUAUAUCUAUAUAUGUAAUGUAUAUUUACAUAGUAUAUAUGUGUGUGUGUGUGUGUUUGUCUGUGUUCUGUUGAAUGUUAUUAAAUGAAAACAUGAAAUAAUGGUUAUGGUUUCUAUCAUAAAUCUAACACAGAUAUGUAUUUUUCAUAUAUUUCUACCAAAAUGUAUUCAUUAUCAAUACUUUUAGUCUCUAUACAUAUUAUAAAUCAUCAUCAUUUAACAUCUAUAGUCCAUGCUGGCAUGGGUUGAACAGUUUGACCAGAGCUGGAAAGCUGGAGAUCUGCACCAGGCUACAGUCUAAUUUGGUGUGGUUUCUACAGUUGAAUGCCCUUUCUAAUGCCAACCACUUUACAGGGGGUUUUGGGUGUUUUUACAUGGCAUGACAUGAGCGCUUUUAUGUGGCACCGUAGUACAUAUAAUAAUAAUAAUAAUAAUAAUAAUAAUAAUUAUUAUUAUUGGUAUUUCCAGAGAAAUAUAGCAGUGAUAACAAUAAUAGUAAUAAUGAUUGUUUCUAAUUUAGGCACAAGGCUAACAAUUUUGAGGGGAUGGGAUUAGUCAAUACCAUUGACACCCAUUAUUUGACUGGUUCUUUAUUUUACUGACCCUCAGUGGAUGAAAGGCAAAGUUAUCCCUGGUGGGAUUUGAACUUGGAAUAUGAAGGGCUGGAAGAAAUCCCACUAGGCAUUUUUAUGUGAAGUUUUUAUAGCUCUGUCAAUCCAAUCCAGCACAUUGUGUUAUUAUCAUGGUUGGGAAGUAUAUAAAUAGUGGAAUAUUCCGAAUGGAAGAGAGAAAACAUUUCUAUUUAGUUUUAGAAAAUGAUUUAGUUCUCUGGUUCUACAAUCAGCUUUUUGGUAUUGCUGAUUUAAUUUACCUCUUCAAAAUACAAAAAUCUGAAAAUGGAACCCUUUCAUACUAAGAAUUUUUAAAAGGAAGGAUAAAAAAAAAAAAAAGGCUUCAUGAAGUAGAAUGAAAUUUGAGUGGCUGCCUAGUAGAUCUUUAGUCAGAUAAAAUAUAGAAUAUAGUUUAUUUUUAAAUUUUGAAAUCCCUACAUUAACAAAGAAAAGCACCAGUUACAAAGACAAGUAGAUAACACGCACACAUGCGCGCGCGCACACACACACACACACACACACAUUCAGCUGAAUGGAUGUUAGAAGUGUGUACCAUGAAAUUGUUGAUGGAUCAGGUAAUGACUGAUAGAGAAGUGUGUUUGUUUUGUAAUCAUCACGAAUGAUGAUUGAUGGGUAAGAUAAAUUUGGUGAAGCAUAAUUAAAUCAGGUGACAUCAGUAUAUGUCUGGUAUAUAUUUUAUUAACUUUAGAGAAAUGAAAUUAAGUGAACCCUUUGCAGAACUGAAAAUAUGGAGAACCAAAGCAAGAUAGUAUAGCACUGCAACAUUCCUAUAACUCUGCCGAGAUUUUGCAAGCAGUUCUUUAUAUGAUAAAACUUGAAAGCCUUGAACUUGUGAGAAGUUGUUGAUUUUAUUUUGGCUGAAGUUGCAGCUUGCUAUAUGUGUGUGUGUGUGUGUGUGUGUGUGUGUGUGUGUGUGUGUGUGUGUCUGCUUGUCUGUCCUAUCAUCUUUGGGAUUGUGUUAAAUACUCCAUUACUUCAUUUAACAGAGUUCUUUGAUUCUUUUAUUGGGUCUCUCAUUCAGCAUAUGUGGUGCCUGACUCUCCUCUCAUCUGCAAUGAUUAAAACUAGAAGGUUUUAUCUCUGGUGUACACAGCAGCACUUAUACAUAGAGUGGAGUUUCAAAAUUGAAAGGGAGCAAGUGCUAGAGGUGGAGUGCUGUGUGGGGUAAUGUUUGAGUAGAUUGUGUAACCAAGUAACAGAGUGGAGAGGUGACAUGAAGAAAAUUGGCAUCAACGUGGAUCAAGUGUGAAGUAAGUCAAGUUGAGCAGAUGUAAGCAAUUUAUUGAAGAGGUGUGUGUGUGUUUUGUUUACUGUUGCUUCUUCAAUCUUCAUUCUUCCCCAAGUAGUUGGAAGGAAUCCAGUUAAAGAUAGGGAGAUGAUAUUAUAGAAGUGGGAGGGAAUAGUGAGGUGAUGCUGUCUCAAAGGGAAACUAGGCUUAUGGUCUUCUUAUGCUUUUUUUUUUCUUAAUAUUUUGUUUCUAUUUUUAUCAUUUUUGCAUUGUUUUUGUUCUCUCUAUUUGUGUACUUUGUUUUGGGUUUUGAGGACUGGAUUUAAUUACAAGUUCUUCUACUAACCUUUACCCAAAGGGUAUUUUAUAUUGGGAGAGGGAUGAAGUAGAAAGAUUCUAUAGCUAUUUGUUUGUUUAAAGUGAGAUGCACUUAUUGUUUGUUUGUGUUACAUACAUAAUAUUAUUGUUUAUUUGUUUAUUAUAUAUAUCUAGAAAUUUGUUUGGGUGGUGGAAGAGAAACAAAGUUGGGGAGGAAUACAAAUAAUGAGGGGUGAACAUAAAAAUGGUAUGUGCAAUGGUAUAUAGGACUGAAAAUUGUAAACAUUUUACCACCACUGCCAAUUUUAUCCCUAAAAUAAAGAGGUUUUAAUGCAUUUCAAGAAUAAACCCAGUCUAUUGUGGUUUUGCUUUCAGUAUCACUGCUUGGUCAUCAGUAUCGUUAGCAAAGUUUACUCUGUUGCACACUCUGGGACCAUUCACCUGGUUCUCUCUCUGUGCACAUUUUUACCACAGCCAUCAGAUCUUCAAACUAGACAUCAACCACACCAGCUUUACUAGUCUGGAAAGAUCUUCCAGGUGUGAUGGUCACUGUCUGAUUUAUUACAAAACAAAAAUUUGUUACCAGUUUUUCUCCAUCUUCACAAUUGUUUCUGACAUGGGUAGAGGGCUUGAAUAAAAUAACAGAAGGAUGCAUUACAAAAUGUAAUACCUGAUAUACAACAAGAUGGAUUGCCAUGACUAGAAGCCUUUCAUUGAAUUCUGCUUAAAGAUGAAGUAAAGUCCCUCAUCACAUGCUUUGCCAUCUUAAAAAUAGGAGGGAUACAUUGGACAAUGAUACACUAAAAGAUAGGAUGAUCACAGUUGUAAUGCCUUUUAUCUAUAGAUCUGCUUGAUCAGUGUUAUCUUAUCAACAAGAGCUAUAAGAAUAUUCACCAUUAUUAUGUAAUGUCCAAUUUUCCGUGGUUGCACAGGUAAGAUGGAAUUUGCUGAGGCAGAUUUUCUACAGCUGAAUGUGCUUCCUGUCACCAACACUCUCCUGUUUCCAAGGAAGGUAAUGUUUCCCUAUGGCUAAGCCCAGUGCUGUAGUAGAAGAUACUUGGUCAAAGUGCCAUGCAAUGAGACUGAACUUAAGAUCACAUUAUUAGGAAGGGAGUUUCUUAACCACACACUCAUGCUUGCAACUAUUAUGUUGCUUGUGUUUAUGUGUAGGUGAGCAUAGAACACCCACCCUACAAAAUGCUAUCUUUAAGAUAGUAGUGUGUGUGUGUGUGAAUGAGUGAGUGAGUGAGUGAGUGAGUGAGUGAGAGAGAGAGAGAGAGAGAGAGAGAGAGAGAGAGAGAGAGAGAUAAUGAAUGGAGGGCAGCUAUAUAACCUUACAGAUAUAAGAAUCUGAUAUUUUAUGCAGAAUUUGAUAGACAUGAGUGAUAUUUUCAAAUUUAAUUAUCUAGUCUAAUACUUACAGUGAUAGGAGGAUAUGGUAACUGUAAACCCUAUUUAAAAAUGCAUCUGUUUCAUCCAAGUGACUUUGGUGCUAAUGGGAAUUGAAAACGACUUUCAAGGAAGAAUGAAUGGGACAUCCAAUAAUCACUAGUCACCACAGGGUUCCUUUAUUUGCUGUUUUCCUUGAAUUCCAUCAUUUAAUAAAGCCAACUCAUCAGUGUUAGUUAAAUAAUUUUGAAGGAUAAUGAUAUUAAAAAGAACACCCCCCCCCAAAAAAAAAACAACAACAUUAAUUUACUGAUAUAAUUUAAAUAUAGGUCUCUGCAUGAGGGAGAGCUUAAUUGUAAUAGGAGUAAAUAACACUAAUUUAUAUGUUUGUGACAUAUUUCCAUCUUCUGUUACAAUUUAGCUUAUAUUACUUCUAUAAGUUGUUGUUAUUGAUAACAAAUCACCUCACUGAGAUAUCUCCUACCACCUAUUUCAGGUAUAAUAAACUGUUCUUAUAUCAGAGACUACUGCUUAUUUAAUAUAACUUGUGUUAUGUAUCUUCUUCUAGAUGUUCAUCAUCAAGGUAGAAAACUGGUAGAAUCGUCAGCACACUGGGCAGAAUGCUUUGUGGCAUUUUGUUCAUCUUUACAUUCUGAGUUCAAAUUCUACUGAGGUCCACUUUGCCUUUCAUCCUCUUAGGAUAGAUAAAACAAGUACCAGUCAAGCACUAGGGUUGAUGUAACUAAUUGUUGUCCAGUCUUGAUCAGGACUGGACAACCAGAGACAGUAUGAUUUAUUGUUUUUUCCCCAUCACUGCAUAUUCUGCAGUUAUUAUAUUUUUCUUCAUUAUAUAUUUUUGUGGUUUCUGGUAGGGUGGCUUUGAUUAUCUGUUGGUAUUAAAAUUUCUUUCCUGUUUAACUUAUCCUAGGAUUUGCCAUGUAAGGGCUUUUCUUGCAAUUGUUUUAUCAUGGUAUUUUGUAGUUUCAGUUUUAGCUUUGGUUUUAGUUGCUUUAUAGCUUUUGAUAUUUCUCCUUUUUCUUCAUAGUUGUAGGUAUUAUGAAAUUUCCCUUUUAUUUUUCGACUUCCUUGAAGGCAGAAAACAGUUUUCUUGUUUUGGGGAAUUUGUAUCAGCUUUCCUUGGUUCUGAGUUAGAUAUUUCUGUAGUCCUAUGGUGGAUAUUCUAUAGUAGUUUUCUAGUUGUAUAAGGCCUUCACUACCUUUAAUUUGUUGUAUAUAUAAUCUUUCUAUGUUAUAUUUUGGGUGGUGUAUUCUAAAUUCUGCCAUUGUUUUUCUUGUUUUCUUGGCUAGUUUGGUUAGUUCAUUUAAUGUCCAGUUAAGAAUACUGUAACUUAUAACUGAGUCAACUAGUGUGUCUUAUUUUUCACAUUCAGAUCUGUAUUAAUUUAACUAUUAUUCUAAUUUGUCUAUUUUUUUAAAUACAUUUUUCACUUUUGUUUGUUGCACUGUAUUUAUGCCAAGAACCUUCCUAGAUGUCCUUAAUGACACUGUUUUCUGGAGUUGCACUAAACUAGGUUUAUGCCUAUUUCCUCUAUCCAUCAGUUCACAUCUUAAGGCAUAUUUCCUAACUAGCAAAUCUACCCAUCUAUGAUGGAGGCAUAAAAUGAGGGAGAGAUGUCAUAACAGCAGUAUGUAUUGAGAGAUGUGUAAAUGGACUUAAGACACUUGUAGUGUCUUAGAGAAAUCACAUUAUUGUUGGUGAUACAGCAUUCUAUUGUAGCCAUAUGACAUGUGUUUACGACUAAGUGAUAUGUGAUGACGGUUCACUCCCAAACUGAAAUAGGCUCCCAGCCUCUGUAUCAUGAAUUGUUAUGUGGACCACUCCUAACAAAAACCAGAACUUCCUUUAACCACUACAUAAAAAUAUUAAGAAAAAAUGAUUUUAGAUAUACUUUUAUUUUAGUUGCUUACACUAUUUUAUGCUUGUUUAUACUCUUAUAUAUUCAAAGUUCACAAAUUUCCUUAUUUAAAUUAUGAAUCAUAUUCCUUUCAAUAUGAUUACAAAACUUCUUUGUGGACGAUAUUUUCUGUUUGGUUGGCACUAAUUUUUAAAUUACUGGAGUCUGUUGCUCUGCUCAUAGCGACGUAUAACUGGCUGUGUGUGAACAUCAGUGUGGGUAAAUAUACACCUACACGAUCUAAAGUCUGGCCCUGUGCCUUGUUUGCUGUGAAUGUGGGAGCAGAAUCUUUAGGGUUGCAAAAAGAUCAACCUAAGACUGACCUCUCACUCUUCUGUGUGAAUAAUGUCUGGAUGUUCUGGUAUCAUGGGUUAUUUGGAUUGACAAAACUUGAUGUAAACAACAGCCACUUCAAUUAGUAGUUUGAAUCCUGCUCGAGGCCGACACUUCAAUAACCACUAAAUAAUCACACACACUAUAUACUGACACACACUUUUUCCAUUUUAUUUUCGCUAUUAACCAUCCUCACGAACUCCUUCUUAUCUACAAUGGGGGCUACAAACUGUACAGUGAAAAUCCAGAGUUACUCUUGGUCACUGAAUUUUUAAUAAAAAUGCGAAGGUGGUUUAUCAAUUCAAAAAUCAAUAUCCACAAAAUAAUCAUACUUUCUGAUUUUUUAAUGCUAAAAACCUUCCUAACAACCGUCUUUGUAAUCCCCCAAAAUAUCAUAACCAUUGGUCCAACCAUCUGGCUGAGGAGGGAAUAUGGACAGACAGAUGGCCAUAAUGCCCAUUGUAGUAAGAUAGCAAAUUUGCUCAUCUAUGAUGGGAAAUAAAGGGAUAGUAUCGCAAAUUGAAACCCUCUAAAUUCACAAACUAUACAGGGAGAAAUCCAGAGUUAAUCCUUGUCACUGGAAUUUUGACGAAAAAAAAAAUCAAAGGUGAUUUAUUAAUAAAAAACUCAAUAUCCAUUAAAUAAUCAUACUUUUUUACAUUGUUUUCACUAAAAACUUUCCUGAUUACCUCUUUUGUAAUCCCCAAAAAUAUUGUGACCAUUGGCUCAGCCAUUUGACCUUGAAGAGGGAACAGACUGACGGACAUAACACCCAUUAUAGUAUGAUGUACCUAUAACUACAGGGAUAUAUUUUACCUGCAUUUUCUAUAGCCUCUGUUACUCAAUGGCUAGGUCCUGGUACUUUGCUAUUUUCUUUUCACCUCUCAUCAUCAUUUGGGAUUAUUCCUUUAUUCUUUUACAUGUUUCAGUCAUUUGAAUGUGGCCUUGCUAGAGCACUGCAUUAAAGGGUUAUAGUUGAAGAAAUUGACCCCAAGACUUAUUCUUUGUAAGCCUAGUACUUAUUUGUAAGCCUAGUACUUAUUCUAUCUGUCUCUUUGCUGAUCCGCUAAGUUUCGGGGGCAUAAACAUUGGUUGUCAAGUGAUGGUGGGGAGACAAACACAGACAGAAAGACAUAUGUACAUAAAUAUAUAUAUAAUAUAUAUAUAUAUAUAUAUAUAUAUAUAUAUAUAUAUAUAUACACACAUAUGUAUAUACAUGAUAGGCUUCUUUCAGUUUCCGUCUACCAAAUCCACUCUCAAGGCUUUGGUUGCCUAAGGCUAUAGUAGAAGUCACUUGCUCAAGGUGUCACAGUGAGACUGAACCUGGCGUGACCCCUUGGGCAAAUGUCUUCUACUAUGGCCUCAGGCCUACCAAAGCCUUGUGAGGUUGAUUUCAAGAAGCUGAAUUCCACAAAAGAGAUGGCAAAGAAUGAUAAUAAAUGGUGAGGGAGCCAUGCAGGGUGACAGUCUUCUAACUUAUGGAGAGUAUAAAAAAAGUAUAGCAAUGAUGUAAACUUUAUAUAUAGGCACAGGUGUGGUUGUGUGAUAAGAAGCUUGCUUCCCAAUCAUAUAGUUCCGGGUUCAGUCCCACUGCAUGGCAACUUGGGCAAGUGUCUUCUACUAUAGCCUCGGGCCAACCAAAACCUUGUGAGUAGAUUUGGUAAACAGAAACUGAAAGAAGCCUGUCAUAUAUAUAUGUAUAUAUUUGUGUGUUUGUCUCCCACACCAUCACUUGACAACUGAUGUUGGUGUGUUUAUGCCCCCGUAACUUAGUGGUUUGGCAAAAGUGGCCAAUAGAAUAAGUACUAGGCUUAUAAAGAAUAAGUCUUGGGAUUGAUUUGUUUGACUAAAAUCCCUUAAGGUGGUGCUCCAACAUGGUUACAGUCAAAUGACUGAAACAAGUAAAAAAGAAAAAAAAUAUGUGUGUUUGUGGCCUCUAAAUUCAUAAUUUUCUAAGUGUCUACAAGAAAACGUAAAAUAAAAAUUAAGUUUCUCUGUCUGCUGACUAAAAUUUGAAAACUGUAGAUUUAUCUUGUUUAUUAAAUUAAGAAUCAAAACCAGUGGUAGAAGUGACACUGAAUUACAAACAUACACAAGAAAAAUUGAAUAUAUUAAUAUGAUUGUUUGGCUUUUAUUAGAUUUACUCUAUGAGAUCUACUAAAAUAUAUGGAAUGAAAUUUUGAAAAUUUUCUGUUUAUUCUAAGAAACAGUAAACUGAUAGACUUGAUGUUUUGUUUAAUUUAAUUAGAGUCUAUUAAGUAUUUUCUUUAAAACCUCAGGUUUCAAUAAAAUGUGCUGGAGUUAGUUGAUAAAAUCAACUAUUCACCUACCUUGCAAAUGUAUGGCUUUGUGCCAACAUGAGAAAGGAUUAUUAUUACUAUUAUUAUUAUUAUCCAGGUGGCAAGCUGGCAGAAUUGUUAGCAUGCUGGAAAAACUGCUUAGUGGCAUUUCUUCUGUCUUUACAUUCUGAGUUCAAAUUCCGCCGAGGUCAACUUUGCCUUUCAUCCUUUCGAGAUCAAUAAAAUAAGUACCAGGUGAACACUGGGUCAAUGUAAUCGAUUCAUUCCCUCCCACCAAAUUGUUGCCCUUGUGGCAAAAUUUGAAACCAUUAUUAUCAUCAUUAUUAUUAUUAUUAUUAUUGUUGUUGUUAUUAUUAAAACGAUAAAUAUUAGCAUGCUGGGAAAAAUACUUAGUGGUAUUUUGUCCAUCAUUACAUUCUUAGUUCAAAUUCCACCAAGGUCCACCUUGCCUUUCAUCCUGUUGGGGGUCAAUAAAUUAAAUACCAGUGAAACACUGGGGUUGGUGUAUUUGACUAUCCCCCUCCUAGAAUUGUUAGUGCAUCAGACAAAAUACUUAGCAUCCCUUCAUCCAGCUCAUUACAUCCUGAGUUCAAAUUCCACCCAGGUUGACUUUGCCUUUCAUCCUUUUAGGAUUGAUAAAAUAAAGUACUAGUCAACAGAUUUGCCCAUCACCCUCCAAACUGCAUGCCUUGUACUAAAUUGAGAUGCCGCCGCCGAUGAUCUCUACUGAAGGCACAAAGCUUGAAAUUUAUGGGGAAGUGACUAGUUGAUUACAUUGAACCUAGUGUGUAACUGGUACUUAAUUUAUUGACCAUGAAAGAAUGAAAGGGAAAGUUGACUUUGGCGGAAUUUAAACUUAAAAAAUAAGGAUGGAUGAAAUGCUGCUAAGCAUUUUGCCUAAUGUGCUAAUGAUUCCACCAGCUCACCACCUACUACUAUUGCUGCUGCUGCUGCUGCUGCUACUACUACUACUACUACUACUACUACUACUAAUGAUCAUUGUUCUUUAUUAUUAUUAUUAUUAUUAUUAUUAUUGGUAGAAUUGUUAGAGCAUCAGAAAAAUGCUUUGCCAUAUUUGUUCUGGCCCUUUACAUUCUGAGUUUAAAUUCUGCCCAGAUCAACUUUACUUUUCAUCCUUCCAGACUUGAGGAAAUAACAUACUAGUCAAGUACUAAGGUUGUCCCUCCUCUCAAAAUUGAUAGUAUUGUACCUAAAUCAACAACCAUUGUCAUUGUCAUUAUUUAGAGCAGUGAAUUAACAAAAUAAUUAGGACAUCAACCAAAAUGUGUUUCAGCAUUUAUUCUGGCUCAUUAUAUUCCAAGUUAAAAUUCCAUUAAUGUCAACAACUUUGCCUUUUACUCUUCUGUCAGAAGGGGGGGGCAUCAAUAAAAUAAUGUACCAGUCAAGUAUGAAAAGUAGUGUAAUAAGUAGCCACCCUUUUCCAAAAUUUUGGUAUUUGUACCUAUAUGAGAAACAAUUAUUAUUAUUUUUAUUUAUGCUUUUCCUCUGGCAGAUCUUAUACUGACACCAUACCAAAAGAGCAAGCCAUAUCCAAUAGCCAAAAGUCUUUUGGGUCAUUCGUUUUCCUUUGACUUUCUAACACCCUCCUUGGAAUCCUUGCUGUUCAUAACAUGGCUGUUUUCUGCAACAGUCCUGUCUGGAUGAUAAUUCCUAGCUUCUGAAGCCAUGCAUCGAACCUUUUACCAUCUACUUCCAGUGUGCCAACCACAGUUAGUACCACUUCCAAGUGUCCGAGUCUCCAUAGUUUCCUUAUUUCUAUCUUCACCUCCUGGUAUCUAUCAAAUUUCUCACUUUCCUUCUCAUUUACCUUGUGGUCCCCCUGUGAAGCAAUAUUCAUAUUAAUUGCUUCAUUCUUUUUCUUUACUACAAUGUCAGGUUUUCUAGCCACAAUAAGAUGGUCACAUUGGAUGGUUUUUCCCACAAGAUCUUAUAUUGUUUGUUUUCAGUAACCCUAGAAAGGUGCUCAUACCAUUUCUCACUUCUGCUCAUGUCAUACUUAUAACAGAGCUUCCAGUGAACCAAUCUGGCAAUGUUGUCUUACUUUCUCUUGUAGUCUUUCUGUGCAAGCCUCUUACAUUCACUAAUAAUGUGGUGUAUUGUUUCACCUUUCUCACCGCACAACUUACUAAGUGGGGGAAGUCACUGACUUGUUAGUAUUGAACUUAAUAUAGUUUGUUCUCUGUGCCUGUGCUUAGAACAUGAAAAUAAGGGCUUUAGUUUCAACUUUCAAGUUGCUUUUCCUAGUCCAAUCCCAGAUCUUAUCUUUGUCAUCUGUUUCAGGCAUUUCCUGCAAGAAUUGGCCAUACAUUUUUUCCUUUCCAUCUAUUCAAGAUGUCAUUCUGUCUGUCUUGUUUAAAUUCCCCCUUUUCAUUUGCUUCAUCACUGCUUAGGACUUUUAUAUUUCUUACUCCUGCCAUCAAUCUCUCAUUUGAAUUCUUUACAUACCAUACCAGAUCUUUUUUCCUCAGACUUCACACACAUUUCACAGCUAACGAGACCUCUUCCUCCUCUCUGUUGUGAUAGAUUUAUAUCACUCUCCACAUCACUGUUGGGGUGUAGUGGCCCUUGUAGUAUUAUCAUUUUCCUGGCUUUUCUAUCAAGCUCCUGAAGUUCACCACUUCUCCAUACCAGUACUACACUUUAGAGUUGCAAUGGCUCAUGUGUUGACAGCUAGUAUCUUAGCUGGCAGUCACUGAGGUAUCAGCAAAUUUGCUAACAUCUGUAUGAUUUGCAACUAAUAUAUGGACAUCUCAAAAUCAAAUAGACUCCCCUCCUUAUAGUGUUUCAUCUGUGUUUGGGAAUCUGGAUAUUUUAGUAUUUCAAAUCUCAUGUUUUCCCAACUGGAUGUCCUCCCUACUGUGAACUCUUGAAAUUGAUGUGAGAGUGAUUUUCAGUUUGGUAAAUUCGAACCAAAUGCUGAGAGUAACUUUCAUCACACCAAUAAUGUAGCAAAAUUUUGGGUUUCCAUUUAUGGACUGUGUAAUCCAUUGACGACCUCCCCCUAGUAACCCUGCACUUAUGUAGAGUGGAGGAUGUAUUAAUGGUGGUGGUAGAGUGUUUGUGGGGGAUUGUAUCAUGUCUUUUUAGUUGUUCUGUUUCCAAUAUUAGUUCACUAAAGUUAUAACAUCUAAUUUGAUAGUAUGUCACUUUCAAUAGAAAAUAAUUUUCCAAAAAAAUCUAUUAAGUGAAAGAUAUUAAAAAUCAAUAUUUUUUUUCAAGCAACUGACAGCUACUUUCUAGGUCUCCUGGCUUUAGUGCAGCCUGCUGGUGUCGGUUAUGGUAACAGUAGAGUGUCCUACUUACUAUUAGGAGUUGUAACAUUUUCUGCAUCAGUCAAUUCUCCAUCCUGUAUCCAUUGCUUACCUGUUUUUUUUACUCUUUAAUUAUCUAGAUUUCUCUACUGCUAGUGUCAUCUGAUGCUGAUUGAUUUCUUUUUUUAUAAAGCCUCUCCUUAUUAUACACUCAUUUCACUCUUCCUAUUUUCCUUAUCUCUCUCUCUCUCUCUCUCUCUCUUCUAGAUAGGUUAUUCUUUCAAGUCUAUGCCAGACCUAACUUUGGUCAUUUUACUUUCAACAGAAACAGCACACACACGCACAAAGGGCUCUCAUCUCCUUGUCUUCAUCUCAUUGUCUGCUGUAUCACCUUACUUCAUCACUUCAAUAAUGAACAACUGUAAUGCGAUGCAGCGUAGCAGCUGCACUUCCGUACACUACUGAUAGGAUAUUGACUGAACUGUAGUUUCCAUCGAAUCAUUGUUUCUAUGAUACUAUCAGCAGUAGCAGCAACAGCAGAAGGAAAUACUGUUUAUGUUAUGUAAUCAGACAUGGCUGCCAUUAACUAUUACUGCCAGUUUCCUCUGUUUCUUACAUGUUGUGGCCAAUCAUGAUUUGGAUGGGGCACUUACUGUUAGUUCAAUCUAUCCCUAUUUGCCUAAUGAUGCACAGUUUGUAAUACUUUCCCAACAUAGAAUUUAAUAUUUUAUCUCUCUCUUAAAAUCAGGAUAAACAGCUUGAUUUCUUACCGUGUUUUGGUGAAACAAGUUUGCACUUCUGCUGUGGAAGGCUGUGAUAUAAACAUCUGUUGUGUAUCAUUGAUAUGGAACUGAACCUACUAUAAAAACAUCCUAUUUAGUUAGUGGUUCAGACUUGAAGCUUUAAAGAUGGUGCCCACUGAUUAUUUCAAAAAAUGUUGCCUUUUGAGACCGAUCUCGAUUUAUUUUACCAUCUCUUAAAUCUUUGGCACACAUCUGGUUAUAAAGACAUGAAAUGUGUUGUGUCUGAUCUUUUGAAAUGAAUCAAACAAUUACAUUUAGAAAUGAGAUUUUUAUUAAGAAAACCCUGUGGUAAGACUUGCCAAGAAGACAUUGAGCAAAGAAUUACUAAUUUGAAGUUGCAAUCUUGCCUUUCAAUUGUGGUCAAAAUUCCUAUGGUUAUUGUUCUUGAAACAUAUUUUAGAUUUCACUAUAAUUUUAAUAUAUAUAUAUAUAUAUAUAUAUAUAUAUAUAUAUAAAUAUAUGAGAGUAACUUUCAUCACACCAAUAAUGUAGCAAAAUUUUGGGUUUCCAUUUAUGGACUUGCCAGCUCUGUCUGGCCCCGUGUCGGUGGCACGUAAAAGCACCAUCCGUUCGUGUCCGUUGCCAGCAUCGCCUGGCCCCGUGCCGGUGACACGUAAAAGCACCAUCCGUUCGUGGCCGUUCGCCAGCUCUGUCUGGCACCUGUGCAGGUGGCACGUAAAAAACACCCACUACACUCGCGGAGUGGUUGGCGUUAGGAAGGGCAUCCAGCCGUAGAAACACUGCCAGAUCUGACUGGGCCUGACGAAGCCUUCCAGCUUCACAGACCCCAGUUGACCCGUCCAACCCAUGCUAGCAUGGAAAACGGACGCUAAACGAUGAUGAUGAUGAUGAUGAUGAUGAUAUAUAUAUAUAUAUAUAUAUAUAUAUAUAUAUAUGAGAAGACCCGGCAGGACAAGUGAGUCCACAACCCGUGGCCUUCUACAUGGGAUGGAGCCAGCCUACGUAUGCAUACCUUCCCUUCUUGGGACACAAAACUCUACUUGUGAAGACGUGUUGAGGCAAGUGAGGAUCAGAAUCGAAAUCGAUCAAUGGAAAUUGCGGAUGUGCUACCAGUGCCGGUGGCAUGUCGAAACUCUGCUUGUGAAGACCCAUUGAGGCAAGUGAGGAUCAGAAUCGAAAUCGAUCAAUGGAAAUCGAUCAAUGGAAAUUGCAGAUGUGUUACCAGUGCCGGUGGCAUGUAAGAGAACUUUCCGUUUCGCGACCGUUGCCAGCACCGCCCCGUUUCGUGUCCGUUGCCAGCCUCGCCUGGCCCUCGUGCCGGUGGCACAUAAAAAGCACCAUCCGUUCGUGGCCGUUUGCCAGCUCUGUCUGGCACCAGUGCGGGUGGCACGUAAAAAGCACCCACUACACUCACGGAGUGGUUGGCGUUAGGAAGGGCAUCCAGCCGUAGAAACACUGCCAGAUUUGACUGGGCCUGAUGAAGCCUUCUGGCUUCACAGACCCCAGUAGAACCGUCCAACCCAUGCUAGCAUGGAAAACGGACGCUAAAUGAUGAUGAUGAUGAUGAUGAUGAUAUAUAUAUAUAUAUAUAUAUAUAUAUAUAUAUAUAUAUAUAUUUCUUUCUAACAGUUUUUAGAAAUGUCUUGGAGCUUUUCAGAAAUUAUACAAUAAUAAACAAAUUUCCUUUUCAAAGCCAAUCAAGUUUUAAUUUUAUAAUCAGAAAAUGUAAUGAAAUUGGUGGAAGUUGAUUUCUUGUUUUGUUUUGUGUAGUAGUCAGAUAAUAAAAUGUAACUGUUCUAAUAACAUGUUCGAUAUUCCAAAAUAUUCUCAUACCAUACAGAUUUUUUGACAUAGUUUAAAAUUACCAAACUUUCUGGUCAUCCAUCUUCUUAAUUUUUAACUGUCUAUAUUAAUUAAUCAGAGCUAAUUUAUUUCAUGCUUAGGUUUUCCAACAACUUUCCUGCGAGGAGAUUUUGUUGAAGUGUUUCAAGCGAUUAAAAUUAUUUUAUCACACCUCUUUUUUUAUAUAUUUUAUUUUGAUUUCUUGUGUUCGUUGGGUAUUGAAUAAUUUGAAACUUUUAAAAGAUAAAUACCUUAAUUCACUUGUUAUAAUAUUUAUAGGCUCUAUCUUCAUUAAAGAAGAUAUUGAUGUGUGUGUGUGUGUGUGUGUAUCAUCAUCAUCAUCAUUGUUUAUAUAUAUAAAUUUAUAUAAAUAAGGAAGAUCGUUAUUUAAAAUACCGAUCAUAUCAGGUGGCUAGCAUGAGAAUAAUUAUUAUUAAAAUUAUAAUUAAGGGUAUCUAAAAGAUACCACCAUGCGAGAUAUAGCAGCCAAAACUUGACUCUCUCUCUCUCACUAUAUAUAUGUACACACAUGCACACACACCUAGAGGAGACUUAGAUGCAACGUGCUCUCUCUCUUUACUCUUUCACCUGUUUCAGUCAUUUGACUGUGGCCAUGCUGGAGCACCGCUUUUAGUUGAGGAAAUCGAUCCCAGGACUUAUACUUUUGUAAGCCUAGUACAUAUUCUACCGGUCUCUUUUGUCGAACCGCUAAGUAAACACACCAGCAUCGGUUGUCAAACACCCACACAUAUAUAUAUUCGACAGGCUUCUUUCAGUUUCCAUCUACCAAAUCCACUCACAAGGCUUUGGUCAGCCCGAGGCUAUAGUAGAAGACACUUUACCCAAGGUGCCAUGCAGUGGGACUGAACCCAGAACCAUGUGGUUGGUAAGCAAGCUACUUACCACACAGCCACUCCUGCAAUGAUGUAUUUUUAUAAAUUUAUUUUCACUUCAAUACAUUUUCAUGUAACCAAUAUAUUGCUGUAUAUCAGCCUUAUUUUAAACACGUUAAUGUUUUUAAUUGAUAACCUUCAUUGUUUCAACAUCACUUUCUGUUACUUUCAACUUUAAAAUUGUAAAUUUUAGGUUCAAAUUCCCUCUUCUCUUCUGUUCACAUCUUUUGUUUUUUUUAAUCUCCAUAUGCCUAUCUUAUUAUUUUAUGUACUGUCACUCUUUUAUUCAUUCACUGUUUCUUUAUUACAUUGUUUCUAUUUCUAUAAUUAUUUCUUUGAUCUCAGAUGAAUGAUUCUAAUGUUUUCUUUCUCUUUUCAGGUAAGUUCAUUUGGAUACACAUAAUCCUUUAUGUGAUAUUUACUGUAAUAAUCUGUAAGUAAAAUGAACUGACUUUACCCCUCCUCCUUUACUUGCUAAAUCAACAUUUGCCCCUCCGAUUUGUUGCCCAACUGAAGUGAUAAAAUGGUAAAAAAAAUUCUUCACAUACUUUAUUAAGGUUUCUUUAAUACCAGUUUGCAUUUGUAAAAUGUACAAGAUUACAGUAUUGACAAAUGUACAAGAUUACAGUAUUGGACAAAUGACUUGCUUAAUAUUGAGCUUCGACUAGUGGAAACAGCUUCAUGUUUAAUGAAGAAAUUGUAGAAUUUUUUUUCUGUAUGGUUGUUAAAGAUACCUUGCAUUGUAUCUACUACUACUACUACUACUGCUACUACUACUACAUUCCUCAAGAGUCACAUUGAUAUUUCACUUCAAGUUGGUUACAUCACUACUUUACAUAUAUCGUUGACUAUGUACAAGAGCUGAGAUGUACAAUAUAAUGUAUUUUGUAAGUUUGCAGAGUUCUUUUUUAAGUUUAUGACUUUCUUCAGCUUUAGAAUUACGAAGGGCUCCUUCUAGAAAUAGAAGUAUUUCGCUCUUAAUUCCCAACAUUCUUGAUAGUUCUUGUAAUUCUUUGUAGUUUUUUUAGACUUUCAUCAAGAUUCUCACUAAGGUACAUAGAUAUCUUCCAGUUGGCAGAUUUAUUUUCUCUACAUCUAUGAUAACAAGAUCGGAUAUGUUAGCCACAACUACACAUCUAUAAUAAAAAAUUUCUAGUUUGUUAACAACAUUAUUUCUACAUGUCCACGACAACAAGAUUUGGCCUGUUAGCAACCUUAUCUCUUCAUAUCCAUGACAACAAGAUUGACCUAUUCACAGCCUUAUUUCUACAUAUCUAUGACAAGAUUGACCUAUUCACAACCUUUUUUCUACAUAUCCAUGAUAGCAAAAAAUGGCCUGUUAGCAACAUUAUUUCUCCUCUAAAAGAUAAAAUUUUGACCUGUUGUUGUAGGAGGAGGGCACUGAAAAAAGUACUGGGGCGGCAUUGAUAGAAAUGGUAGUGCUAGCAUCAUCUGUGUGUGUGUGUGAAUAAAGUAUGGAACUGAAGUUCAGUUCAAAGAUUUCUUUUAAAAAUCAUUUCAACUUAUAUGGAUUUAAGUGGCAACAUGAAGAUGAAAUGUAAAAGUAUCUUCUUACUAGCCAUUGUCCAUUUUACUAGCAGUCAUAUAAUAAAGAAUAGGUUUCUCCAUUACAAUGAUUCUUUAUUAUUUUGGUUGUUGUUUCAACCCUGGCCUUAUUGAUAUUGUUCUAGCAGAUUAAUAUAUCUCCUUGUUUUAUAUUUUAUACUUUGGCUGUCAUGUGUCUUCAUAAUAUUUUUACUGCUCAAUGUAACUAUGAUUAAUAUAAUCUAACACUCAUAAUUGACAGCUCUGAUGGUUAAAUUUCUAGUAUGUUUGCUUUUGUAUUUAAUGUUAUUGUGGCUUAUAUGAACAAUCACUGGUAUUACUUUUCCUUUAAACAAUUAAUCUAUUACAUUGAUAACCUUCUUGUAAUGGAUGUGCUAACGAAAGCAAUAAGUUUUGAUAUUGGGAGAAGUUCUCUAUUACAUUUCCAUUGAUUGAUAUCUCACUAAUGACCAUAACUGACGUCCACUGAUGAAUUCAUGAAAUAUAUUGUAUACACACAACAUUGAUCACUUGGUGAAGUAGACAUCAGUCUUAAUCCAGCUUUAUAAAAUUGGUAUCAUCUUACUCUGAUCAGUGCUGUUUGGUCUACCUCUACAGAGAGAAUUAGCAGUGUGUGUGUGUAUAGACACUGCAUUUGCACUGUAUAAAUAAUACAUUACACAGAUUUGUUAUAUAAAGUAAUGGCCAUCUAACUUCAUUGAUAUUUACACUUGCGAUACAUUUUGAUAAAUGCAAAGAAACAGUUCUCUCUCUCUCUCUCACACGUACACACACACAGCUAAAAGGACAAUGUGUAUGUGUGUACACACAGAGGCUAUAGAAGAUCUGCCUCACUGAGUUUAAGCUGAGCCAUGUAAACAUGGGAAAGUGAAUGUUUAAACAAUUUAAACAUAUGGUGAGUUGAGUGGAAUGAAGUAAAAUAAUUUUGGAGGCUACUUUGGUAUGUACUGUAUGGGGUGUGUGUGUGUGUGUGUGUGUGCAAAGCAUGCAGUGAAUAUUGCUUGCAAAAUCAACAUAUUGUUGAAAAGUGGAAGAAAUGCAGGAGUCAUGGGCCAAAAUGAGAGCCAUCCAGUAAUUGAAUUUAAGGGGUUUCUCCAAGCAUUGUAGCUGUAUUCUUUUGUCUGAACAGUUGAAGCAGAGUUAUGGAUAAACCACUUGGAGGACUUGAAGGUGUGAAUUUUUGUUGCAUAUGGUGUGUUAAGGGACUUGCUUGAGAGGCUGGCAUCAGUUAUUGACAUAUCUGUUUCUUACAGGUCAGGGAUGAAGGAUAUGUGCUGCCAGAGGUAGUUUACAUAGAACUGGUUGAAGUGGCUGAGCUCUGUCUGACUAAUAGUGUGCUAAAGAAUUUAAGUUGUGAUGUGUAGUGUAGUGUGUUGAUGUAUGAUGGGUAAUCACAAUAAAGCAGUGUUUAGAUGACCUACUCGUAGCAGUAAUGGUACUGAUAUGGCAGAGGUUGAAUCUGGAAAUGAGAUAGGGUUCAAGGGUGUUUGAAGUGUUUUGGGUUAGUUUGGAAUAAAUUCAGAGAAUGAAAUUAGUUGUGGCAAAAGGUUGAGGAUGGCAAAAGAUUCAGUAACUGCAUGAAUGCCAGGAAGAGUUAUGAAAAAUGAAGUCAUUGAAGAUGAUUCCUCAAAGAGAGGUGAUUUUUGGUCUAUGGAUCAAAGAGCUAGUGGCAAAUGGGAGAGGGAGACUUUGGUCCACACUUACUCGAAAUCUGUGUUGCUGAUGUCCAGGUGAUUAGCAGGGUGAGUGGACUCUGUGUAUACACAGAGUUUGAGUAAAGAAUGUAGCUUGGCUGAUACAAGGGGUCUAUUGUUAAAGGUUGAAAAACCUGUGUCUUAAUGAAGAAUAAGGUGUCAGACGCCUGAGUGGAUUGGAGUUCAUAGAUGUUAGAAAAAAUGAAAGGAGAUUGUCUAGUGGGUUUUAGAUUUUGGUAAAUUUUAGGUUUAGGGAGGUGUAGAGUGUCUCAAUGCCUCAUGAGGCAAGACCUUGUUGAGAACCUGGUCUGACUGCUUGUUAUGUAGGAAUUCUGCUAAAAGCAUCAGUGGAUCAGAGAUGAUGAUGUUUAUAUUAGCUGCAUUAUGUGACUAUCAUUCAAACCAAAAGAAGAGGUGCAAAUUCUAGACCAUAUACAAGUGUAUAUUAGCCAAAAUGGUAAAUGGUAACCCAGAAACAAACAUGAAUACACAGACAAAUGCUACAACAGGAAUAAUUUUAGAAAUAAUUUUUCAUGUAUGUGGUGACAAUGGCAAUAAUAAUAAUAAUAAUAAUAAUAAAUAAUAAGGCAUCUGUAGGAAGCGUCCUGCAAGUAGUGUUGAGGAAGAGAAGGGAGAGAGAAGCCAACAAUAAUAGUGAGGGACUGCUAAGUCUAUCAAGUAAUCUAUAUAGAUUCUCUAGUAG